rnacentral:lncRNA from 1 species
UUAUCUAAUGACUUGAAAUUGCAGGACUCGCCCCCAAAAUAUCCUCGAACUAUUUUCUGUGGUUUGGUUAGUGGGUUUGGAGGAUGAGUCAUGCUCUGAUUGCUAACAAUUGACGAUACAAUCAUCCUAACAAAGGGUAUAAAUUUGAAAAUUUUCUAACAGUGGGGUGCAACGUGCAAAAAUUGAAACUUCAUGACUCAUUGUAAAUUGACUUCAAACAUUGAUAGUGUAAAAUAUAUUUAGCCCAACAAAUAAGUCGGUGUUAAACCAUGAAUGCUCGCUACACUAAGAAAGCUACACUAAGAAAGGGGGGAGAGUUUGGACUCAAGCACAGUAAAUUAAAAGGGAGACUCUAACCACCAAUUUGUGGUACAUGGUUUAAAGAACAAUAUCGAUAAUUCAUACAUAAUUAACACAAAUCUAUAUGUGGAAAUAAAAUCGUCUUAAAUUUUGUCGAUGUGACAGAUUUCUAACCCAAACCGUCCCAUUGUGGUUUUAUUUUACUCUGUUGUGCUGGUUCUAUAUAUGAUAUCUUAUUAUAAGAUGACACACAAUGGUUGAUGGUUCAUUGAUCAAUUUGAAGUAGCUGUGCAAUUUAUGUUUUACUUUUUUUAUUUUUUUGUCAAAAGAUAAAUUUGUUAAAUUAGAUGUCAGAUUAGGGAGCAGGGUUCGAAUUCAUGCCGUAGUGCAAGGGCAACACUCAUCUCCACCAAUGUGAUAGAGGGCCCAAUUUAAUUUGAUAGAAGACUUGAGAUCCUCAUCAGCCAUAUAGGGUUAGGGAAUAAACAUUACUUGCGAUACUAAAGCUAUAAACAUUACUUGUUUGUCUAAAUAUAAAUUUUACAAAAAGCUAGUGCCGGAUUAUUGUUGCUAAUUUUGAUCCUCGUCUUACACAAGCAGUAAUCUGUUGAAUUCAUGAUUCAUAUAGGUUGAACAAAGGAAAAAAGCAGCACUGCCGGAGCAUGUCAAGAGGGACCUUCAUCGUUGGAAAGUUCAUUGCAAGAUGUUGCAUCACGAUCGAUAUAGUUUCAUGGAUCUCUGGCCCUGCUCUUCAAAGGACUGGGAUCAUUUAGCCCGGCAAGAGGUACCUUUAGUGAAAAUGUUAUGCUAGUAUGUCCAUUUCCACCAUGAACAUCUUUGUCAUCAGCCUUUUCCUUUUUCGUAGUAUGCACACAUGCCCCGUACUACCAUCUAUUCAAAAAGCUGAUGUCUAAGAGAUUAUAUUUAUUUAUUUAUUUAUUUUACAUUUUCUUCAUGCUACCGAAAACACUAAAAUCAUAAGAACGAAAUAUGUAAAGGGGACGGUGUAAUUUAAUGUUGAAUCGGUAUUCAUUCACCAUACAAAAUGGAAUAGUACUAGCUUAUGUGUAGAGUAAACCCCUGGACGCUAGUAAGCUCUAGCCCUCUGCAUGGACAAGGGAAUUAUUAAGCUUAUUGUGGAAAUGCAUUCUGCGGCUGCUGUUACUUUGCUGCAGCUGGAUGCAGCUCAUAAGUUUCACCCUCUUGCCUUUCUUUUGAUCAGUUGCCAUAAGAUUUCCUGCUUUGAGAUCAAACAUUUUUUUGUUGUGAAUAUCGCGUAAAGAAAUGAACCAUUUGAAAAAUUUGCAAUUGAGAAAGAACAGUUUUCUUCAUCCUUGAAUUGAAGUCAAAUUAGUUUGCAUUGGUCUGUCUUUCUUGUGAAUAUAAUUUGACUAUUUCUGCCAUAAUGAAGUUAUCCAAUUUCAUUGGAGUUGGCACAUUAACGCUUUUGUCAAAUCAAACCCCUAAGUUUGGUCUUUUUAAGAUGAGUAAACUGCCGAUUUGCCCCCUGAACUAUCACCCAACUUUCGAUUUGCCCCCUGAACUUUUUAAUUGGAAAAUUAAGGACUUAAACUAAUUUUUUUGGCCGAUUUGCCCCCUGCUGUUAAUUUUUCAUUCAUUCCAUCAAAAUUUCUGUUAAAUGGAAGCAUAUGCACAACAUGUGUAGGUAGUUCGGUCGUUUCAUUCUUUAAAAUAAUUGAAAAUCUUAGAUUUCUAAAAUAUAAACCUAUGCAAAUAUGUGUGAUUCUAUAGCUUUUUUGUCUGAAUGUCUAGUGAAAUGACGCUUUUGUCCACAAAUGAGAGUUACGUGGUUUGCACACGAUAAGAGUUAACGUUAAUUUGGAUGAAAUCUAUGAAAAACUAAUGGUAGGGGGGAAAUCGGCCAAAAAAAAUAGUUUAAGUCCUUAAUUUUCCAAUCAAAAAGUUCAGGGGGCAAAUCGAAAGUUGGGUGAUAGUUCAGGGGGCAAAUCGGCAGUUUACUCUUUUAAGAUCUCCAUACCCUCGUUUUCCCUCAAAAGUCUAAUCUAGCAUAUGCACCAAGUGGAAAAAAUUUAUCUUUACAAUCUACCUAAAUCUAAUAAAAAUAUCAGAAGAAUGAAUUUAGGUCGUUGUAUUUCUGAGUCAGCAGAGAGAGGGCAAAUAGUCUUUAAACAUGGAGAGGUGGCAAAAGAGAGAGAUCAAGGAAAGAUUUUUUAGUGUGUCAGGAACACAAUCAUAUAUGUUAGACAUCAUCAUACAAAUAGAGGAUAUAAUAAUAUAUAAUGUACUGCCACAUAUUCUGAACAUAUUAAAAAAUCUCUCGAAAUCAAGGACAGUUGCGUCGUGUGAGGGGCAGGCAAUGUUGAGCCCCUCUUGACAAAUUAUUACAUCCGGAGGGUCCCGUUUUGUGCCUUUUUUUUUCCUCUUAGCAAACCCACAUGCUGCCCAUCUGCAUUAUUAAUAAAAAAAAACCUCACAACUACGUCGUCCCUUGGAUUGCCAAUUGCAAUUGGGGAUCGAUCAUCGAUCUCUCUAUAUAUGCCUUGAAAGUGCCUAUCUGCAUUAUUAAAAAAAAUAAAAACUUCUCGAGAUUACAUGAGAUACCACUUUACUUUACUCAUCCACCUCACUCUCUCUUUCCCUUUUCACGUUUUUUGAUAGGCAUCGAUCACACCUCGAUCAAUGAUGGGAAACUGGCAUCGAGAAUUCCACUUGUGUGGAAAUACGGUGACUCAAUCAGCCAUUAUAUAAAGAGGACACUUGAUCUUCAUUUCUGCACACAUGCAUGUAGCUGAAAAAACCUAAUUGAUAAAGCCAUGGCUUCAUUUCUUCCACUUGCACCCGCCACUACGCUUAUUAACCGCCCUUCUUCCAUUCGUUCUAAUACUUCAACUUCCCUUAGUUGUUUCCCUAGACCUUUGUUCUCAAUACAUCGUUCAUUUGAAAAAGGUAAGCAUGGAUCUCCAUGCAAAGCAAGAAAGAGCGAUGAUGAACAGGGUAUUAACCAAGACGAUGGAAAACUGGACAGGAGAAACAUGCUGAUUGGUCUUGGAGCUGGAGGUCUGUACGGGGCAACCAGUCUUGGCCUUGGGACCAACCCAUUCGCCACCGCUGUUCCGAUUCCCGCUCCUGACCUAAAAACUUGCGUCCGGACCACCGAAGAUAUGAAAGGACUUAAUUGUUGUCCACCGUCAACCGAAAUCAUCAAUUUCGAGCUACCCGAAGUCAAAACACUCCGCACCAGGCCAGCGGCACAUACAGUCGAUCAAAAGUAUAUAGAAAACUACAAAACGGCCAUCGAGCUGAUGAAGAACCUCCCCGAGGACGACCCACGUAACUUCUGGAACCAAGCUCAAGUCCACUGUGCCUACUGUGAGGGUGCAUAUUACUAUGCUAGCAAUGAUUGUGAUGGCACCAAGGAAGAAAUACAAGUUCACUCCUCGUGGCUCUUUUACCCCUUCCAUCGCUGGUACCUCUACUUUUAUGAGAGAAUCCUUGCCAAACUCAUUAAGGACCCAAAUUUUGCUCUGCCCUUCUGGAACUGGGACGGUAAAGACGGCAUGUACUUGCCUCCUAUUUUCGAGGAGGGCCGCAGUAGUUCCCCACUCUUCGACCACUACCGAAACGCCAAGCACCGGAAGAAGAAAUUUGUGUUGGACCUCAACUACAAUUGCACCGACUCCGGCAAAACAGAUGAAGAAAUUAAAGAGGAUAACCUCUGUACUAUGCACCGGCAGAUGUACUCUGCUUCUACUGGUAAGGAUUUGCGUCUUUUCUUUGGCCACCCUUACAGGAAAGGCGACAAACCUAGCCCCGGUGCAGGAAACAUUGAGCGUAUUCCCCACAACAAUGUCCACAUCUGGACUGGCGACCCCGAUUGGGUUAGAGAGGACAUGGGAAACCUUUACUCUGCUGCUAGAGAUCCCAUCUUUUUCGCGCACCAUGCCAACGUAGACCGCAUGUGGUACUUGUGGAAAAAAGAAUUACACUGCAAGGACAUCUCCCAAGAUGACUGGCUGAAAGCCGAGUUUCUAUUCUACAACGAGAACAAGCAACUCGUCCGAGUUAACGUCGAACAAUCUCUCGACACGGACAAGCUCGGGUACAAGUACGAUGAUGAUGUUGAUAUCGAGUGGAUGAGCAAUAAGUACAAGCCAAAAGCUCGUAAGUCAUUAAACAAGGCAAAGCCAAACGUCUCUAGGUUCCCGGUGAAAUUGGACUCCAAGGCAAGUGUUAAAGUGCAGAGAGCAUCUUUGAAGCGGCCCGCGAACGAGAAGGCAGAACGAGCAGAGGUGUUGUUGAUCGAAGGGAUUGAGUUCCCUGGUAACCAGGCUGUGAAGUUUGAUGUGUAUGUCAAUGACGAUGCAGACACGGAGAGCGGGCCUUGCAACUCUGAGUUUGCUGGCAGCUUUGUUCACGUCCCACACAGGCACAGCCACACUAUUAAGACCAAUAUGACAUUAGGGAUUACGGAUCUGUUGCAGGACUUGGAAGCUGAAGAUGACAGCCACGUGGUUGUGACUUUGGUGCCAAGGUAUGGGAAGGGGCCUAUCACCAUUGGUGAUGUCAAGAUUGAGCUCUGAUUCUUUUCUCGGCCUUCUCGAUCCACUGGAUCUGUUUCCAUGCAUGCUUUCUACGUAUCCUAGCUACCCCUUUCUUGCUGCCAGUGCUAAUAAAUUGCAUGCAUGCUUUGAUCAGAGCACUGCGAUGUUUCUGCUGCCUUUCAUUUCCAUCCUUCAUUACUUUCACUUCUUGUUUGUGUCAAGUUCUUGUGUAUGUGUAAUGCAUGCGUCGAUCAAGACCACGUACGCAUGUACCACAGUGCAUGCUUCCGUGGGAGAUCAUUUAUGUUGGUUGUUGCUAAAUAAACCUUAUGUUCAGUGUGUUUAAGUUGCUUUAAUUUGCUUUUUGUUCUCUCUCUCUUUUUCCUAAAGGCGAUUCAUAUAUACUGCAGUGGCGAAGCCAGGAAUUCUCGGGAGGAGGGGCAAACUUAUAUGCGUGCAAGGUUAAAGAAAAAUGGCAACAACCAAAUCUUUUUAUAUAGAAAUGUCUUAUAUAAUUAAUCAAUACAAAUAAAUUACAGUUGUUGUCGGCGAAGUUUCAUGUUAUGAAAACGUCACAUAAUAGGAUCAUUAUCAGUAAAAGCAAAUACAUCUCUCUCAAAGUAACAAUCAUGUUAUCACUCAACUAUUGACUCUCAUUUUGUUACGCAAUGAUGUUUUCACAAUCUUCAUAGUAGAAAAAACUCUUUUCACCGAAACGGUUGCAACCGGUAACACUAAAGUUAAUGUAAGAAACUUAUACAUUAACAUGUAGCUUUCACACCUCCUGGUUCAUUUUGUGAGAUUUAGGUUAACAAAGUUCAUUUUAGAGUUACUACCUACGAAUUGCUUCGCGAUAAUUGGAGAAGGAUUUAAGCACUGUUUCUUAUAGUAUCGUUCCAUUACAUAACUGUAUAACAAAAGAAAAAAAUAUAUCUUAGACUCUUAAUCCUAGAGUAGACUAUAGGGUAAUAUCUAAUCAAAUCACAAAUUAAUUAAUCAAUACUAACAAUCAUAUGAAUAAUCAAGAAUUCAAUUUUUAUUCUAAACCACAAUUAAAAAUUGAGUAAGUUGAUUAGGGUUUAUAGCGGUUACUGCAAUCAAUUUUUAUUACUAGACCACGUGUGAUUCAACUUCAUAUAAUAUAUAUAAUGUAUGAAUCCUCUUUUAUGUACUUCAAAAAAAAAAUAAAAAAAAAAUCAAUAAUCAUAGUAUUUAUAUGAAUAAUCUAUAAUCGAUAACCAUAAAUUUAAAAAAAAAAAUUAAAAAUUAACCUCACUUGGAGCGGCUGGCAUGGCGUCUGGAGCUUGGUGGGCAACGGAACAGGACUUUCUUAUGUUCAAUCUCGGGAUUUGAGUCAAUUUUGAAAAUUGAAAUAUGGGAAUAAAGGUGGGGGGAUGGGAUUUGUAAUUUAUGGGCAAGAGUGGGGGUAAUAAUUGAAACGGGUGGGAGGAUUGGGAUGGGUACCAGUGGCUCUUUAAAAAAAAAUUUAUUUGAUUAAUGCAAAACGACGUCGUUUACCAAACCAAAAUUAAAAAUUAAAAAAAGAACCUGCAAGCUCACAGUUCCCAGAUUCGAACCAUGAACCACCGUGGUUCCCAGAUUCCGGCCGAACCAAAGGGGUUCAAGCCUCGCUCCUGCCUUUGUUUUCCGGCGAGCGGAGGGGCGGCCGCCCCCCUUCGCUCCUAUGUAGCUUCGCCAUAAUAUACUCCAACUGCAUUUGAUUCGGUGAAUGUCUCAUUACAUGUCUUUUACAUUUUUGAUAAAUUUUUUUAUAGAGGGAUGGCCCGGAUGGGCAAUUAAUGAUAUUAUAUAUGAUCAAUCGAACGAAAACUAAUUAAAUUCAAGACGUAAACCUAAAACUUAAGUGUAAAUGAAUACACACGUGCUAAAGGAUUUUGGUGCUUGUAGACGAGAUGAAGACCUAGUUUGGGAGUGAGGUGCUUAAAAAAAAAACACCCAUGAAAAAAAGCUGUGAGGGUUUUAGGUGUUUGGUAAACUGAAAAAAAAGGGCUUAUUUUAGAAGCUGCUGUGAGAAUAAGCUGAAAUCAAAGGAAAAAGCUGAAGCUGCUAUUUGUAGCUUUGGAAAACUGGCUUUUUUUCAAAGCACACGGAGCUACAGUGCUUCUUUAAUGAAAAGACCCACUAUCAGACUGCUUUUUUUUUCCAAAAGCACUUUUACAAAAAAGUUUACCAAACACUCAGCUGAUUUAUUUCACAGCCGCUUAUUCUCACAGCACAGCCGCUUAUUCUCACAGCAGCUUUUUUUCAAAGCACAGCAAUACCAAACCAGCCCGAACUUAUAUAUGGUGGCUGGUUAACUGACAUAAUGUAUAUGACACAUAUUUGAUCACAUAAGUAUAGACACCAACAUAGAAGAUGAAGAUGGAUUAGGAAGUGAAGAACUUACCAAGAGAGGCUGCUGAGAGGCCGUGGAAAAAUUGGUUGAGACCUUUAUGAACUGGUUGGUUUAACAAGCACGUGAUAAACAAUGAAAUAAAACUAGGUCAGUAACUAUUGAAUUAAUAGAACAGAAAGAAGAAGAUUUUGUGAAGGAGUUGUAGACAUGUAAAUUUCAGUGAAAUAAAUGUUCACCAAUAAAUUAAAUUUUGAUCCACUAGAGCUUAAGACGCGCACACCAUGGGCUCCACAAAUUGCUCACAUUGCAGGUGAUUCAUCAAAACUGGAUGAAUUAAUAAGAGUGACACGUGUCAGCAUCUGAAACCUCCGUCAAACAAAUCAAAUCAAGUGCAAAAGAUAACAAAUUAACCCUAUAUAAUAUGAUCAAAUUAUAUCAAUUGGGGUUUAAUUUCCUAAAUAAAAAAUUAUGAGCUAAAUUAAAUAAUUUGCUCAAAUUAAAGCACAUCAGAAAAUCAAUCCCACAACUCACAGGAUUCAAAUUGAGUGUUCUAAACGAAAACUCAAUCCCUUGCCUAUAAAUACUAGGCUCAUUUUCAAAACACAAACUUCAGAGAAAUGAAGCAAUUCCAAGCCUUUGGAGAAACUUUGACAAAAAAAAAAAAAAAAGCCUUUGGAGAAAACCAUAAAGCUCUUUUGCCAAAGCAAACACCAAACAUUCUUGUUCUUCAUCAAUCUCAUGGAGGAUUAACAAGCACAAGAAAUACACGUGCCAGUUCCUCCACCAAAGCCGAAGAUCACAACCACACUACUCGUGGUCCCAAUUUGUUCAAGAUCAAGUCUCUACAACUUUUGACCAAAUCACAUCUGGUUCAAGAGUAGUGCUCGCCACCCUUAGAUCAAACUCAAUAUUGGAGAUCGAAUAAGAGAAAAUUCUUUUCUUGUAAAGAAUAUUCCCUAAACAUUCAUUUAAUACAAGUAUUACUUUGUAAACGUGUUCUUGUUUUAUUUGUUGAAAAAAAAAUCAUGUUUAUAGGAGUAUAAAUCCCAAUUCAGAGAGGAUUUCAGAGCAAAAAAUGAUACGGCCAACAAGAGGUUUAAUAAGCACCAUUAAUCCUAGAAAUAAGUAAAACUAAGGAAUUGUAUUGAUAAGAAGAGCUAUAGUAUUAACCCGCCUGCGACGACCAUCGGUCAUUCUGGCCAACGAUUAACCGUUUGAUUCAUAUCUCUCAAUUUUUUUUUCUCCUCCCCUAUCUGCCUCUUCCUCUCUCUUUAAACAUUUACCUUCCACAGGUUUCGAUCCAUCUCAUUUUUCCCAGAUCUUGGAUGCAAGAACACAAGGCCUAGAUUUUCCAUACAAUAACAUCCAUAUCUGGUGCGGUGACCCGAACCAUACCAACCAGGAGGACAUGGGCAACUUCUACUUAACUGGUCGGGAUCCCCUGUUUUACGCCCACCAUUGUAACGUGGACCGGAUGUGGAACAUUUGGAAAACCCUCGGGGGCAAGCGUAAGGACCCAACCGACACCGAUUGGCUCGACGCUGAGUUUCUUUUCUACGACAAAAACGCGGAGAUUGUGAGCUGUAAGGUCCGGGACAGCAUCCAUCCUGAGAAAGAUCUUCGUUAAACCUACGAGCCUGUUAAUGUUCCAUGGCUGUUCACGAAGCCAACCGCUUGUAAGCCGAAGACCAAGACCAAAGCCAAGGUGGCGGCUACUGAGCUGACAACCAAGUUCCCAGCAACGUUUGACUCAAAGACGACGGUGGAGGUAGCGAGGCCAAAGCUGAAGAAGAGUGUUGAGCUAGGAUAGCACCAAACCCGUUGGAACCAACUCAAGCUAACCCACAGGAAAUUUAUCAAAUGAAAAAGCAAGAGCAAAAUAUUAAAGACACCAAGAUUUUAACGAGAUUCCUCAACAGUCAGUGUAACUGGAGUACGUCCUUGGAGCAGUAGGAGCUCACCCAAGAAUCCACUAUCAACCAAAUGAGAGUUUAAGUGUUGGCAAUCUCACAACCCAAAACCCCAAUACACCCAAUAACUCUCACUCACCAAAGAAACAAAUAGAGAGGGAAAUAUAGUGAAUAAUUUCCUCUCUAUACAAAGCUCAAAGCUAAUACACAAAUACAACUUUGAUUGAGUGAGUACCAACAAAGAAAGAAAAUCACCUUUCUUUCUUCUCUUCAAAAUGGGGCUGUAGCACCUCUGUUUUCUUCUCUGUUUUUCUGGUGCACUCUAUCACUACAAUCAGAAAAUGCUCUCUAUUUUCUGCACCUUCUACAACUCCCCUUCCGUUUCUCUUAUUUCCAAAGGCUAAAUAAAAAAUUAAUUUUCUCCAACAUCAUCAUUUGUCAUCAUCACAAAGCAAGGAACAACAUCAUGAUGUUUCCCUUUUUUUUCUUUUUAACAAACAUAAUCAUUUGUCUUUUUCUUUCUUUUGCUUUGUUUAAUAGCUAAAAGGUGAUGUUGAGUUGCCACUUGGCCACAAUUCAACAAUCUCCACCUUGGCCAAGUUCCGAAAACGCCAUGAUAAGCCAACCAACACAAUUGAUUCAAAAAAUCACUCUCAAACACUAGCAAGAGAACAACUCAUGCCGAGCCAAAUGCUCCAAAAACUCCUACUGCUCAAUGCCUUCUUUAUAUAGGCAAAAUGUGAGCCAAGUUCAAGCAAUGAACAAACUUGGCGACACCAACAACCUUAGUCAACAUAUCAGCGGGGUUGUCUUUAGUUGGAAUUUUCUGGAGAAUGAUUUCCCCUUCACCAACAAUUUCACGAACAAAGUGAUAACGCACAUCUAUGUGCUUGGUCCUCGCAUGAUGAACCUGAUACUUAGCCAAAUAAAUGGCACUCUGACUAUCACAAUGUACCUCCACCUGCUUCUGAUCAACCCCCAAAUCUCUAAUCAGCCCAUGUAUCCACAUGGCCUUCUUUAUAGCUUCAGCAACUGCCAUAUAUUUAGCCUCUGUAGUAGACAAGGCAACAGACUGCAAAAUGAACCUCCAACAAACUGGCUCUUUAGCCAUAGUAAACACAUAGCCUGUAGUAGACUUCCUUCCAUCCAGAUCACCUGCAUAAUCUGAAUCAACAUAACCAACUGCAAAAUGACCAAUACCAGAGUCAUCAUUCUCAAAGCAUAAACCAACAUCUCGAGUACCAUGGAGAUAUCUCAAUAUCCACUUAGCUGCUUGCCAAUGCUCUUUACCUGGAUUAUGCAUAUAUCGACUCACCAUGCCAACUGCAUGAGCAAUAUCCGGUCUAGAGCAUACCAUUGCAUACAUCAAACUACCAACCAAAUUUGCAUAUGGUAUAUUUUUCAUUUGCAGCUUCUCUUUAUCAGUUUUAGGACACUGUAGAGAACUCAAUUUAAAAUGAGGAGCUAAAGGGGUACUAACCGGUUUGGUUGAAUCAUGAACUCCAAACUUCCGAAUCAACUUCUCAAUGUAUUGUUUUUUAUUCAAACUGACCAAACCCUUCUCUCUAUCUCUAGUGAUCUCUAUGCCAAGGAUCUUAUUCGCUUCACCAAGAUCCUUAAUCUCAAACUCAUUCUUCAUUUGCUUCUUCAAUUUUUCAAUCUCUUCAACAUUCUUUGAGGCAAUCAACAUAUCACCAACAUAUAUCAACAAAUAAAUGAAAGACCCAUCUUGCAACUUUUUGAAGUACACACAAUGAUCAUAUUGACUUCUAGAAUAAUUUUGACCUCUCAUAAAUUUAUCAAACCUCAAAUACCAUUGUCUUGGAGAUCGCUUCAAGCCAUAAAGUGAUUUCUUCAAUUUGCAAAACAAAUUCUCCUUCCCUUUCACUAUAUACCCAUCCGGUUGACACAUAUAAAUCUCUUCAUUCAAAUCAUCAUGUAGGAAAGUCGUUUUCACAUCAAGUUGCACAAGCUCAAGAUCAUACUGUGCAACAAGAGCUAACAUAAUGCGAAUUGAGGAGUGUUUCACAACCGGAGAAAAGAUUUCAUUGUAGUCAAUGCCCUCCUUUUGUGCAUACCCUUUAACAACUAAUCUUGCUUUGAAUCUCACAUUGCUUUUCUCAUCAGCAUCUUCCUUCUUGGCAUACACUCAUUUGCAACCGAUAUCUUUCUUGCCCUUAGGCAAUUUAGCUAACUCCCAAGUCUUGUUCUUCAAGAGAGAAUUCAUCUCAUCACCCAUGGCAUUGCACCACCUCUCAUUUUCUUCACUCUCAAUAGCUUCCUCAAAAUUGGAUGGAAUCUCAUCAGUGAUAAUAGGAAGAGCAAAAGAAACAUAGUCACUAUACCGAGCUGGCUUGGUAAUUUGUCUCUUUCCUCUGUUCUUGGCAAUAGACUCUUGAGGUGAAACUUCCUCUUCAACUUGAAUAGAAUCUUCAAGUUCAACUUCUUCAACAUCCUCAUGGUCUUCAACUUCUUCACUUGUAGUGGCUUCGACAUCAGCGGAAAUAGGAUUUGAAGUACCAGAGGCAACUUUCUCAAGCUCCACCUGUUGGACAUCUUUCACAUUCUUCUCAGAGACUUUGAACAUACUUUCUUCAUCAAAUGUCACAUCUCUGCUGAUUACAAGUUUUUUCAUCUCUGGGCACCACAACCUGUAACCUUUGACACCACUACUAAAACCAAGAAAGAUAGCCUUUUUGGCUAUAGGAUCAAGUUUAUUUUCAGUCACAUGAAAAUAAGCAGGUGAACCAAAAAUACGGAUAUAGUCAUAAUCAGAAGAAGGUUUUCCAAUCCAUACCUCCAUUGGUGUCUUACCCUGAACAGCAGCUGAGGGUAACCGGUUGAUGAUGUGACAUGCAUAAUUAACUGCUUCUGCCCAAAAUGACUUGCUUAAACCCGACUGAGACAACAUACAUCUAACCUUCUCAAGCAAGGUUCGAUUCAAUCUUUCUGCAACUCCAUUUUGUUAUGGAGUUCCCCGAACACUAAAAUGUCUCACAAUUCCUUCCUCUUUGCAAACUUUAAAGAAAGGGUCGGAUGUGUAUUCACCACCAUUAUCCGAUCUCAAAAUAUUAAUCUUUCUCCCAGUCUGGUUCUCAACCAUUUUCUUCCAACUCAAGAAAAUGCUCAAUACCUCACUCUUGUGCUUCAUAGUGUAAACCCAAGACCUUCUUGAAUAAUCAUCAACAAAGGUCACGAACCAAUGUCUAUCACUCAAAGAGGGAGUCUUUGUAGGACCCCAAACAUUCGAAUGCACAUAAUCAAGAAUGCCCUUCGUCUGAUGUACAGCAGUACCAAACUUCACUCUAGUUUGCUUCCCCAAGACACAAUGCUCGCAGAAAUCAAGCUUACAAGUCGUGACACCUUUUAGAAGACCUUUUUUCACAAGCCCUUGUAGAGCUUUCUCACCGGCAUGACCUAAUCUCAUAUGCCACAAUCUAGUAGUAUCUGAAUCAGAUGUGCCCAUAUUUUCAGAGACUACUGAUGCUUCACCUGUCACCGUGCUUCCCUGCAAUAAAUACAAAUGGCCACAUCUAGGAGCUUUCAUCACAACAAGUGCACCAUAAGUAACUUUCAAUGUUUGUCCAUCUGAAUGAAACCUGAAACCCUUGGAUUCCAAAGUACCCAAAGAAAUAAGAUUUUUCUUCAAAUUCGGUACAUACCGAACACCUGUCAACUCUUUAACCAUGCCAUCAUGCAACUUCAAACGAACUGUACCAAUCCCUUUUGUUGUGCAAGGAUUGUCAUCUCCCAUGAACACAACUCCACCAUCAAACUCUUUCAAGCUUGAAAACUAAUCCUUGUGAGGAGUCAUAUGAUGAGUACAACCCGUAUCCAACACCCACUUAGUAGCACAAUCAAAUGAUGAGGAAGUGGUUAAAGAAAAAUCAGAAAAAUCUGUUUCAACCUCAGCAACAUUAGCUUCAGAACUUUCUUUGCCUUUGGUCUUCAACCUAGGACAAUCUUUCUUCCAAUGACCCUUAUUAUGACAAAAGGCACAUUCAUCCCUUUCCAAAGGUUUUCUACCUUUAGAGUUUCCUCUAGGUCGAGACUGUGAUUUUUUCCUACUAGAAGAUGAUCUUCUCUCCGAUGAUCUACCUCUAACAAAUAAAGCUUCAGAUGUACUAUCAUGAUUUUUAUCUCUAUGCCUCAUUUCAUAAUUCAUCAAGGCAUUUGACACAUCUUCAAAUUUCACAGUUUCUUUACCGUGUAUAAUAGUGGUAACAAAAUGCUCAUAAGAGUCAGGCAAUGAAUUCAACAAUAUUAAGGCCUUAUCUUCAUCCUUAAUAUCCUCAUCUAAAUUUAAAAAGUCGGCAAUCAACUUAUUAAAAGCAUGAAGGUGUCUAAUCAUUUUUGUACCUUCUUUGUAUUGGAAGCGGUAGAGCUUUUUCUUCAAGUGUAGCCGGUUCUCUGCACUCUUCGUCAUAUACUUGUCUUCCAAUUUUUGCCACAACACACUUGCUACCGUCUCCCGCAUCACAAAAUACUUUUGAGUUUUUGCAAGGCACAACCGAAUUGAAGAGCAAGCCCACAAAUUUAAUUUCUCCCAUUCCGGCUUCGACAUAGCUUCCGGCUUCUCUCCCAAAGCGGCAAGUAGAUCUUGUUGAGCCAACACAUCUUUGACCUCACAUUGCCACAUCCCGAAGUUGUUUGUGCCAUCAAACUUUUCAACUUCGAACUUUGCAUUUUGCACCGUAGUUCUUGCAAACCCGGAGGUGCUUCUAAAAGGAUUCUCAUCUUGCCCGUCUGACAUAUUUGGCAACUAGACAGUACCCAAGAGCAACCAGUGCUCUGAUACCAAUUGUUGUGCUAGGAUAGCACCAAACCCGUUGGAACCAACUCAAGCUAACCCACAGGAAAUUUAUCAAAUGAAAAAGCAAGAACAAAAUAUUAAAGACACCAAGAUUUUAACGAGGUUCCUCAACAGUCAGUGUAACUGGAGUACGUCCUCGGAGCAGUAUGAGCUCACCCAAGAAUCCACUAUCAACCAAAUGGGAGUUUACAAAGUGUUGGCAAUCUCACAACCCAAAACCCUAAUACACCCAAUAACUCUCACUCACCAAAGAAACAAAUAGAGAGGGAAAUAUAGUGAAUAAUUUCCUCUCUAUACAAAGCUCAAAGCUAAUACACAAAUACAACUUUGAUUGAGUGAGUACCAACAAAGAAAGAAAAUCACAUUUCUUUCUUCUCUUCAAAAUGAGGCUGCAGCACCUCUGUUUUCUUCUCUGUUUUUCUGGUGCACUCUAUCACUACAAUCAGAAAAUGCUCUCUAUUUUCUGCACCUUCUACAACUCCCUUUCCGUUUCUCUUAUUUCCAAAGGCUAAAUAAAAAAUUAAUUUUCUCCAACAUCAUCAUUUGUCAUCAUAACAAAGCAAGGAACAACAUCAUGAUGUCUCCAUUUUUUUCUUUUUAACAAACAUAAUCAUUUGUCUUUUUCUUUCUUUUGCUUUGUUUAAUAGCUAAAAGGUGAACUUUCCAAGUGGCAACUCAACAAAGAGGACCAAGAAGGAGAAGAGCAACGAGGAGGAGGUGCUGAUCAUCAAGGACAUCGAGUUUGAGAGCAACGAGGCGGUGAAGUUCAAUGUGUUUAUUAAUGACGAUGCUGAUUCGCUGAGUCGGAAGGACAAGUCUGAGUUUGUCGGGAGUUUUGUGCACGUGCCGCAUAGCCAGAAGACUGGCCUAAAAACAAGUCAAGUCAUUUCGUUUAUUUGUGAAAAAACGAAUUGUGAUUCUUUAUUUGUUGUUUACUAAGACCAUCUCCAACCCUUGGGCUAAAAGCCAAAUUUUUUAGCCCGGAAAAUUUAGCUUUUAGCCCAGAAACAUCUUUUCUGCUUCAACCCUUCUACCCUAAAUUUUAGCCCGAAAUUAUUAAAGAAUGAAAUUAGCCUAAAUUUUUUUCUUAAAUCAAUUUUUUUUAAAAAAAAUAAAUAUGUAGAUUAUUGUAAAUUAAUUUUAUGAACAUUUUAAUCUAAAAAAAUUUAAAUUCCGAUAAACAUUUCGCAUUUAGCCCGGGGGGAAAAUUGGGGGGUAUUUGGCCCAGAAAUAGCAUUUGGCAUUUAGCCUAAAAUUUUAGCAUGGGUUGGAGAGUGUUUGGGGGGGUAAUUUGGCUUUUAGCCCAGGGUUGGAGAUGGUCUAAAAGAUCAUUUGAUAACCGGUCAUUUCGUUUUUACUUUUCAUUUUUUCGAAAAAUGAAAUCUUGUUUAGUAACUAUUUUCACUUUUCAAAAAAAUGAUAACAUAAACAAAAAAGUGAAAACUUAUGGCCAAAUUUUAAAGACGGAUAAUAUUAGGGAUACUAAUUUGUAGACAAAAGUUACAAAUUAAAUGAUGUUUUACCAAUAAGACUGAUUAUGUUUAUUGAUGCUUAAGUAAUAAACCAAUCAUCAAAUUUCAGUCCUUUAGUUUUUAAAAUUUUGUCUACAAAUUUAGUAUAUCAAGCAUUACCCUUUAAAAACUCAUGAAAAUAGGUUUCAAUUUUCAGCUUUCAAAAAAGUAAAAAUGAAGGCUGAAAAUGAAAUGGUUAUCAAACAUCCCCUAAAGAAGUCAUUCUUAGUGAUAAUAAGGAGAGACUAGAGAGAGAUUCCUAUACUUAGCCGUGAGAGUUUCCCAUAUAUGAUUUUCAUUAACAAGAUUGAAAUGAUUACAGAGAGAAGAUCAAGUAUGGUUUAUUUUUAUUUUGUAGAGUGUAGACUUUAUACCUAUACAUUCAUAAUAACAUGAGUAAUGUUAUAUUUAUCACAUUUGUACUUUUUUUCUAAUAAUAGUAGGACCUAUUAACACAUGUGAGUUCCAUUUGCCCAUCAACACAUAUGUGUCUCAUUUCUGUGAGAAAAAUAUGAUAUGGAAAAUAUGAUAAGAUCGCAAUUUUGUAAUAACAUAUAUACUCAACUAUCUAUAUACCGACCCCCCCCUCUCUCUUUUAGUGUAGAUAAUAUCGCUUGUUCAAAAAAAAAUGAACUUGUCAUAAUCAUUGAAUCUAUUUACCAUGAACAAAUGGCAGUUUACUAAACUUGCCCUCAUAGUAUAUAUAAAAGGUCAAUCACAAUCUAUUGGAUUAAUAUAAGGAAACAAUAUGCUAUGCACAAUGAAAAUUAAGCUCACACUUUAUCCCAAAUAAGGUGUUGCACAUUUAAUUUAUGGAUGCUGGUUUGGUAAAAUGAGAGGUUCGGAAACAAGGAUAAAGGCCAUUAUUGAAGCAAAUAAUUGGAGCAAUAAAUCAUGCAAAUAAUUGGUUGUCUCAUAAACGCCUAUUCGCAUCACUAUAAAUGCGUAUUUCCUAUAUUGCACAUGGAGUAGAAUUGAUCUUACAGUAUUGGUAAUGCUAGGGACGAACUUAUUAAAUCAAAUUUUAUAAAUUUGAUAACGUAGUUGUUGAUAAUUUAAGGGAAUUGUUAUUAGCACUCUAAAAAACUCAUUUGGCAUUCUAAACUUUCUAUAAUUAGAAAGAAAAAUACACUUAUAAGGGAGUGUAGAAUGAGAUUUUGGAGUAUUAAUAACAUUUCUCUAAUUUAAUUACUUAAGUGUUGAUUAACGUGUUUAAUUUCUAUUUGUGACACAUCAUAUAAUUCGCAUAUUCGGUCUAUCUAGCAUUACUCUAGAGUAAUAUAGAUCAAAUUUGUAAACUAUGUGAUGUGUCACCAAUAGGAAAAAAUUUCAGUAUGCUGGAAAUACGGCUCAGAACACCAAGUGUCAUAAUAUAUACUUGGUUGGAAAUUUUUUAUUUUCAAGUUUCCAACUAAUUGUAUUGUAACACUUCGUAUUCCAGACUAUGUUCUUAGUGCGCUGGAAAAUCUCUUCACCAAUAGGAAAUAAGCAUAUUAAUGAACACUUAAGUAAUAAUUCAAUCAUCAACAACUACGUCAUAGAAUUUAUGAAAUGUGGUCUAAAUUGAUGGUCUCCAUAGCAUUACCUUUAUCUUAGCGUAUACGUACCCCUUCACAUGUUUAUUUGCUGAUAUGCAGCUUGAGUGAAAAUUUCUUUUUAAGAACAUAUAUGUGAAUAUAAACAUAUAUAUCUAGUGACGGAUGUAGCGUUAUUUAAAAAUAAACAAAUUAAUUAAUUAAUAAAUGAACUGUGUACCUGUCUGUGUCGAGUAAUCCAUAUGUAUGCUUGAAUCCUGAUCACCACGAAACCCUAACAUAUAAGCUACUCAAGGCCCGAAAGCUUGGAUUGAAGAGAAAAACACCCAGUCAGAUUAAGCCAAUAUAUCAAAGUUAUAAUUCCAAAUGUAAGCUUUAAGAUUGAAAAAUCACUUACUACCUUGAGCAGUUGAGCUUCUUCAAUGGCAUAAAGCUUUUAGCAUGAGAUGGACUGCAUCACAACUAAAAUUUUCUCUUGGAAACUACACAAGGAAUAGCAUACAUACCUAUAACAUUGAGAAAGUACGCCAAUUUUUUCCUUCUGCUCGUUCAUGUUUAAAAUUAAUCCUCAGAUGAACUUGCCCACAAUGAAGUGCAAUUUGAGGUAGUCGAGUGUUCCAUUUCCAUCCUAUGGAAAUUACUACUAAACUUUAAGAUGGCAAAAGUGUUUAAGUUAAUAUUUAAACUAUGGGCUUUUAGGAAGGGAAGCCCAAAAAGGAGCUCAAGGAGGAGAUUCAGCUCGAGGCCCAGCACCUAAGCUCAUAUCAUCCAUCCUAAAAGCCAGUUGGCACCCCCAUUAAUACAAAUGCUAGUUGCAUACAAGAAGUGACAACCGAUGGGAGUUCACCUGCUCUAGGCCCAAAAGCACUUUAUGGAUGGCAUAGCAUGUAAAUAUCAAUGGUUCUCUACCCUCCAAAUUACUUUCGGGCAAGAACAGGAGCAGCACAAAUCAAGUUAACUCAUCUAUAAAAUGGGGAUGAGGGCCCAGAGACAAAGAGACUCAACCAAUCAAACAAACAUACAACUUGACUCUCAGCCAAGUAAAUGCCCAGAAAGUCGUGCUUUGUCCAGACUCUGCACCCUUUUAGCCUUAGAUUUCCUUAGAAAUACAUCUUUUGUCUAUGUAAAAGCUCUACUACCCUUUCCCAGAUGUCGUAGUAUCGAUCUUUAGUGUAUAAACUCCUUUCCAGUCGUUCCCCUUAAUAUUCAAUCAUCUGCAAACUGCAAGGAGAAGAGAUUGCAAGACGUUUAACCUUGCCCAACAAGGUGAAAUCUUGCUCGACUCUCUUUGUUUUGUCUUUCAAUUAAUAGAUCUGCACUACUACAAUAUUAGCUUUAGGUGGCGGAUGAUGGUGGCGGAUAUUAAAAAAUCCUGUCGAAUAAAUUAUAUCCGACACAUCAUUUAAUUACUGGCGGAUAUUAGAAAAAUCAUGUCGGUUCUAUCCAACAUAAAUUUCGGGCGGAUAUUUACUGGCGGAAUUUUUGAAUCUUUUUUUUUAAUAUUUUUUACAUAUCCUGGCGGUUUUACGUUAAUAGUGGCAGUUAUAACCGACAGAAAUUGACUAUUUUAUUAUUUUACUUUAUGGCUGUUAUAACCGACAUAGAUGAAAAUUUUAUUAUUUUAAAAUGUUAUAUUGAUUAAAAAUAAAUAAAUAAACACAUAUUUUAAAUAAAAAAUUUUCACUCAUGACCCUAAAGUCUAAUGAACCCAAUUCUCACAAGUCAUAAAUUUUCUGAGAGAAUAAUGACAAUAGACUACAAUCUAAAGCUCUAUCAUUUUUGUAAUAAGGAUUAUGCUCCCUCAUAGGCAAGCAACAAGAUACAAAGAAAUUUAAACAAUUUUUUCUAAUGCACAUAAACACACAUAAACACACAUGAACAUCUGAUGUACUUUAUCAUGUCUAAUUUUAUUAUUUUAAAAUGUUAUAUUGAUUAAAAAUAAAUAAACACAUGUUUUAAAUAUUAUAUUUUUUGCGAUUUUUUACACAUGCUAUCUCAUAGUAUAUACGAACAUAUUUGACGAAUGCAUAUCCUAUCAAAUUGAUAGAUUUAACAAACAUUUAAGAGUUAAUGUUAUGCUUCCAUUAUUUAUAAAAUAAGAUUUAUCCACUAGUGUGAAUAUUUUAAAUUGAAGAUUGAAUUCAUUCAUUGCAUUCUUAAAGGAUCGAGGAGUGUAGCUGCAAAAAAUCAUCAAAAGCGAAGCUAAAAUAACCGUUAAAUUGUGAUAUUUCCUUUAUAACCGUUGAAAACUUUUGUUUUGUUACCUAAUCUCUGAACGUUUGCUUUUUGUGAUUUUUUACGUAUGUGAUCUCGGAGUGUUUACAAACAAGUUUGACGGAUAGAUCAUUGAAAAAAGUUUCGUAGAAUGUGUAUUGCGUCAAAAUGGUAGAUUAAAUAAACACUUAAGAGUUAAUGUUAUACUUCCAUUAAGUAUAAAAUAAAAUUGUGUGGUAUCCACUAGUGUAAAUAUUUUAAAUUGAAGAUCAAAUUCAUUCAUUACAUUCUUAUAGGGUCGAGGAUUGUAGCUGUAAAAAAAUCAUUAAAAUCGGAGCUAAAAUAACUGUUAAAUUGUGAUUUUUCGUUUAUAAUCGUUGAAAACUUUUAUUUUGUUACCUAAUCUCUUAAUGUUUGUUGUUUGUGAUUUUUUACGUAUGCGAUCUCGGAGUGUGUACAAACAAGUUUGACGGUUGGAUUGUUGAAAAACGCUUCGUAGAAUGCAUAUCCUAUCAAAUUGAUAGAUUUAACAAACAUUUAAGAGUUAAUGUUAUGCUUCCAUUAUUUAUAAAAUAAGAUUUAUCCACUAGUGUAAAUAUUUUAAAUUGAAGAUCGAAUUCAUUCAAUGCAUUCUUAUAGGGUCGAGGAGUGUUUCUGUAAAAAAUCAUCAAAAACGGAGCUAAAGUAACCGUUAAAUUGUGAUUUUUCGUUUAUAACCGUUGAAAACUUUUCUUUUGUUACAUAAUCUCUUAAUGUUUGUUUUUUGUGAUUUUUUACGUAUACGAUCUCGGAGUGUGUACAAAUAAGUUUGACGGUUGGAUCGUUGAAAAACGCUUCGUAGAAUGCGUAUCGCAUCAAAACGGUAGAUUAAACAAACACUUAGAGUUAAUGUUAUACUUCCAUUAAGUAUAAAAUAAGAUUUAUCCACUAGUGUAAAUAUUUUAAAUUGAAGAUCAAAUUCGUUCAAUGCAUUCUUAUAGGGUCGAGGAGUGUUGUUGUAAAAAAUCAUCAAAAUCGGAGCUAAAGUAACCGUUAAAUUGUGAUUUUUCGUUUAUAACCGUUGAAAACUUUUCUUUGUUACCUAAUCUCUUAAUGUUUGUUUAUUUUUAUUUUUUACGUAUGCGAUCUCGGAGUGUGUACAAACAAGUUUGACGGUUAGAUCGUUGAAAAACGCUUCGUAGAAUGCGUAUCGCAUCAAAACGGUAGAUUAAACAAACACUUAAAGUUAAUGUUAUACUUCCAUUAAGUAUAAAAUAGUGUAAAUAUUUUAAAUUGAAGAUCAAAUUCAUUCAAUGCAUUCUUAUAGGGUCGAGGAGUGUUGCUGUAAAAAAUCAUCAAAAUCGGAGCUAAAGUAAACGUUAAAUUGUGAUUUUUCGUUUAUAACCGUUGAAAACUUUUCUUUUGUUACCUAAUCUCUUAAUGUUUGUUUUUUUUGAUUUUUUACGUAUGCGAUCUCGAAGUGUGUACAAACAAGUUUGACGGUUAGAUCGUUGAAAAACGCUUCGUAGAAUGCGUAUCGCAUCAAAACGGUAGAUUAAACAAACACUUAGAGUUAAUGUUAUACUUCCAUUAAGUAUAAAAUAAGAUUUAUCCACUAGUGUAAAUAUUUUAAAUUGAAGAUCGAAUUCGUUCAAUGCAUUCUUAUAGGGUCGAGGAGUGUUGCUGUAAAAAAUCAUCAAAAUCGGAGCUAAAGUAACCGUUAAAUUGUGAUUUUUCGUUUAUAACCGUUGAAAACUUUUCUUUUGUUACCUAAUCUCUUAAUGUUUUUUUUUGUGAUUUUUUACGUAUGCGAUCUCGGAGUGUGUACAAACAAGUUUGACGGUUGGAUCGUUGAAAAACGCUUCGUAGAAUGUGUAUCCCAUCAAAACGGUAGAUUAAACAAACACUUAGAGUUAAUGUUAUACUUCCAUUAAGUAUAAGUGUAAAUAUUUUAAAUUGAAUAUCAAAUUUAUUCAUUAGACAAUAUUUAUUUAUGUUUUUCAAGUAUUGAUUAGACAAUAUUUAGUUUGUGUGAUGACAUUUUAUCGCAUAUUUUACAUGCAUUAUUCUCUAUUAAACCAAAAGUGUAAAAAUUAUCUAUUAAACCAAACAAUUAUUUAUUUAAUUUUUAAAAACAUAUUCUAUUUAAAUACAUAUUAUUUAUUUAUUUAUUAAACCAAACAAUUAUUAUUUUAUUUUUUAAAAUUGUAACAAAAUUUGGGGGGAAUUUAAAAUUUUGAGGGAAAAUUUUAAAAUUUUCGGAGGGAAGUUUGCCGCCAUUUUUUUGUCUGUCGGUUAUAACCGACAGUAAUGAAAUUUUUCUGUCAGUUUUUAUUUUUAAAAAAUGUUUCUGUCGGUUUUAACCGACAGUAAAUAAAAUAACCUAAAUUUUUAAAACCCAUCCAUCUUCCUUGCGCCGAUGCUUCCCCCUUCCCCCUAUUCUCCUGUCCUCAUUUCUUUCUCCUUCUCCUUCUCCUCUUUUCUUUUCUAUUCUGUUCGAACACUUGCAACCCAUUCCAACCAACAAUUCCAGACACACUGUAGAGGGCGUGGACAGAGGGUUGAUGGGAAGGGUUGGCCGUGGACGGAUGGUUGAUGGGAAGGGUAGGAGCUAGAGAGAGGGGGUGAGGGGUGGGUUCUGUCCACUGACGUUGGUUGCUGGGAGAGAAAGAGAGAGAGAGAGAGAGAUGGGGAAAAGUAUGGGGUUAAGGUUGAGGGGAACGAAACGGGUACAGAGAGAGAGUGAGGAAGGGACAUAGGAGUUAGAGGUAUGGAUUGAUUUGUCAGGGGCUGCUGCAUCCUUCCUAUUCGAAAGGUAACAAAUAAUUUUCAAUUCAUUCUGCUGCAUCCUUACUAUUCGAGAGGUACAUGAAUGGCUUCUCAUCUGAAAUUAUUAAACAUUGGAUUUGCUAGUUUGGUUGCGCAACUAUGCAGGUGCUCUCUCCAAUCUAUCGAUCAGUUUAGUGCUAGCUGUUAUUGCUGCCUUGGAAGUCAACAAUAUUCCUUCAGCUCCUUGGUUCCUGUCAUUGUGUUUGCAUAUUUUAUAUCAUUUGGUUUCUCAGGUUAUGUAUUUAUGUUUGGCGUUGCUUGCUUAUUGUUUUCGUGUUUAUAUUGUAUCAACGACUCUUAGCUUGUUUUGGCUUCUUGCAGGCUUACGGGAUUCUGGAAAAAUAUCUGUGUUAUUUUGUUCCUCUCCUCGAACUGAAGAGAUGAUGUUCAUGUUAGCAUGGAUGUUUGUCUAGUCUCCUCACAUAAUGAAAUGUUGUGCUUGACAUGAAUAAGGGUACUUGAUACAACCAUUUUUUCCGAUUUUGUUUGGCCAAGAAUGUAUCUGUAUAAAAUCCAAAUGCAACCGCAGUUGGGUGAUGGAUUACAUUAUCGCUCGUUUGUUUAACUUCUAAGAUUUCUACCUGCGAUAAUUUUGCAAUAUCUUGUCUGUCAUUGUGAUUUUCUUUCCCUGAUUGCAACCAUACGAAAACUUAGGUUGAGGAUUUAGAACGAAUAUUAGCAAGCUUCUCUUAUCUAUAUUGUUAAUUUGUUAUAGCCUAGAAAGGAUGAUCAUGACCCUCCCUGUUUAUCAUUAUCAGUGUAGGGGAUGGGCGGAGGGGUCGGAUGACGAGUCGUGGACUAAGAAAACGGUGCCCAUUAUUGCUCCCUUGCCUAAGACUUUAAAGGCCCUGACAGUCACCGGUGAGAUCGAGCUCCGGCGAGGUUGGAUGGUGAAUGUGGGGAUAUGGAAAAUGCAGAAAGCAAUUUUUUUUUUAUUAUUAAUAUAAGUCAUAUCGGUUUUAGCCGACAUUAAAUGAUUUUAUUUAUUAUUUUUAAUUAAUUUCUGUCGGUUUUAGCUGACAGGAAAUGGUUUUAUUUAUUCAUUUUUAAUUAAUUUCUGUCGGAUGGUUUAAUGAUUUUCUGUCGGUUUUAUCCGACAGAAAUAUUUCUGUUAGUUCUAUCCGACACAAUUUCUGUCGGUUUUAGAGUAUUUUCUGUCGGAUCUAUCCGACACAAUUCCUGACGCAGGCAAUUCUGUCGCUUAUUAUAUCCGCCACUGCAUCCAUUUUCUGUCGGAUUUUGCUUAAAAUCCGACAAUAAUAUAUGUUUUUUGUCGGUUUUCAAAACGCCACUAAUAACUGGUUUUCUAGUAGUGAUGGUGCUAUAAUGUAUUCCCUAGUUUAUAUUCAAGUUGUUUCUAGUCUUUUGAUGAUUCAAAGCCCUAUCAGUUCCCAGAUAUAGUUCACUUAGUGGUUUUAUCAAGAUUGGAAUGAGUUAAACUGAUGACUUGAUCAGAUCUGGACCUCCACCCCUCGAGCAUACAAGAUAACUAAAAGUCCUUGAUAUCAAGGCAUAGAAAAGAACUUAAUGUAGACUUAACCCAUCCUUUGAUAAACAAGAAAUCUGAAAUAACUUGGGGUGCAAGUAAUCGGCUUAAAACACACUUGUUCUACAUCUUCCAUACAAAAUGGCAAUGGCACGCCUAAGCAUUUAGUUGGUUUUGAUUGCGAGCCUCAAGGCCUACACCUAAGGCCCCAUGAAGGCACCUUUCAGAACUAACUCUAUUAUCCUCUUGCAGCAUUGUGACAAGCAGGAGUCCGACAAUCAACCAAAGUGCCAACUCCUCGGGGAGCUAUGUGCUCGAGCCAGGGACGCCCACUGGCCAAAUUUCUUGCCCGAACAAAAAGGUCCAUGAAGAAUUUUACUUUUGAGAUUGUCUCCUUAGCAUUUCUCUUAGCUAUAAUAACGAGGAAAUACUUCAUCUUGUAUCAAACAAGGGAGACAGAAAGUCAACUACAAAUAGCAUCACAGAGCCAGCAAGAUUGAGGAGGCCAUGAAGAGGAAAGAGAAAAUACACUCUUGUUUUGUAAGGACAGAGAUAAUACAUUCAAUGAAGGGUACUGAUGUUUAUAUGCAAAGCUGAUAAAUAGUCGUAUUUAUUCUCUACAAUGCCAAUAUUACCCCUCGUUAGUACACUUUCAAGACACUAUACUCCAGUGUAUGCACUAUGCAGUACGUUGUACUCCUCAUUUUUUUAGGAAAUUCGUUAUUGGCCUUCAUGUCUUCUUUAUUUUCCUUGUCCUCAUUGUGCCACAUGUCUAAAACACUAAUUAUAGGUAAAAGAAAGAUAAUUAAAUGUCAUUUAGUACUACAAUCUAACGAUAUUCCUCUUCAGUGUAAAAAUUUUAUAAUUAAAACCGUUCAAUUUUUUAAUAUCUUCAUUUGAAUAUUAUCUGUACAGAAAAAUUAUUCGAAUCAGAGAUCGUUUAUGCAUUCAAAUGUAUGAAAUAAAUUGACAUUGUGAGUACUAAUUAAUAUUUUUUUUAUAAAAUACAAUUAUUUAAUACAUUUGAAUGACCAAAUGAUCUAUAAUUCAAAAUAAAUAUUAAGAUAUUAAAUAUAAUUAUGAAAUUAAUAAAGUAAAGAUACAUGACCUCGUGAAGGAUGCAUGUAUUAUUAAAAAAAUAUAAAAAAUUUGAAAAACGAUGCCGUUGUUGCCACCACUUUUGCAAUGAUCGUUGCCACCACUUCUGCAAUGAUCGUCGCCACCAUCACCAAACCCCAACACCCCAUUACAGCUCAUAAAAGCACAUCAAAAGAAAUUUAUAAAAUAAAAUUACUCGAAUACCAAAUUCCCCCUUAGUUUAGGUCACCAAUGUUUAGAUUUUAUCACAACUUUCAUUCCAAAUUUACUUUUUAUCCGUUGCUUUGUUUGUUCAAAUUUACUUUGGCAUUUCAAUUAGUAUUAAAAUCUAAUUUAAAUUUUAGUGUUCAAACUAGAAGAAAAGAAAACUAACGAAAAGUUCAAAAAAACUUUAGUUUUAAUGAAAAAUGACAAAUAAAGAUGUAGCGAAUAGUACCAGGAAAAAGUAAAAAUAUGUUUUUUUGUUAAAAAAUGAAUAGUACCGAAAGUGUUGCAAUUCCCUAGAAGAAGUGUUCCAUUUAAUAUUUAAUAUCAGUUUUUCUCUUUAUUCUUUUAUUGGGAUUUGGUUGCAUCGUAUCUCCAUUUUUCUUGGUGUUGUAUGUUCAUAAGGCUUGUGAAAUGAGUUGAAUAUCAGAGUGCGCAACGAACGAGACUACAAAAUAAUAGGAAUAUUAUUAAAUAAACGAGAAUGCCGGAACGGCUACAAAACCCUAAAGGCUACAUUGUGAAUGACUUUUUCUCUAAUGAAUAACAAAGCACCCUAUUUAUAAUAGCCUAACCCUAAUCUCUAACAAAACCUAAUUCUAACCGGCUAAGGCCAGAAAACCAAACAUUCAAAUAAACCAAAAUACUAAUAUUUUCCAACAAAACGUUGGCAUGUAGUGCAUGGUACUCAUUUUUUGGCCCAAAAUGCAUAAGGCAUGUAGAUAUGUAGACUAAAUUUUAUAAACUAAAUAACAUGAAAGUUGAUGAUUAGAUUAUUACUUAGGGUAAUGCUAGGGAGACUAAAUUUGGAGAGAAAAUAUACAAACUAAAUGAUGCGUCACCAAUAAAAAUGAGCAUGUUUAUCAACACUUAAGUAAUAAACCAAUCAUCAACUUUCAUGUCAUUUUGUUGAUCUUAAAAACUACCAAGCCUACGUGGCGCGCAGGCCGAGUAAUUAAUAAGCUAACUACAACCUUCGGUUAUGUGCGGGACAUCACAACUAGUCGGCCGAGCUCGGCCGGGGAGUAAAAUGUGUUGAUGUUGCGUUGAGCGCGCUGUUGACUUCUUGGUCUUGCAACUGCGGCCGAGGAAGGAACACGUCUUGGCCUUCAGGCUCUAGAGCCUGAAGACAAGGCUGCUAGUUCUGCGAAGUUCAAUAUUAGAUUCGGCUUUCAACGUGCCAAAUGUAGUAACCUGGUAACACCUUACUUCGCCGAGAAUGCUAAUGAGAUGACCUCUACCAACAAGGACUCAAAAAUCCUUGUCGAUUGAGACUUGGAUAGGUAAUCAGUCGGUCGAAAAGCAGUGUUGUUUAUCCAAACUGAAGGUGUUCCUUGAUCGGUUGAUUCUACAAAUCCAGUGUUGUUUAUCUAAACUGAAGAUGUCGCCGAUUGCCUUCACAGUGUUGUUUAUCCAAACUGAAGAUGUGUCAGCGGAAAAAAGAAAAUAAAAAUCUCAAGGUUAUUGAUAGGUUUUGCGUAGAGCGAGAGUUUGCGCAGGGCAAUUUGUGUGUUGAAUUGGAGAGAGAUUGAAUGUUGUCCGUGACUCUGUAUUUAGAAGCAAAUGUUGUGUGGUGCGACCAGAUAAUUUUGUAGAGUCCAACUGCAACUCUAAUUCGCGGAACUAAACUUGAUCCGCGUCAAAAGCCAAGGCAUAUCCUUCUAAUUGAUCCAUGGGAUUUGUUCCUUGACCUCUCAAACCUAAUUAAAGUUAGGCUUAUCAUAUCACAUCAGAAACCAAACCUAUUUAGGCUUCUUCAUAAUCUUUACCAUCAUAAUCUUUACCGAUGCAUGCAUCCUGAUCCCUACCAUACUUUGAAUAGACAAUAAUCAGUUUGCAACACACCACUUGUCAGUCAACCACACUGAUCUCACCUACACAUUCACACGCCAAAACAUCCAAAUCAGCUUGAAUUGUGCUGCCAUGUUUCCAGUUGGAAAUACAUAUCUCAUCUUUCAUAAUAAAUUAUUAUUAAAAGAUAAUUAUGAUAAAACACCAUAACAUUAUCCUUUAAUAAUAACAAAAUGAAUUAUCUCCACUUUUCAUCUGACGGUGUGAAACUAUGCUCACUCAACGACCUUGAUUGCACGGGCCGAUGGUGACACGCCCCGAUCCCAAUAUUCCCCGAAUACCAGGAUAGGCAUGUGCUGGCCGACAUCCGAGAGUGACGAAAGCCAUUUAUUGAGUACAAAUGCUGAGAAUAAAGGAUGGAUAUGACUUAUAAAUAUAAAAGAAUCAAGAAUAUGCAUUUAAGGAACGUGUUCAAAGCACACAACUAACUAGAUUACUAAAAGAAAUAAUAUAAAAUGGAGUGAAUAAAAGAAUGGGUCAUACACCGAAAGGACUCGAAGAAGUUGAUGUAGGAGUCCUUUGACGUCAGGAUUGUAUGCCUCGAUUCUAAGUCCUGAAGGGGGCGCAAAACAAACAUGAGUGGACCAAUUUGAUAUAUAAAUAGUAAAACAGUUAUCAACGUACUAACCCCCAGGUUUUAUGAAAACACAUAUAUAUCAUGAUAAACAUAAUUUUUUCGAAACCUAGCAUGCCGUGCAAUGUCUCAAACCAUACCUUGUAUAUAUAUAAUAAUCACUAGUGAAUUGUUCGAUAAACCCCAGGCCCCAUGCCGGCUCCCCGUCUCUGAGCAGACAGUCAGAGGAAAAUAUACUUCAGGCCCCAUGCCGGCUCAUGCCGGCUCCCCGUCCCUGUGCUAAAUAGCCAGAGGAAACACAUUACAGGCCCUAUGCCAACACCAAACCGUCGCCCAGGACGGACCGGAUCUAUCCCUACUUCCCGUAGCGGAAAUGACCACUAGGUAAAUACAAAACCAUUGAACAUACAUAUAUUGAAAAGCAACUUCAUAGUAUAAAGUCAUCCAUCAUCUAUAUUAUAAAGAGGUGUUCGAAACAUGUUCUAAAUAUCAUAUCGUCAUCCAUCGGAUAUUCUAUAAGAACAUGAGUUAUAGGAAAAAUAGUAAUAAUUCAAAGUAGCCUUAGUAAGCAUGUUAUCUCACAAAACGUUUCAUAAAAUGUAAUCAUCAAAUCAUGCUUUUCAUGUAUGCAUUUCUACUAUUAAAACAUGAAUUUUGAGAAGGGGUCCACUCACAGUACUUAGCCGCCGAAGAGCCACGCAAACUAGUAACCACGAAAACAUCACAAAUAUUGCCCUUAAGCACAUAAAUGGUCCAAUUAAUAAAACUCUAUUGUAACAAUUGAAUUUGGGAAAACGGAAGUUGGAAACGGAUUCAGAACGUCAAAUUACCCUAAGAAGGGUCCUGGAUAAAUUUCGUAAAAUGUCAACAAAAUAUUCCCUGACAUAAUAUUUCCCAUAAAAGGUAUGGGCCGAUUAGGGUUUAGGGUUAGCUAAUUAGGUGGGCUAGGUUUAGAGGAGAGGGCUUAGGGCCCUGGUUCAAAAGGCCCGAAGGCCUUAAGCCUAAGGGUUUUGGGUUUUUAGAUAAAAAGGCUUAGGGCCUUAGCUAAUUUGGCCCAAAGGCCUUUAACUUAAAACAAUUAAUAAAAAUACAUAAUAAAAAUUGAAAUGGGUUUUGGGUUGGGCUCGGCAGGAAAGGCCCAAAGGCCUUGGGAUUUUUGGGUUGCAGAAUUCAAAGGAAGGAGAAGGCCGGAUUCGGCCGGAAAACUACAUCAACUUUAAACGGCCAUAACUUUGUCAAAACUCAACGAAAUCGAGUGAUUCAAAAACAGAAAUUGUAUCCCUCGAAGAGACGAAGAGAAUGGUACCUCGCACGAUGUGGUUUAAAGUUGUUGGACUCGCCGGAAACUGGGUAAGAUUCAAAUGAGUAUAACUUCUUCAAUACUCAACAAAAUUGGGUGAAACAAAAAGGAAAGUUGUAGUACUCAGUGAGACCAAGAGAUUGAUACCUUGCACGCCGGCCAACUCACUAUAGUUUGGCCGGAAAUUGCCUCGAAAGUGGCGGUGCUCGCCAGAAAAUUUGGAAAAGCUUUCCCGAGCUAUUUUCUGUGAUUCAAAUGUAUACACAACUUAAAACAAGCUUCAAUCUAACCCUAAAACACAUCCCAGGGGUUUUUAGAAGCUUACCAACAUUGAAAAAUCAAGAAACUCAUCGGGGAAGAAGAUGAACAGUACCGGCCGAAUGGAAGAGAGGGGUUUGGGGUGCUAAUGGAGAUGUUGUUGUUGUUGUGGUGUUGUUUGUUGGUAAGAAAAGCCCUUGGAGGGGCUGAGAUAGAGAGAGCUGAGAGAGUGUAAGGGAGAGCGAGGGAGAAGAGAGAAAGAGAGACUUUUCAAAAGAAAGAAGAAAAAAAAUAAAAGAAAGGGAAAGGGAACGGGAACGGGGGACAAAACAGGGGGUGGGCCCCUUGAGCACAAUCCAAAAAUAAUUUUAAAAGCAAGAUAAUAUCAAACUUAGUGAAAAUACAAUUUAAAUUAGGGGUGAGUGUAACAGAUUGUGUAAAUUUGGGUCCAAACACCUUUAGUUUCCAAAAUUUAGUAUAUAAAUUUAGUCUCCCUAGCAUUACUCUAUUACUUAAGUAUUGAUUAACGGACUUAUUUCUUAUGGUGACACAUUAUUUUAGUUUACAAAUUUAAUCUACAAAUUUAGUCUACCUAACAUUACUCUUUUGAGAAUUUAACUAUCUUGUCCACUAAUAUAAUUCUAUUUUUCUUAUGAUCAAAACUUCAAAUGUUAGCAAGUCGCACGUAAAGUCGCUUCUGAGAGAAUGUGCUCACAUUGUAGUUGAAAGAUUAUGUGGCUAGCAACAUUACAAAUUUAAUUUGGUAUAAUUUUAAAAUAUGGAUUGAGGAAAAAAAUGAUCACAUUAACUAGAAACUGAAAAGGUUUCAGCACAGUUUGUUCAAGCAAGAAACUCAAUUUUGAUGCUACCGAUCUUGAGCGCCGUACCUGGGCACCAAAGUCACCACCACACUCUCAUCAUCUUCAGCACCCAAAUCCUCCAACAGGUCCGUUAACCCCAACCUUAAACAACUCUUGCUCUUUUCCUUCUGCUUAUGUGGCACACUCACAAAACUCCCAGCAAACUCGCUCUUGUCGGGUCCACUCGGUGCCGCAUCCUCAUCGUCCACGUCAUUCACAUACACAUCAAACUUCACAGCCACAUCUUUGUCAAGCUCAAUCCCCUGAAUCACCAAUAUCUCCUCCUCAUCCUCUUUCUCCUUCUUGCUCCUCUUCUUCGGCUUCGGCCUUGACACCACCGUACUUAUCUUCGUCUCCAAAUUUAUUGGAAAAUCUUUACCCGCCACCACCUUCCCUGAUGACGUCGUCUCAGCGGCCUUCGCCACUCCAGCCGCCUUUGCCUUUCUCGCAAGCUUUGUCCGACGUGGCGUCGGUCUAGACUUGAGCCAUGGAAUCUCAACAUCUUCAUACGUAUACCCUAGCUUUUUAUUAUCAAGAGUGUCCCUCACCGUGACCCUAACAAGCUCAGCAUUCUCGUCAUAAAACAAAAACCCCGUAUCCAACCAAUCCUUAUCGUUAAUAUCUUUAUUUUUAGUCCCUAUACUUUUCCAAAUAUUCCACAUUCGAUCUAUAUUCGAAUGGUGCGAAAAAAAUAUUGGAUCCCUUCCAGCGGAGUAAAAAUUCCCCAUGUCUUCAAAUUAGGUUGCGUGUUAUCUCCGGUCCAUAAAUGAACCGGACCAUGUGGGGUCGUUUCGAUUGAACCGCCCCCUGGAUCUGGUUCAGUGCCAGCCCUGUAGGGCGAACCAAAGAACAACAGCGGUUUCUUGGAGUUGGAAACCAUCUGCCUAUACAUAAUUUUGAGGUUGGCUUCGAUUUGAGCAUCGUUGGACAUUGUUUCAUCCGUGCCGUUGAAGUCAAGAUCGAUGAGAGUCGGCGGCUGAUGGCUGGCAGCGCGAAGCUCGUCGUAAAGCGGAGAGUCCGGGUUAGCGAACAAGGCAGGGAGUUGCAUGCCAGCUGGCGCGUCCCAGUUCCAAAACGGCAACGCGAACGUCGGAUCGUCUAUGAGUUUGGCCAAGAUUCUUUCGUGGAAGUAUAGGUAGUAACGAUGGAAGGGGAAGAAAAGCCAGCAUUGAUGGAUUUGGAGCUCGAGGUUGGGGAAGCCGACUUGGUCGUACGCGCCGUCGCAAUAGGCACAGUGGAGAUCGGCUUGCUGGGUGAAGCUACGCGGAUCGUCGUCCGGGAGGGCUUUCAUGAGCUCGAUGGCUUUUGAAUAUUUUUCGAUGUAGGCUUUAUCCACGGUGUGAGCUGCCGGCCUGACGCGGAGUUUGGUAGGGGAGGGGAAUUUGAAGUCUACGAUUUUUUGGGACGUUGGCGGGCAACAGUUGGUCGGGACUGCUCCACUUGGAAAGUCCGCAGCUCCGCAUUUGGCUAGGUCAGGCGGCGACACUGGCUUUGCAACAGCGAAGGGGUCGCUGCCAAGACCAGCCACUCCACCGUAUAGGCUUCCGAGACCUAUAAGUACAUUUCUUCUGUCUAGGUUUACUGGAGAAGGGUUUUCAUGGUCGUGAUCGUUGGAGCUAGUGGAAGGGUUUUUGUUUUGGUCACUACUAUUAUUUGUGGCUUUGCAUGAGACAGCUUGUAAAUUGGAAUGCCUAGGGUUUCCAAAUGAGGAUAUUCGGUGAUACUUUUGGGAGAAAGGGGAGAGGAAAGUUGUGGGGAUGAUACUUGUGGCGGAGGUGACGAGUGGAGCUGACAUAGAAGCCAUGGUUACUUUUGACUCUGAAUAAUACGUUGUAUUGGCUUUGCUUUUAUAAUGUGUUCUAGGUUGUACUUUUCUUUGCACAGGUGGCAGGCCGUACACACGUGGUCGGUCCUUAAGGGUUUGACGAGGAAUACUACGUAGUCAUUUAGUACAGGACAACCAUACACUAUAGCAAGUGGCAUGUAUUUAGAGAUCGAGAGAGAAUUGGGUAAGGUUCACGAGGGAUUUGUAGUUUCAGAAGGUGAAUUGGUUUUGGUCUUCUUGUGUACCAAUAAUAUUUACUUAGUCAUUUAGUGCAGGACAACCAUGCACUAUAGCAAGUGGCAUGUAUUUAGAGAUCGAGAGAGAAUUGGGUAAGGUUCACGAGGGAUUGUAGUUUCAGAAGGUGAAUUGGUUUUGGUCUUCUUGUGUACCAAUAAUAUUUACUUAGUCAUUUAGUGCAGGACAACCAUGCACUAUAGCAAGUGGCAUGUAUUUAGAGAUCGAGAGAGAAUUGGGUAAGGUUCACGAGGGAUUGUAGUUUCAGAAGGUGAAUUGGUUUUGGUCUUCUUGUGUACGGCUGUGGGUCUGCUGUCCCGGACUCUCUGUCUCAUUUGUGUCUUAUUUUUUAUUUUUUCACACGUGUCUUUUACUUAACGUCAAAUCAUGAUAGCAAUGUUAUGCAAUUGGGAGCUAAACGACCGAUGCUUUUAUUUUUUAGUUUGCUUUUUUUCCAGAUCUGAUCAAAUCAUGAUAGCAAUGUUAUGCAAUUUUCAAGAGGGAAAGAUGCACCUGGGAGAGAAACGGUACGGUGACUUCUAAAUCACCGUCCAACAGAACAAUUCUCAGUAGAGACUACUAGAGAGAGAUGCACCUCACCAAUGAAAAAUUUAACUGCAAAAAUUCUGGGUAUUGGGUAAGGAAAUUCGGUGAUACUUUUGGGAGAAAGGGAAGAGAGAAGUUGUGGGGAUGAUACUUCUCGUGGAGGUGACGAGUGGAGCUGACAUAGAAGCCAUGGUUACUUGACUCUGAAUACUACGUUGUAUUGGGUUUGCAUAUAUAUAUAAUUAGGAUUGAAGGAUGUAGAGCUUAUUUUGUUAUGUAUUUUAACGAUUUAAGUGCUUAUCUUUUAGGUUUUCUCUUAAACAUCAUGUCUAUAAAAAAUCACCAAAAUUCAAACCAUAUGACCAUUAGAUCCAUAGUCAUUUUAGUGUUUAUUUGUAAAAUGUAUUCAUUCAUUUUCUUCACUACAAAUGAGUGAAUUAAUGAUUUUAGAAUUUGUCUAAUUUUUUACAUUGAUUAUUUAUGAAUGUUGAAUUGAAAUUUAGACGAUUCAAAAAUAGUUGAUAUGCAUUACAAAAUGAACUCCACAAAAUAAGUGUCAAAAUAUGUAUAAAAAAUGGACAGCGUGAAUGGCUUGGAAAUUGGAAUAGGUUUGAAAAUUGUGCUUUUUGUAGCAAAUUUUAGCAAAGUUUGCUUGGACUUUCACAACCGUAUAAAUUAAAGGGAAACUUGAUAUAACUCCAAUUUUUUGAGCCAAUAGUAGGAAUAGUCCAGUUUAUUAAAAUAAGUUCAAUUCUUUAAAUUUAAUUAUUUAGUUAUCAAUAAUUAUCUCUUAAAAGAAAAAACUUAUUGUAAAAAUCAAAUUUCUUCCUAAUUAUCUCUUUGAUUAUUUCUUUUUAUUUAUUUAUUUGUUAUUUCUUGUUCUUCCUCCUGCUUUAACCCAUUUAUAGAUUUUUUUUUUAAUUUUAUAAUCAACCUAUGUCACAGGUUAAUUGUAUUUAUCUACCUAUAUGACAUAUUCUUUUUCAUAGUCAACAUUUCACAGAUUAAUGUGUCUUGCUUGUAGAUAUAUUAUGUUUUUUUCUACCUUUUAGUUAGGUUUCAUAUCUCACUUAUAGGUAUAAUAUACAUUCAUAUAUUUGCUACUUGAGUUAGGGUAGAAUGUUUUGCAGAUAGAUUUAUGUUAGUAUAUUAAUUUUUUUUUGUUUAUAAGAUAUUAAUUAGAUAUUUUGGAGUUGAAAAAUGCAUAAUAUUAAAAGCUUUUAAUUGAUUUUUAAUAUUUUUAGAAAAUAUAAAAGGAGUAUAAAAGAAAUCAAAACAUAUAAUUAGAUAACGGGAGUCACUCCUAAAAACACUCUAUGUUUUUUGACCUGGAUCUUAAAGCCCCUAAAUUAAACUGUUCGCUUUGUUGGGAAAAAGAAGUGGCCCUAGUUUCCCUUUGAUUUUUCAAGCACGGUGGGAGACUGGUCAUAGUUUCUAGAUUGAUGCUCUAAUUCUAAUGUUAUACAACGCGUACGCUAUAAUAUUUUUAUCAAAAUAUUAGUUUUAGUGUUAUCAAAACAAUAUGUUAUUCUUACCAUGUUUUUGUAUCACAAUUAUAUACCACCUUAGAUGGUAUCUGAUGUGGACAGCCACAUCAUUUAAAUUAAUAAGCAUUUAAUUUCAAAAUGUUAAUCAAUAAUUAAUAAAAAGAUUGUUAAUUAAAUGAUGAUUGUGGUAUACAAGGAGUCUCCUUCUUCCUUCCUCUUUCCAUUCUGCUUUUUCUUCUUACCUCUUUUUUUUUUUUAAUGCCAGUUUUGUAUUGAUUUCUGUUGAUUUCCAUGAUUAUGGUCAAUCUUUAUAGAAUUUACUAGUAUGCCACAAUCACCAUUGAUUUCUAUCUCCAGACUCAUGCCCCGUAGCCCUAAUCCUCAUUCCCCUUCAAGUAUUUCUGUCUCCAAUCUUCUUUGGUACUCCAUGAUUGUUCAUCUCGUGAUAUUUUUUUUUUUGAUUAUUUCAUUAAGUAACGCUUAUUAGCUUUCAUGCGAAUUAGGAGUCAAAAUCAAAUUUGUCUAUCGGAUUAGGGUUCAUACCCAAUUAAGUUACUAACGCCAGAGGGAUUUUGAAGUAUGCAAUUUUCCUUAUUUAAGUGUUUUAAUUAAUAAGAAAAUUGAAAUUAAACAAUUUAGCUUGUCCAACUCAUCUGCCACCUAAGAUGGUAAAUAAAUGUGGUAUAAAAUUGUGGUAAGAAUAUCAUUACUCUUAUCGAAAUUACAAAAAAAAAAAAAAAAGCUGAUUCAAUAUUUAGUUAUUAAAAAAAAAAUGAUCAAGUAACUAUCCAAUACCCAUGUAUUGGGUGCUUUGUUUGAAAAUUUUCAAAAUGAUAUUGGGCUCGUUUGGAUAUGUUUUUAAAAUGACUGAAAGCAUUUUUAGAGAAAAUAUUUUUUUGAUUCCAAAAGCACUUAAAGUGCUUUCUGCAAGAAGCACCCGUUAUGUGCUUCUUCCUGGAAGCACUUUAAGUGUUUUUCCAGCAUUUACUUGCUUUUUUACUAAGGACUGGUUCCAAAAACAUUUUCACAAAAAGUGUUUUCAGUCAUUUUAAAAGCACAUUCAAACGAGCUCAUUGUUUUUCCUAUUUUAAUCGAGUGCGUCGUCCUCUGUUGAGAAUGAAUCUCAUAUUAUGGGAGGAGGGAUCUUGCAUGAAUGGGAGGAGGGACCUUGCAUGAGCUUAUAAGUAAGUUGGGUUACUCUCCAUAUUGCCAAAAGAAAUUUUAUUUGGACCCAGUUUUCCUCUCUCUAAACCCAACUUUAAUAUUUUGUUACCUAUAAACUCUCUAGUUUACCCUCAUAAAUUAUAAACAUAAAUAAACUAGAAAAAGAAAAACUCAUCAAACCCAUUUCCCAACUGUUCUGGCGUCUCUUCCCUGUAUUUGUUGGGUCUGUCUCCCUCCCGACUGUUUUUUUUUUUCUGAUAUCUCUGUGUGUUCCCCCACCUCUCCCACACCCACCAAUUCUUUGUGGUGGCUAUUCCACCAAACGUCCAGUGAAUCUUUCCAUUUUUCUUCUAUUGCGCGUGAUAGGGCCUUGCUAUUAAUAGGCAAAACUAAGCGGCAUCGUCGACUCCGUAAGCGACUUGUUGCAUAAGUCCAAAAUGGAGUCAAAUGGAUUUUGUAUUGGGUCGGGUUGUUGAAGGCGAUGGCUGAUUUAGCAAUCCCGCCUAACUAUUUCUAUAUGUAGGAGAAGGAAGAGGGAGGGAGGUCUGAAGUGGUGGUUGAGUGGUGGCGAUGUAUGUGGGUUCUCUCUCGGUUGAAUGGGUGUAGAAAGAUAUUUAAUUUUCAAUAUCUUAUUUUAUUUUGUAUAAGGGAUAAUAUAGGAAUUACAUAAAAAGUUUUUUUUAUAGCUAGGUGUAGAAAUAGUAUUGUUGGGUCUAAAUAAAAUUACCCUAUUGCCAAUUAGUUUUAUGGUGAAAUCUUAACUUUGUUCAUGCUUUCAUAGUAGGUUGUUCCACGUGUGAAGUCAAACAUCCACACGCGCUGCACGUCACCCCGUUGUGUUGUUCACGUGUUAAGCUUGAAAAUUCAUCACACAUGAGGGAGCGUGUUGAGAAUAAAUUCCACAGUUUAUAAGUAAGUUGUACUACUCCGUAUAUUACCAAUUAAUUUUGUGGAAUUCCGUCAAAGCUGAAUUUGACGGAAAAAAAUAACUUCAUGUUUGUUCUUAACUAUAAAGUCAGUGAUACACUAAUUCUGGUUUGUUUGUUUUUUCCUUCCUUCUUAAGGAAAUUCCCAAUCCAACCAAAAAAAUGAAAUUCCCAAGAGAAUAGUAGCACGAACAAUCGUAGCUUUCUUCUUCGAUAAGCCUUGGGGAAACAGAAAAGGGAAAACCGGACUUUAACCCUAAUUUCUCCCAAUGCCGCAGCACUCUCUAUUUUCUCUCUCGCUCUAUAUCGCGGUCCCUCUCUCUCGCCGUCCUCUAUUGCUCAAACUCAAUGUCUCCAACUUCCUCUGUAUGGUUCCCGAGGAAGAUGGUAAAACAGUAAGGGCAAGAAAUUGUGACAAGGUUAGAUUUGGGUAUUAAUCUGGUGGGGCUACAAUUCUCCAAUCCACACCCCUUUCAUCUGUGCUAGUGUUUGAACCCAAUAUUAGAUAACCGGUCCAUGCAAUCGAUGCCGUUGAAUGAGAAAAAUUCUAGGCCGUGGGAUCAAAUAUAAUGAUGUGGAUUAAAUAAGGAAAAUUUAAAGAGUAAUGAUAUUCAUACCAUGUUUUUGUACCACAUUUUCAUACCACCUUAGGUGGCAUUUGAUGUGGAUAGCCACAUCAUUUGAAUUAAUCAGAUUUUAAAAUUUAGUUGAUUAUUUAAUAAACUAAUAAUUAAGAAAAACUAAUUAAUUAAAUGAUGAUUGUGAUAUACGAGGAGUCUUUCUCGUUCAUUUCUUUGGGUUUUGCAAAUUUUUCAAAUGAUGUGGCUGUCUACAUCGGAUGCCACCUAAGGUGGUAUAGAAAUAUGGUAUAAAAAUAUGGUAUGAAUAUCAUUACUCAAAUUUAAAUGUUUAUCUUGGUUAAAUUACCAUGAUAAUAUUGUGGAAUUAUCUUUUGCAUAACGGAAGAGCGAGAAAAGUCCAAGGGUGUAGGGAAGUUGUGUGGUUGACUACCGCUAUUUUGAUGGUAUAAUCUGUAGAGUAAUAUUACAUUUAACAUCUAUUUGUAUCAUAUUUCUAAUAAAGAUAAGGACCAUCAAUGCAUAAAUAAUUAAACAAAUAUAUAAUAAGAGUAUCAUUUUUGUAACUAGAAUAGGAGAAGAAAGACUUCAAGAUGGGAUCAGCCAAAUAAUUAGCGUUAAGAUAAAAAUAUUGAAAGGAAAACUAAUGAAAAUGGCUUGAAAACUUUGAGUUUUAACGAUAAGGACAAGAUAAAGGGUAAAGUGAAUAGUACCAGGAUUGACUUUUUAAUGUAAAAAUAUAGUUUUUCGUUAAAGUGAACAUUACCGGGAACUUUUCGUUAAAGUUUCCAAUGAGAUAAUAUUGCAACAGCUGGCAUGAGACAAUGAUGGUAUAAAGAUGGCUACUACGGCCAAACUACUACAUAGGAUUCCAUACAUGCGGUCAUUAUUUCGACAAAUCAAUGGCUGCCGCAAUCAUGUGCUCAUUAUUCCGACAAAUCAGUAGCUACUUGCAUUGGAUUAGGAUUGCAUGCGUGUGGUCAUUGAAUGAGGAUUGCGUGCACGUGAUCUUUAUUCAAACAAAUCACUAUUGACCAUAUAUUGCAAUUGGUUAAUGGUAGGCAAAUUGAAUUUUUACAUCAAAUAAUGUGAUUGCUGAUAAUUGAAUUAUUAUUUAAAUGUUGAUUAAUAUGCUUAUUUUUUAUUUGUGAUAUAUCAUUUAAUUUGUACAUUUAGUUUACCUAACAUUACCAACUGUAAUUUGUAUAAAUGGACUGGUACCUAACAUAACCAGUUGUAAUUUGUAUAAAUGGGACUGUAAUUUGUAUAAAUGGACUGGUGCCUAACAUUACCAGUUGUAAUUUGUAUAAAUUUACUGGUCCCAAGAGCACAUGCUACUGCUCAAGAAGCAAAGUUCUUAUUUGCCCAAAAAAAAUCAUGGUUUUUUAAUUGAUGCUCUCAUUUUAAUUUACUAGCCCCUUACUUGGCCUUUUUUAUUUAUCAUUUUAUACAUAUUAAUAUUUUUUUGUAAAAUAUAUUAGUUUGAGUUUUAUUAAAAUUAAAAAUAAAUAAAAAAACUUAGUUUUAGUUUUAUCAAAUUAAAAAAAAAUGACUUAAUAUUUAGUUAUUGAAAUUGUAAAAAAGUGAUCAAGUAUUGGGUGCUUUGUUUGAAAUUUUUCAAAAUGAUAUUGUUUUUACCAUUGAAACCCUGUUAUAUACAGUGAUGGCUAAUUUGUCAAGUUCUACGAAGUUGGGAUACCCAGCGUUUUAGCAUAUAACAUAGCUUAGUAUUACAAGCAUAAUUAAUUAAAAUAAAGGCAAAAUAAGAGGAUAGCUUAGUAUUACAAGCAUAAUUAAUUAAAAUAAAGGCAAAUUGUAACAGCCCGUCCCUAAAAAUGACGAUUUUAUAAUCUUAACACGUGAGUUUAUGAAGAUGCCCUUCGAGGCAAAGUGUUGACUACCGCGUCGUGUCAUGUGAGACUCAUCUUCUUGGCGUAUUCUCGUUUUACUCGUCGCUACGGAUGCGUGGGCGCAAACGACACGUGAUUUGGAGCUAUAACAAAAGAGUUAUUAACAUUUAAAGUUAAGGACAUUUUAGUAAAUUAAUUAAUUUCAGAUUUUGUUGAGGGGAAAAUCUGGAGUGCCAUGUGGGUGGCCCAGAUUAAAGGAAAUGAGGAAUGGAUGGUGGAGGUGUAAAGGAAAGAAGAUAAAAGAAAAAUGAGAGGAAAUGUGUGACUAAUAGGGAGAUGAGAGAGUUAGGAUGGCCCAAUUAGAAACAAACGAAAGGAGGAAAAAGGAGAGAAGAGGGGAGCAGGGGAUCCCUUCAACCCGGUUCCACUUUCCGACCCGACCCGAUCCUUUUCAUCUUUUCCGGUGGUUUUUCGUCAGUUUUUCCGGCGAACCACGUUAUCUAACCCCGUUGAAAAUGUUCCACGACCUUCCCUCUACCAUUACAACCCAAAAUUGUAGAAAUUUAGCCAUGAAAGUAUGAAAACCGCACCGGUGGGUGCGGGAAACCUUUGUCGUCGAUUCUCCCAUUAUUGAAACGAUUUUCACCAAUUAUCACCACCUACAGCAUCCUCUUGAGGUCUGGAAUAAAGCCCAAACAAGUUUUGGGGCGUUGGAGUUCGUUUAAGGUCGAAUUGAGCACACCCAAAUUCAAGGGUUCCGUACCGUUCAUGGUGAUUUGAGGUGUUUCUCGGCCAAAUUGGCCUUAGUCACAAGUAUGAAAGUUGCUCCACUCGUUGAGAUCUUCAUUUAUGUGAAAUUUGAGAAUUUUUUGAAAUAUUUGGAUUUUCCAGCGAGUCGGGGUGGCGGACCGCCACCGGCAGCAGCGCAUGGCCAGUGGUCCACCAAUGUCAUUUUACGUUAAAUUGAUAUCUUGAUUUUAGAUUUGAUGUCUAUAUGUUAUGACUUGAUUAUGUGAACCUAGUUUGAUUAAGGUGCGUUAAUUGGUAAAAAUAUGAAACGACGAUCCGACCGUGGGAUCGUCACCAAACUUUAAUAUGUUAUAGUACAUAAUAUUUGAGAAUCAUAGGGACUGACAGAUAGGAAAUCCGAGAUACAGAUCUUCCCGAAAUGGAAUUGUAAGUUUGAAGAAUAAACGUUAACCGCCACUUUGUUUUGACUAUUGGUGGAGAUCCAACCGUUGGAUCAUAAUGAAAUUUUAGGAUGAUGUUUUAGAAGCAUAAUGUGGAUCUUUGGAAGUUACUGAUCGGAAAUCCGAGGAGUGAAUCUUCCGAAUUGAAUUACGUAGGGUUGUGGACCUUACCGUCGAUCGUUGACCGAUGAUCGACUUUUGGUCAAUGGGGCUUAAAUCAAUCUAAAACGUUUUUAGGGAUGUGUUUUACGUAAAUUACAUGAUCUAUUGAUAAGAAUUAUGAGAUGUGGUUUGAUAAUUGUCCUAGGUGCCGAUCGUUAGGAACGCUUCGAUGGUUAUGCUAGGAAAUUGUAGCACAGACUCCUUGUGAGUGAAUCUUUUCCUUCUUAUCAUAUAUAUAUAUAUAUAUAUAUAUAUAUAUAUAUGAUUGACAAUUCCACAAACGUUUAUAAAUUGAUUAUUGCAUAUAACUACUGUGAAUACUUUGAAGUACUUAUGCGAACUACGAAUGGCUUGAUCCGUGUUUAGGGUACGUAGGCAGUCUAACAAGACGUUAGAUGUAGUCAUACAAUAAUUGAGAUUAAACAAUUGAGAUAAAGCCUUGUUUGGGGAACUGGGCAAGGUGAAGGAAUUUGGUAAAAAGGUGAGAUUUAACCUUAUGAAUUGGUGAUUAAAUGUUGGUCAUAAAUCAAUGUGUAAAGAAUCAAGAAUUUGAAGUAAGGAAACGUAAGUAAUGAUAAUUAAUUAAACUAGUGUCUAGUUGGGCUUGUCACCUAUAAUUAUCCCCGAAAAUGAAUAAUUCGGGAGUAGGGCGUUACAGCUUCUGCAUUUUUAUGCCACAUUAUAUAUAUAUAUAUAAUUGGAAAUGCUAUAACAUGGUUGAGUAUCAGAUUUCAUCAUGGUUUAUCUAUAUGUAUAUUACCUGCACACAAUUAUUAUGAACGCGUUGAAGUGCAAAGGUGAAUGCACGACACCCAGGUAAGUUCAGGUGAGUUUAUGGUAUUAGUUGAAAUGAUGGGGUUAUGGUAUGACUACAUGUAUGUUUAGGUUGCAAUGAUAGGCAACUCCAACACUGUCGUACAGGUUGCCCAUGAAUUGUACAUGUUACAAUAGAUACAGUUAGAGCUCAUAAACCUACACCCCGGUGUUAGUACUCCCGCUCGUGGCCAGGGCACAGUCCUUCACGUGAUGUUCACCUCCCGCACCUUACGCUCACCUUGGAUCCAAGGUAGGUGCACAAUCAUGUCGUACCACUAUAGGUGGUUCCGACUCGUAGAUGACCCGCGAUUAUUUGCACAGUCUUCACGUGAUUGUAGCACUUGAGCGUAUUUAUUUACACCCAGUUCUAUUGUACAGACCACUUUAGGUGGUUCCGACUCGUAUGCAGGUAUACUUAUUAAGCUAUGGAUAAGUCGUACAGGUCACUAGAAGUGACUCCGACUUAUGAGCUAGCAUAUGUGAUGAGCUAGCAUAUGUGAUGAGAUAAGUGAUGAGUUAGUAUAUGUAAUGAGAUAUGUGAUGAGCUAGCAUAUGUGAUGAGAUAUGUGAUGAGCUAGCAUAUGUGAUGAGAUAUGUGAUGAGCUAGCAUAUGUGAUGAGUUAGCAUAUGUGAUGAGCUAGCAUAUGUGAUGAGAUAUGGGUAAGUCGUACAUGUCACUAUAGGUGACUUCGACUUGCGUGCUAGUAUGGGUUAUUAAUCACAUGAUUAUUGAUAUUACUGAUGAGAUGCUGUGUUGUGGUAUAUUUAUGAUCUUUCUGGAAACUAUGCAAGUGUUGUAACGAGGGGUUAUAAUGAGGUGUUGUAACGAGGGGUUAUAAUGUUUUAUAUGGUUUCUGUUAAAAUUUUAUUUCUAGGGUCACUCACCCUUAUUUUGUUUUCACCCUCUAGGUUUUAUUAGCUGAGCUUUCUUAUCGUCGAAGAUUCGUGGCGAUUCUUAGUAUUGGAGAUUAUUUCGAGAGUACGAUUCUUAAUUCACUUUACUGUACUUGCUUAAGCUGUAACGUCACGUGUGAAGUGGGUUCAUUUCCGCUUACCAGCGCAUUCUGGUAUUUAGGCACUCUUAGGUUUAAAUUUAUUCACAUUUUUCCACAUCAUCAAACUUUAUGGCUUUGUCACUCUUUAGGUGUCGGCCAGCACAGCUCGAUUUGGAGUCCUAGUGGACAUUCCGGGUCGGGGUGUGUCACAAAUGAAGAGGAUGGUUGAACUUGUUAAGUUUCUUAAGUGUGUCUACUUGAAGUGUGUUGCUAAUAAAUAUUUUGUUGUAGGCAUAAUUUACUGAACAAUUAUGGAGGCAGAGAGAGAGAGAGGGAAUAUGCGGCAUAGAGAGAGAAGAGAGAGAUGUGUAAUUGUGAGGUGUGUUCUAUUCCACCCCAUUGUACCUUUAUUAUAUUAGUAGGGAAAGUUAAUUCCUUACCCUUUUAGGAUUACAACUCUAAUAGGAAAAUAUCUAGUCUAAGAGAUAUGAUAGAAUCUCAUAAGGAUAUCCUAGAUAUGUUAGGAUUUACACAAUCAUAUUCCUAUUCCAAUAAGACUGCAACACAUUUGUAUUUUUUUAGAAUUUUUUUGAUAAUUUGUUGGUAUUCUCAAUUUUUGUUAACAUUGAAAAUAUAACGGUUCAGAUGAAAAACCUUUGGAAAUCCAACAGCUUGCAAGACGUUGGGCUGUGCUGAAGGAAGCUGGGCUGUCACGUGGAUGGGGCCCUCCCUCUCCCUCUUGUUGAUUCAAAGGGCGCAGGCCCGUGCAACAAUUGGCGAGGCAGCCCAUAGAGAUCCUGCGAUUCACCCAUUCGCCAUUUUUUCCACCGCUGGAGCACCAAAAUUCGGUCAAAAGGCAGGGGUAUCAAUGGCAAGGGCAAUUUGGCUUCCGCUGGAGGUGCUCUUUGUCGACUUUGUUUUUUCUCUCAUUUUAGCUUUUGCAGUAAUAUUGAAGUAAUCACUCCAAUUUUAUCCAAACUUUUGUUGUCCGUCAAUUUUUAUCAAAACUAUUGGUUAAUUUACAUAUUCAGACUAACCUUCUCAUUAUUUUUAGUAUUUUUAUCAUAAAUAAUAUCUGAAAUAGUCACAUUUUAUUCAACAACCACUCAAUUAAAAAUUAAUUAGUGUUGUUUCUAAACCAUUACAUCAAGCUUUUGUAGAUACACAUCAAUAUUGCAGCGAUCCGAGGCAUUGUUUUAGUGACGGUAGUACUUUCUACUCCUUGGAUUUGGUGAAUCGGAAAAGAGAAGAGUUACGAGUAAAAGUCCCUCGCAUUGUUUUGGGGAGAUGAAGAUGAUGAUCUUUUGUUUUUGUUUUUUAAUGAUUAAUCCACGCAGCAACAUAUAAUUAAAUUGUUGGGAUCUACUCAAGUUCCAUAUCACACACUAACAUAAAAUUUGACAAACGAAACGAAAUAUGUGUGUAGACAUCGAAAUUUCGUAAAUAAAUGUUGACCGAUAAAUCAAAGUGUCAACGCUCAUGUAUUACAUAAAUUUUACACGUAGCGUGUGACUCAACGAAAAUUGAAAUGAGUUGGAAAAGUCAUCAAAUAGGACACGUGUCAACACCUGGCAGAAACGACUUAUUUCAUCUGGGAUAUUAUAUUCAAAAUUAGCCAUUGGAAAAUUCUAUAAAUACAAGCCCAUUUCAUUCAUUUAAGGAGAGGAAUUCAUAUUACACCUUGAAGCUCUGAAGCUCUGAAACUCCGAAGCUCUCAAGCAUCCAGGUUCCCGAAGAAUCAAGAAAGUGUUCUUCGUUCUUCGUUCAUCGUUCUUCCAAGAUCAAGCCUCGACGGCCCUUGGAUCAACAAUCAUCCACCUUCAAGAUCAAGCCCCGACGGCCCUUGAAGAAAGCGUUCUUCGUUCUUCGUUCAUCGUUCUUCCAAGAUCAAGCCCCGACGGCCCUCGGAUCAACAAUCAUCCACCUUCAAGAUCAAGCCCCAAAGGCCCUUGAAGAACUUCCACCAAUUCAAGAUCAAGCCCCGACGGCCCUUGAAGAAAGCACCAUCGUUCAUCAUCCGUUCAUCCAAGAUCAAGCCCCAACGGCCCUUUAGAUCAACAACGUCGACAAAUCCACACAUCCAACCGUUCUUCAAGAUCAAGCCCAAAAGCCCUUGAAGAUCCGUUCAUCACUGUUCUUCAAGAUCAAGCCCAAAAGCCCUUGGAGAUCCGUUCAUCACUAUUCUUCAAAGAUCAAGCCCAAAAGCCCCUUUGAAGAUCCGCUCAAAUCCACCUUCAAGAUCAAGUCCACGGCCCUUGAAGAACGUUCAUCCUUAGAUCAAGCCCAACGCCCCUUUGGAUCAAUCGCACAUCCACAAAUCAACACCUUACGGAGAUCGAAUCAGAGGAUCAAAAUAGAGAGAGAUUGUAACCCAAAAUCAUCAAAUACAAAUAUUUGUUUGUGCGCGUUGUUCUUGUCUCUUUCGUUUCAGGAAUUUUCCGUGUUCACAAUGUGCUCUUGAAAUCAAAAUGAGGGCACUGCUCCAAGAACAAGAAGGGCACCUUGUCGAGGUCGCCAUCCGCCGUGAGGGAAAACCGGAAGAAGUUGGACAACAAUGAUAACAUCAAUUUGCGGCACCCAUAUCGGGACAUCACACUGUGAAAUAAAUAUUGAAAUAAAUACUCAAAACUCCUGGAAAGUCCUCGAGACAACAAACUUUCAUCUCCUUCAAACAUUUCAUUUUACUAAGUUUUAUCUUUGAAGGGAGGGAAAAAAAGAGAAGAGAGAAUCCUACUCCUUAUUCCUGAAUAUAUUCAAGAAUAGCUAUUGAAUAAAGAGAGAAUGGAGGGUGAUCGAAAGAGGAGGGAAGAGAAUUCUAGUUCCAAACAUAAAAAGGACCACAACUUUUAAAUUAUCAGCACAAUCAUCACCUAAUUGAAGAGACCAUUCACUGUGAAACAUAUUGUCAAUCAGUCUAUCUAUAUCUAUUUAUAUACCAUAUUUUUAGAGUAAGAUUCUCUCACCUCCUAUUACCAUCCCCUUCCAUCCUUUCAUCUCAUACUCUUUUUUUGUUGUCUUAUUCUCUAUAUAAAAAAAUUCAAAACAAGAUGUAUACGUGACGUAAUCGUAACCGUUUAAAUAAGAGGGGAUAGAAGAGAAGAGAGAUUAGGAGAAGGGAGAAUCCUACUCCCACAUUUUUCUUCUUCAUAAACAAAAGAGAGGUUCUAGAUUACUUGACUCUAUGCCUCAUUUUUUUCAUCAAGUAUUUGUGAUAAGUGGGUUCAUUUUCAAGUAUUUUAGUUUUUUUGUCAAAAUUGAGAAAACUGAAAAUCAAACAUUAAUAUGAAAAAUUAAAAAAUCAACAUAUAAUUAUUUAGAAAUCGCAAUAGAAAAGAAAAAAAAUGGAGGUUUGUGAUGAAAAAUCUUUUAUACUAAGUAAUUUAGUAUCCUUAUGCAUGAAGAUAAAUCAAUUUGUUCGUUACGGUCAUACUCUUUUUUGAAUUUUUGAACACAUUCUCCAUAGGGCCUUCUUAUAUGUUCCUUCUCCAAGCUCGGGUUAUGGAAGAAGUAAAAGAAGGAAUCGAAAAGAAAGUAUUGGUAACAACCGAUUUCAUUACGAGACAACUCUUGAUAUUCAUAUCAAUCUAUUAUGUACCUUUGCAUCUAGCAUUAGACAAUAAUUGUCAUAGCUUUACCAUAUUUUUUUGUUUCAUUUCUUCUGAAACAAUCUCACACACUUUUUUAUUAUGUGUCUACUACUAGGAAUUCAAUACGUAAUCUUAGCAUUCAAUAGUUAUUCCUAAAUAAUUUCAAUUUUCAAAUGAUCAACCAUUUCAUUUUACCAAGUUCAAUCAAUGUUAGUCAGAUUAGUCAACAUUUAUAUAUUUUGAUGCAACAACAAGAUGUUAUUUGUAACAAGUGAUUUUGUUAGUUGGUUAAUUGGUCACAAGUUAAUGUUCGGUUCAGUUUAGUUUUUCUCUCGAUUUUUUGUGAUUCGGUUUUUUCAAUUCUCUUUAGGGUCGGUUCGGUUUUGUUUUUUUAUUUAUACUUGAAUUUUAUUUUAAUUUAUUUUAAUUUAUUUUAUUUUAAAUCUGGAAACACCAAGAACAACACAAGCACAUAGUCAAUCAAACAACUAUCCUUCUCCACAAAUCAUAGUAAUAAUUACAUUCAUUGAGCUGAAAUGCAAAUAACUAACAAACUCACAAAAAUCAAAUAAAAACUACAAAUUGCUUACUCUUUUUCUUUGGGUUUCACUCGAAAAGUGUCGGUAAAAUUUAGGGUUUGCAAGAACGCAACUGAAAUCUAAAACGGAGGCCUUGUGGCCUAUGGGUUGCUAUUGAGUUCCAGUACAGAGAACCUUGCUUAAUCUCGAUCACGGUACAAAGUAUCGAGUACCUUUAGCACUGUAUUUUGGUAUGAUUGGUAGAACCAAAUUAAAAGCUAACAUCAACAACAACUACCAGAGACAAAAGCUCUUAUCAAUGCUUUGGAAACAUUUAUGUAUCUCCAAGUGUAAUGAUAUAAUUGGUUGGAAACUUGUGAUUUCGUAUCAAAUCAAUAAAAAGUUACAAUAUUGACAAUAUAUUAGCAAUUUUUAUGUUAAUUAUGAACAAGUCAAUCAUGUAGAACCAAAUUAAAAGCUAACAUCAACAACAACUACCAUAGACAAAAGCUCUAAUCAAUGCUUAGGAAACACAGUCCUGUAUCUCUAGGUGUAUUGAUAUAAUUGGUUGGAAAUUUAAAAGAAAAAUGGUGAUUUUGUAUAAAAUUGAUAAAAAGUUACAAUAUUGACAAUAUAUUUGACACACCCCGACCAAGAUCAAGGCAUGCUGGCCGUCACAUGAGAGUGACGUAACCAUGUGCACAGUGCGGAAGCAAUAAUGAUAAGAAAUAUAUGAAUAAUUAAAAACCGAAUCUACUAGAGUGCACUACUAAACAGGAAGUAUUAGGAGUAAGAUACAAAAGUAAAUACUCCUAAUCAGAGCAUAGAAAGUCUAGGUGCAAUCCAGUAGGACAAGUACUAAUUAUACAGUAUAAAAUGUCUUACAAUUAUUUAGAUAGGUCAGAACCGCCGAAGUCCUCACACCCAACAACUGCAAACUUACUUAAAACCUGAAGGGGCGCAAAAUAGAAAACGUGAGUGGGAAAAAACAAAUGUUUUACAAAACCAUUUCAUUUAUCAAUAUAUCUAACCCCUCGCUGUAAACAUGUAUAAUUUUUCCCAGAAUCAAGAUAUAAGCAUAUACAUAAAUAUAUAUAUAAAUAUAUCAAUUCAAAUCAUGCUUCACAUAAUCAUAUUCAUAUGUAUGUCAUGCCAAGAUAUAACAGAGUAAGCAACUCAGGUAAGAGUAAUUUCAUAGAAAUAUAACAUGUUAGCCGGAACCCCUGUAGUAGUCUGUACGGCUGAAUUCAUAGCUCAAAAGUCAAUCUAGCCGAAGUCACUACAAUGACCUAUACGGCAAUAUACUGCACAAGAGUCGGAACCAAAUGAAAAGAUCUGUACGACAAUAAUGGGUGUUGUUGAUGCACAAAAUCAGUGAGGACUUUGGUACAACAGAAAGUGUUAAGUUUGUGACAUUCUCUAGAUUACUCCGAUCACUAGUGUGGAUAAGUAUGUAAAUGGAUAAAGACAGGGAAGCAAACACAAGAUGUACGUGGUUCACCCAGAUUGGCUACGUCCAUGGAGUAAAUGAGUUCUUAUUAAUUGUGAAGGGUUUACACAAGUAUAUAGGUUCAAGCUCUCCUUUAGUGAGUACUAGUGAAUGAUUUAGUACAAAUGACAUUAGGAAAUAUUGUGAGAGAAUGAUCUCUAUUUAUAGAAGAGAGUUUCUAGUUUCAUUCUGACAUUGACACGUGUCAUGUUGUGAUUGGCUUCUGAUGUUGACAUGUGUUGCACUAUGAUUGGCUUUAGAUGUCAACAUGUGUCGCGUUGUGAUUGGCCUCCUGGUUUGAGGGAAACUCUUCUGGCUCCUUGACGGUAUAACGUUGAUCGAUGCUCAGUAGUUUCGGGAUUGGUCAAGUAUGGUACAAACAGGUGUAAUAUAAUCAUACUCAAUACUACUCUCACAUAAUAGCUGGGUGAUAAAUCGCUAGUCACCUAUGAGUCAGAACGAUAAUAAAGGUCUGUACGAAGACUGUGCACCUAAAUUGGAUCCAAUAUGACCAUAUGGUGCGGGAUGUGACAUUAUAUACAGGCUUGUGCCAUCACUGGCGGAGCUACACCCACGGCUACAGUAGGCUGUAGCCUAGGGAGGAUUUUAACAAACUGCUGGUAUAAUAGUUUAUAUAUGAGUUUGUUGUUGCUUAUUGUAUGUAUAAUAGCCCACAUAAAUCCUGCCAAAAUUAUUAGUUAAUGUGUUUCUUAAUUUAUAAAUAAUACUUUUAUUACCUUUUAUUAUUUUAUUAUUUUUAGGCUAAAAGUAAAAAUGGUAAAUUAAUACAUAAUUAGGUUUCUCCUAUUCCCCAUGCUUUUUACCUAUUCGUUCAAAACAAAAAAAUUAAACCCUCUACCCUAAGAAAAGAAAAACUAUGAAUCACCAUCAAAUUAUUUUCUAAUGAAAUUCAACACUAGAUAUGCUCUUCAUGUCUUCAUUUAACCUAUUUCUUGAUUCAAUUGUUCAUUCCAUAUAUCUACAGCACGACUUGAAUUGGUAUCCCCUAACCUUUUUUCUUUUGGGUACUUGUUAUCAACAAAAGUGAUAAUAUUUGUUCUCUUUCUAUUGCUUUUUUGUAUGCAUGUUUUAUUUGUGUAAAAAUUAGUUGGAAAGUAAUUAAUAAACUUGUUUGGAUUAUUAGUACUUCAUGUUCCUACUUUUAUGUAGAUUACUAUAUAAUUUUAUGUAGGCAAAAAAAAAAUUCAUAAGAUUAUAUGCUAAUGAUUUUAGUUAGCCCACCCAAGAAAAAUUUUCUGGCUCCGCUAUUAUGUGCCAUAACUCUGGCAAAAUCACAAUCACCCUAAGUGCAGUUUUAUGAGUUCAACGUUAUUCUAUCACAUAUCACAUCAUCGAUAAUUCACAUAACCAAACAUAACUCACAUGAGCUUACCUGAGCGUCCACAGUACCAUAAUUAUAUAUAAUGCAUCAUAUACGAAAUAUAAAUUCAUAUGCAUGGCAUUUAAGGUAUACUUUCAUUUAAACACAUAUUUCUGGGAAAAUAUCAAGUAUAUAAAUAUAUACUGAAAACCAAAAGCCCACUCAUUGGUAUGUCGAAGGGUCGUAGCCCCCGAGUCGCCUUUGAAUACUCUCGUCCUCGUGAUAAGUCUCACCUAUAUGCGAAUUAACUAUAAAAACGUUAUUUUAGAGCACAUACAAAAAAUUAGCUAAUAACUCUCAUACAAUGCUCAAUUUUUGUAUUUGAAUAUAUCACAGUGACCUACACAACCUCAAGAUCAUCCCUAAAUUUUUACAAUAUUUUUCUGACCCCUCACGCGCUGCCACGCACCGGCAAGGGCAACGCCUUACUCGCCCCCACGCGCGGCCACGUGACAAGCAUACUGAUGGCGUCAAUCAACAUCAUCAGGAAUAUUCUAGGGAAUAUUCUGUUAAAACCCAAUGGUAACUGUUAAAGAUGACUGACGGCAUGAGCAUAUUCUGUCAACCUUGACGGAAUAUACUCCUUUCUUCUCCGAUGAGUCGUCGGUCGCCGGCGACUUCGCCGAUUUCUUGGUAAAACUUUAAAUCGCUUAUUCUUCUUCGUUUCUUCGCCAUUUUUCAUGAAAUUGGUACCAAAAUGAAGCUAAUAACAUGUAGAAUCACUUUGUAUAAGUUUCAAGGCUUAAAAUCUACUAGUUUUUCCCUGAGAAAGCUCGAUAGUUCGGCUUACCUAGAUAUGCGUCGAUCUCAGCCCUCCGACGUCCAAUUCCUUCCAACGAAGUACCCCAAGACUCGUGAGGACCUCCUUAAGCUUCCUAUAAGCUUCAAAUUCCCUGAAACACAAGAUUUUACGUAUGCAUGAACAAUGCACAAAGUCGGAGCUAGGGUUUCCACGUGAAAUCGAAGGUUUCCUUACCUGAAAAUGGUUCCUUUGAAUUCGUAUGGUUCUCACGAACACAAUGGUGAUCUUAAAACCUUCGAUCUACAAGGUUUAAGAGGGUUUCUGGGUUGGUCCGUACGAAGAAGGGAGAGAGAGAAUGAGAAUCUGCGAGAGAGAGGGCACGGGAAGGAAAGAGAAAUAAGAUAGGUGUGUGUAUGGUCCAAAAGCCACCAAUCAAAACUAAGAAAAGUCUUAGUUGUAAUUGGGUCACCAAUCUAAAACAAUUUAACCCAAUAAUAACUUACACACAUCAUUUAACAUCCGAGGGUAAUUCCGUCAUUCUACGUCAUCGAGAAUAAUCUUCCGGGACGGGCUGUGACAAUAUCAGCAAUAUUUAUGUUAAUUAUGAAUAGGUCAAUCAUGUAUUUAAUACUUAAAUGUAUUUAAAAUAAACACCUUAUCAAUGUUUUCUGAACUGUGCUCGAUUUUUCUCCUUCGCUUUGGUUCUGUCCCAUUGGAUUUUUCAAGCAAGAUUUUAUCAAGGCAACUAUCAUUAACUGUGAACAUAAUUUAUCAUUGAGACACGAACAUCCAAGGGGGAGUGUCGUGGAAAAAAAUGUAGAUAUCUUUAUACGUUGUAUGGUAGUAAACCAUCAUAAACACCAUAAAUAUGUAGAAACGCCCUUGCGGUACCUUUGAAUGAUAACUCAUGUAUUUGUUGCCCUAUGUAAAGAUGGCUAAUGAUAAUGGAAGACUAAUUUUCUCAUCCCAAUCUCUCCUGUCUCUCUUAUUCUCUUUUCUCUAUAUUUUAUUUCCAACAAGUUGUGUUUUUUUUUUAGUAUUGUUAAGCAACCCAAUAGAUUUUAAUCGUAGUCUUUGUUUUUUUUCUUUUAUAUUUUUAAUCAAUUUCAGUUGCUUAUCAGUUCUAGCUAAUUGAGCUCUUUUACAGCAAUUUUUUUCUUUAAAUAAAAUUAUUAUUAUUAAAAAGAGUGAGAAAAUUCGAAAUUGUUACAAUAAUUUAAAAAAAAUAGGAGUUUCAAAUCAUGAAGGUAGAGGGAGUUAACAACAUUUUAGGGGGGGGUGUAGUCAAACUAGGAUUUUGAAGGAUUUUAAAAGUGAUAGAUUUGAUAGGAUUUAAGAUGAUUAAAGACUCUUACAAAAUUCAUAUGGAUUUUAAAGAAUAUGAAUGGAUUGCGGUGGAUUGUGGGGGAAGGAUUUGAAAUCCUAGGGGGUGAGGUUUGAUUCUUUUUAGUUUUGGUUAUAUAUGGUAUGCUUUCAAAUCCCAGAAAAUCCACAACUUUUUAAAAUCCUUUAAAAUCUUAAUUUUUUUAAUACACUUAGAUUUGGAUGGAUUCUAAAAUCCUUUAAAAUCUUUUAAUUGACUACACCUAGAUUUGAAUGGAUUCUAAAAUCUUUUAAUUGACUACACCUAGAUUUUAAUGGAUUCUAAAAUCCUUUAAAAUCUUUUAAUUGACUACACUAUGAUUUUAAAGUCUUUAAAAUCCUCUCAAAUCCAAGUUUGACUACACCCCCUAAAGAUUUUAAGGAAAACUAAUGAAAAUGGCUUGAAAACUUUGAGUUUUAACUAGGGGUGGGCAAACGGGUACAGGAACCGCGGGUAGGGGUGGGUAAUUCAAGUUCGGGGCAGGUAUGGGACAUGUCCAAUAUUUCUAAACACAAAACGGGGCGAGGCUGUUCGGGUAUAUGAAAUUAUCGGGGCGGGGCGGGUCUUAAAAUAGAAGGGAACGGGCCCCCAGCCUGACCCGUUUCUUUUCCUCAUCCCUAGUCUUCUCUAUCUCUCUUCCCCGACACUUUUCAUUUCACUCAAACCCGGCCCAUUUCUUUUCCUCAUCAGUCAUCCCUAGUCUUUUCAAUCUCUCUUCCCUAACUCCUUUCAUUUCACUCGUACCUCGAGACCUCCUCUUAACUCGCUCCCAGCCUCCCACCGUCCUAGCUCCGUACCUCGCCAUCAUCAUCGUCAGACCUCCAUCUCUCCUGAUUUACUCAUGUCUUCCUCGCUGCGUCCGCCGCCAUGUCUCUCUUUCUGUGACGAACUUAAAGGGACGGACGAAGUUGAACAACUCGAAACGACGCCUCUUCUGUCUGAAUUAGACCCAUAUUUGCAGCGCACGACUCUGCUCAUAGUCCUCUUCGGUUUUAAGGUAUUACGUUUUAGAGAUUUAGGAUUGAAAAUUAAAUUAGGGUUUUCUAGAUUUAGGGAUUUUGUUGGGUUCUUGAACCUUGACCUCUGUUAUGUUCCAAUUUCAAAUAUAUAUUGAAUUGAAUUUGAAUCGACUGUGUUUGAAACUUCUGUUGAAUUAAAUUGAAUUUGAGCAGGAGAAGAGGCAGAUGUGGGUUGGGCAAUGUCGAAUCUCAUUGUGGGUGGUGAGGUGGGCAUGGCGGGCGACAAUAUUGACUGGCAAUGGUACGGGCGGUGCUAUUAAGUUGCAGAAGAAUACGAAGGAGGGGGUGUGGGCAUGGGUGGAUAUCGCAAGCUCAAUUGAAUUUUUUCUGGUUUUGUUUGUGAUUAAUUGCUUGUAUAUGAUAGUUAUUGAUGGAUCUUGACAUGCCCAUUUAAUUGUUAUUGGCAAUGCUAGUUUGAUUGUAACAAAUUCAAACCGAUUGAAUUGUAUCCCAGAAAAAAAAAUCAAUAAAGGAACUGAGGACCCGGCCCGAACCAGCCCAUUUCAACCGGGCCAGGUUAGGUUCGGUUCUUAUAUUAGAAAAUGUUGUUCCCGGCCCGUUUCUCUUAAGCCCGGAUCCAGUCCGAUCACUUCGAAAUUGGCCCCAACCCGGCCCGGGCCCACCUCUAGUUUUAACGAUAAGGACAAAAUAAAGGGUAAAGUGAAUAGUACCAAGUUUGACUUUUUAGUGUAAAAAUGUAAUUUUUCGUUAAAAUAAGAUUUUAAUGGAUUCUAAAAUCCUUAAUUAAGAAAUUAGGCUUCAACCCAACUCAUCUUUGCAACGCCGGUUCCACUUCACAUCAACAGGCAAUGUUUUCUCCUCAACAAAUAGUAUUCUUUUAUGAGACAAAGACUAAUGAGGGUGAUAUAUAUAAUUAAUAAUAAUACUUGUGUUCCCUUUGUGAGUGAAUGCACUUAUUUUACCAUUCUCUAAUAAUGUAUCUUUAUUAUAUAAAUUUAUAUCAUGUGGAUAUCUUCCUAUAAAAAAGUUAUUCAAAUUGGAAAUCCUUACGUCAUCAAAAUAUAUAAAAAAAUGGACGAUCUCAUCGUAAAUAUGUUAGUUACUCACACUAUAACUUUGUAUAUUCCCUCACGUAGGAAACGCAAUAAUUAUCCUCUAAUUAAUUCUUCUUGAGAGUAGAAUUUUUAUUGUUGGUUUUUCGCAACCUUCAGACCUAAAGCUGAUAUGGACCUCUCAUUGUUUUUUGGGUUGCCGUUCUUAUUUUGCUUGGUCCUUUUACCUUUUCUAUAGUUGUUUAUCUAGUUCUUUUGAGCCUCGUACUAAUUUUUAAUGUAAUGAAAAUUAUCUUCGUGAUAAAAAAAAAAAUCAUUAGUCCUCGUAUGAACAUGCGAUGUAACACACUUUCAUGGAACAACAGAUGAUAAAGACGAUAUCCAAAUUUUCUCUGUGUUAUGUGGACUUUCCCAACCAAAUAAAUAAUAACCAAUAAACAAAUAAAUAAGAGUUUAACUUCAAACAUUGAGAAGCGAAAUUCCAACACUACGAGCCUAACUUUUGUCUUCAUCAUCAUCAUAGACUAGUCUCCUAUCCAUCAACUCCUACAUCAAUUUUUUUUUUUACUAGAUUGUAGCUCACUUUCAAAAGAGUUACGUAAAGUAUUUAAGCACCAUAAAAGAAAAUUAAACGACAACGAUUGACAUAAUAUUAGUAGUAUCAUGGUCUAAAAUAUUCAUAAUAUCUUGAUAUUUUUAUUGAAAUUUUCGUGUUUUUAGACUACCUAUAUUUUCAAUAUCAUCGAUAUUUUAAACCUUGCUAAGUCACUCAUGUAUCUUACCAUGCAAUGUAUAAAGUGUAAAAUAUUGUACUAAUUCAUUAUAUAUAAAUGAUUAUAGUGUGUUUAAACUUCUUUCAUUAAUUACUACAUAUUUUCUACACUCACAAUGUUUGCCAGCUCGCUAUAUAAUCAACUUAAAUCAAUUAUAUCUAUCAUGUAAUGCAUUUCCUUCCAAUUUUUUGUGAUAAACUAAUAGAUAAUUGACUAAAUAAACAUCCUGCAAAGUUUCAAUAAAAAUUUCCAAGUUUUUCUUACAAUUUCCGUAGUUUUUAUUCAAUUUUUAUCGAUAUCGAUAAUAUCCCGAUAUUUCCAUCGAAAUUUCCGUAUUUUUAGACUACUGAUAUUUCCGAUAUCAUCGAUAUUUUAUACCUUGGUAGUUAUACAUUUUAUCGGCCUCAUUUUUAUGCAACUUAUACAUUAAAUUAUUGUCAAAAUGUACAUAUAAAGUAGCUGAUCAACGAUGAGAUUUUAGGCAACCAUUUUCUUCUACGACGUCAAAGGUUGUAGAGGUGGCCAUGUGCACUACAUGCGUAAAUCAACUAGGGACUUGGAUCCUCUCUUAAGCCCAAGGAGAGGAUCCUCCUAACCAAAUGACUUGGAUUGUUGGAUGAAAAUCUAACGAUUACAAACAGAUGAUCUCUUUAAAGUUAUAAUAUUUAUUACCGUUGAAUUUUCAUCAAACGGUCAAAUAUCAUUGGUCAAAAGGGUCCUCUCAUUGGGCUCAGAGAGGACCCAAGUGCAUCAACCAGAACUAUUGCUAUUAUAACAAUUCAUGAAAUCAAUUAAACAAUAAUUUUCCUUCUGGCAGGCAUGUUAGUUAUUUCUUAUUUGGCCAAUUGCCUAGUGGAUUUGGUAGAUUUAACCUCUCCACCACAAACACAUUUAAAAAUUUCCAGAAAUCCGUAACGUAAAAUUUAAAAAUAAAUAUUAAUAACAGCAAGUUCUUUUCACCGACCGUGACCGAGAUCUGUCACAUAUCCAAAAUGUCACCUCCUUAUCGCAAAAACCAAAUUUGACUUGGGAUAAAUACCGUGUACAAAUUAAACGCGUUUCUCUAGCUUUUGCGUAAAGAGGCAACCCAACACUAAACUAGGAAAACGUUGGGUUGACAAAGAUACCAUGAAGAAUAAAGGGGUUAUGCAAUCCACUUUGCAAGAUAAUCAAAGUUUCCCGUUGUAGACUUGUCUUAACCCAACACUAAACUAAGAAAACGUUGCUUUCCCGUUGUAACAUGAAACAACAUUAAACAACAUUAAACAAUAUUAAAUAACAUUAAAUAACAUAAAAAUUAUACAACAUAAAAAAAACCAUUUAACAACAUAAAACUUAAAAUGCGUACUUCUUGCUUCUUGUGGCCUAAAGAUGUGCAACAAGAUCUUGAUGUAGGUACUUGUUUGUGGCACGAAAACGUAUCAUCCUAGCCGUUGGAUUUGAAUUUUUUUUGUUUUCGGCCAAAAAAUUUUAAAUUUAAAAGUUGAAGAUGGUGAGAAAUAUGAUCCUACACUGUUCAUUAAAAUAUUAAUUUCUUGAAUGACCAAAAGGCUAAAACAAGCCAUCCUUCGGUUGGAGAUGCCUAAGGAGAGACUAGAGAUAGAGAGUUUCCUAUAUAUGAUUUUCAUUAACAAGAUUGAAAUGAUUUCAGAGAGAAGAUCAAGUAUGGUUAUUUUUAUUUUGUAGAGUGUAGACAUUAUAACUAUACAUUCAUAAUAACAUGAGUAAUGUUAUAUUUAUCACAUUUGUACUCUUUCUCUGAUAAAGGUAGGGUUCAUCAACACAUGUGGGUUCUAUUUGCCCAUCAACACAUGCGGAUCUCAUUUUUAUUAGAAAAAUAGUACAAAUAUGGUACGGAAAAUAUGAUAAGAUCGCAAUUUUGUAAUAACAUAUAUACUCAACUAUUUAUAUACCGACCCAUCUCCUUUUAGUGUAGAUAAUAUCGUUUGUUAAAAAAAAUGUUGAACUUGUCAUAAUCAUUGAAUCCAUUUACCAUGAACAAACGGCAGUUUACUAAACUUGCCCUCAGAGUAUAUAUAAAAGGUGAAUCACAAUCUAUUGCAUUAAUAUAAGGAAACAAUUUAUAGGGUUUGACGGGUGACUUAAUAUGCUAUAUGGCACAAUGAAAAUUAAGUUCACACUUUAUCCCAAAUAAGGUGUUGCACCUUUAAUUUAUGGAUGCUGGUUUGACGUGUGACCGAAAUAAUCAAAUUGUAGCCAUUAAUCAUUUUACAAGUAAUAAUAUGUAGUUUUUACUGUUUACGAUUCACACAACAAUCUGCUAGGAAGUAGAAAAUGCAGUACUUGUCCCUCUCACAGAAGUCAUGAAUAAUUAUCAAAUUCAAAGAUAAAGAAAAACCACACAAUUUACAAGAGGAAAGAAAAUGAAGGGAUAAAGAAAGUAAGAAAGGAAUACCUCUAUGGGAGGACUCUUAUUUGCUUCAGAUGCCUACAAUAUUCAUCAUAUAAACACUGAUUAAGUAGUCAUCGAAAACCAAAACAAAUGUCGAACAUAGGGUGAAAAACAGAAAGAAUAACCGCAGCUCAUCAUACCAAUAGAGAUAGAACUGCCCGAUGCCCAAGUAUGACUGAAAAAUGGCAAUCCAAACAUGGCGCCUUCUAGCUCAUCAAACUGUCAAAACCUAGGUUCCACCAAAAAGAUACAAGUCACCUAGUUACUUGUAAAAUAAAAAUCUGUUUCAAAAUAGUGGAAAAUAUUAUUAACAUUGUUCAAAGUCCACAUUGUUGUACCUACCAAGAAACAAGAAGGAUUGUAUCUUAUCAUGAAAAAGAACAUAGGUACCUUUUCAAUUGUAAUUGUACAAAAAUGAGAGACCACUUCCGAACUUCUCUUGGAACUUCAAUCAAUUUCUGCCCACUUUUAAAUGCCUUGACAUACUUAAGCCUAUUUCUUUGAGCUUCAGUUUUGGCUUCUGAUGCCUUUAAAUUUCUUAAAGAUUCUUACCAAGUUUUACAAACUCACUUCUAUACAACCAUUUGUCAGUAUACAUACCAUUUUCUUUGAGCUUCAGUCUUUGCAACACCAAAACCCCCCAAAUAGACCCGGAAUUUUGCAAUGUGCAGGGAAUAUACAAAAAAAACCCUCCUAUCCAUCUAAAACGAAAUCAGAACCCAAACCACAAUCAAAAUCCGUAAAAUUAAUUUAGCCAACCCUAAAUCUAAUAAUUCUAACAAAUAUUAUAGUAUCAAUUGAGAGAGAAUUUGAGAAGAUACCUAGAGAUGAAAGGAAGAGCGUUUCCUCUGAUAGGGGUUCCGUGAAAGCAUCUGUUGACCAGAAAAGAAAAGGCAAAAAACCCCAAAUUACAUAUCAAGCAAUUAUAGAUAGAUCGAACCUUGAAAAUUGAAAUUUCAAACAAGAGAAAGGUUAUAAACUUACAACGAUCUGGGUGUUGGUUACUGGGUUUGGAUUUGGGUUUCUGAUAAGAGAGAGAAUCGUAUGAGGAACCGAUAGAGGAACUGCACCGGCAACAGAGAGCAACUGAUAUGGUGGAGAAUAGAGAUGGGCAAAAUAUCCCGGUUAUCCGCCCAUUUAAAGUUCACAGUUACGGUUAUGGUAAUUGAACGGUUAUGGGUACUACCCGUGGUUAUAACGGGUAUCUAUUGGUUAUGGGUAUUAUCCGCGGUUAUAACAGGUAUUCAUUUACCCAUUUAAUUUCAUAUAUGUAAAAUUUAUAAUAUUUUUAACAGUUAUAACGCGUUUUUGUAUUUGUUGCCAAACUUUUCGUAUACAAAAAAUUUGAAGCACAAGAAGCCAACAAGGAGAAAGAUCAAAGAGCUUACUUGAAGCUUAUGAUCUAUCCUGCGGUUAAUAGAAAGUACUGGUAUUAGUGUAGAAAAAUGUUUGUUUUUAGAAGCUUUAUUUUGUAAUCAUAUGAAUUAUAAUUAAAGACUUGCUUGGGUGUAGUAAAAAAAUAUCGUUUGUAAACUAUUAUUUCAAUUAUUAGAAUUGUAUGAUGACCUAAAUGAUUAAAAUAGAGAAAUGCAUGCUAAAAUGUAUUUAUAACAGUGUUUAAUUGUCAGAUUUUUUUUUUUUUUGUAAUUUUCAAGUUGUUAAAAAAAACAUGCAGAGAGGUGAAAAAAGGGAUUAAAAAAUGAUAAACGGGUUCAAAACGGGUAAACGGGUAAAUGAUUAUGGUUAAAUAGGUAAACGGUUAUGGGUAAAUGGGUACACGGUUAUGGGUAUGAGUAUAACCGUUUAUGCAAUUACCCAACGGGUAAACGGCUAUGUGGGUAUGAACAUAAAUGGUUAUGAGUAAAUAACCGCGGUUACCCGCCCGCUAUAACCAUUGCACAUCCCUAAUAGAGAACAUACGAGAAUAGCCGCUUGGAUGGUCAAUCCAAGAAGAGAAAAUCUUGCCACAAUCACGGUACUUGAAAAAAAAAACAAUUUUAAAGGAGGGAAACAAUCGCGCCUUUUUUUUAAUAGACUCUGUCGACGAUAUUCUUGACAAAUAGUCGGGUGAGCUUAUUUUUCACAACAUUUUAUUUAGGACUAGGUUCGGUUGGCAAAUCGUGUCAAAUUUCUUGUGCCAUUUGCCAGCCACAUAUACAUAAUUACCAAAAAUCAGUUACCGUUCGCCAACCAUCUUCUUGCGGUUGCCAAAAAUCGGUUCAACCAAAAUGAUUGGCUGGUUCGGUUGGUAAAUGGCACAACCGGUGGUUUCCACUUCUUCCUCGCUAUCUUCUAGUUGCAAGGGCUCAAUUUGAUUUUCAGAUUGGGAUGCUUGUUCGGUUGCAUUGUGUGGUUCAUUUUGGGUUAAUCCAUGUUGUGCACUAGCAAUUAAUUGGCUAGACUCCAUCAUCCUAAACAUAAGCAACACAUAUACAUUCAAAAUCAUAUAUAUGUACGUGUAUAUAUAGUAUCAGUAAUCAUCAUGUUAUCAAUUUUGUUAACAAUAUUUUCUAUAUUGAUUAUGGCAUGAAUCAUAUACAUAUACAUAUAUUUUUUAAACCCUAAAACUAAGGAGUUAUUUAUUUUCUAAGCCCUAAAAUUGAGGAGUCAAGCAUGUAAAAAAAUACUUAAAAUAUCUAAAUAGAAAAAGAAAAAAAAAAAAAAAAAUAUAUAUAUAUAUAUAUAUAUAUAUCGGUAGGUAUGGCAUACCGCCGACAUACAAAAUCAAUUACCAAAGCCAUGCCAUUAAUUGUCGGUUCGGUAAAAUGCCAACCGAUUAUGAAAAAAUGCCAAAACUAUACCAUACCAUUUUGAGCCAACCGGUAUGGUUCGGUCGGUAAAUCGGCUUAUGGCAAAAUUUCUCACCCCUAAUUUUAUUUGUCGCCUUAAACCUAUUGGUUUCUAGCCUACAAUUUGGAUAUUUUGUUGGGGAAAGAUUUUUGUACCAAUAAAAUUUUGCUUUGUCAGCUUAGGAUUUGUCGGCAAAAUGACAUUUUCUAGUCGUUAUAAUAUUAGGUAGAUCAAAUUUGUAAACUAUGUGAUGUGUCACCAAUAGGAAAAAAAUUCAGUGUGCUGAAAAUACAGUCUAGAACACCAAGUGUCAUAAUAUAUACUUGGUUGGAAAUUUUUUAUUUUCAAGUUUCCAACUAAUUGUAUUGUAACAGUUGGUGUUCCAAGCUAUUUUCUCGAUGCGUUGGAAAAUCUCUUCACCAAUUAAAAAUAAACAUAUUAAUUAACACUUAAGUAAUAAUCAAAGUAUCAACAACUACGUCAUAAAAUUUACGAAAUAUGAUCUUAAUUAAUGAUCUCCAUGGCAUUACCCUUUAUCUUAGCGUAUACGUACGCCUUCACAUGUUUAUUUGCUGAUAUGCAGCUUGAGUAAAAAUUUCUUUUUAAGAACAUAUAUGUGAAUAUAAACAUAUAUAUCUAGUGAUCCAUGUUGCGUUAUUUAAAAAUAAACAAAUUAAUUAAUUAAUAAAUGAACUGUGUGCAUGUCUGUGUAGAGUAAUCCAUAUGCAUGCUUGAAUCCUGAUCACCACGAAACCAUAAUAUAAGCUACUCAAGGCCCGGAAGCUAGGAUUGAAGAGAAAAACACCCAGUCAGAUUAAGCCAAUAUAUCAAAGUUAAUACUUCGAAAUGUAAGCUUUAAGAUAGAAAAAUCACUUACUACCUUGAGCAGUCGAGCUUCUUCAAUGGCAUGAAGCUUUUAGCAUGAGAUUGACUGCAUCACAACUAAAAUUUUCUCUUGGAAACUACAUAAGGAAUAGCAUGUAUACCUAUAACGUUGAGAAAGUACGCCAAUUUUUUCCUUCUGCACAUUCAUGUUUAAAAGUAAUCCUCAAAUGAACUUGCCCACAAUGAAAUGCAAUUUGAGGUAGUCGAGUGUGUUCCAUUUCCAUUCCAUGGGAAUUACUACUAAACUUUGAGAUGGUAAAGGAUUCAUGAAAUUUUUUACUUUUGAGAUAGCCUCUUUAACAUUUCUCGACUAUAACAAUGAGGGAAUACUUCACCUUGUAUCAAACAAGGGAGAGCGAAAAUCAACUACUAAUAGCAUCACAGAGCCAGCAGAAGAUUGAGGAGGCCAUGAAGAGGAGAGAGAAAAUACACUCUUUUUUUUUGUAAGGACAGAGAUAAUACAUUCAGUAAGGGGUACUGAUGUUUAUAUGCAAUGCUGAUUAGGUUUAAAUAGUCCUAUUUAUUCUGUACAGUGCCAAUAUUACCACCCGUUAGUACACUUUCAAGACACUGUACUCCAGUGUGUGCGCUAUGCAGUACGUAGUACUCCUCAUUUUUUGGGGAAAUUCAUUAUUGGUCUUCAUAUCUUCUUUAUUUUCCUUUUCCUCAUUGUGCCACGUGUUUAAAUCACUAAUUGUAGGUAAUCUUUCAAUUUAAUUAAAUCUUAUGUAAAAAAAGAUAUUUAAAUAUCAUUUAGUAUUACAAGAUAGUGAUAUUCCUCUUUAGUAUAAAAUUUUUAUAAUUAAAAGCGUUCAGUUUUUUAAUCUUCAUUUGAAUACUAUCUAUAAAGAAAAAUUAUUCGAAUAAGAGAUCGUUUAUGCAUUCAAAUGUACAAAAUGCAUCGACAGUGUGAGAACGAAUUAAUAUAUUUUUGAUGAAGUACAAUUAUUGAAUACAUUUGAAUGAUCAAAUGAUAUAUGAUUCAAAAUACAUAUUAAGAUAAUAAAUAUAAGUGAAUUGUUAUUAGCACUCCAAGAAUCUUAUUAUACACUCUAAAUUUUCUAUAUUUUGAAUGAAAAAUAAAUUUAUGAAGAGUGUAGAAUGAGAUUUUUUAAUGCUAAUAACACUUCUCUAAAUAUAAUUAUGAAAUUAAUAAAGUAAAGAUACAUGACCUCGUGAAUGAUGUAUGUAUUAUUCAAAAAAUUAUUAAAAACAAAUUGAAAAAGGACGCUGUUGUUGCCACCACUUAUGCAAUGAUCGUCGCUGCCAUCACCAACCCCCAACACCCCAUUACAGCUCAUAAAAGCACAUCAUAAGCAAUUUAUGAAAUAAAUUUACUGGAAUACUAAUUUCCCCCUUAGUUUAGGUCACCAAUGUUUAAAUUUAGGGGUGUGAUAUGCACAUACCUUUUUUUGCUUCUCUCACACUUUUUUUGUUGUUGUCGAAUCAGAUGAAUUGAAGAAGAUCAAUUGACAGAAAUUAACAAGGGGUGUAUGAAAAGUAAAAAUGGAUGUGUAGAUAACACAUCCCUAAAUUUAUCACAACUUUCAUUCCAAAUUUAAUUUUUAUGCGUAGUUUUGUUUGUUCAAAUUUACUUUGACAUUUCAAUUAGUAUUAAAAUCUAAUUUAAAUUUUAGCGUUCAAGCUAGAAAAAGUGUUCCAUUUAAUAUUUAAUCUCAGUUUUUCUCUUUAUUCUUUUAUUCCGAUUUGGUUGCAUCGUAUCUCCAUUUUUCUCGGUGUUGUAUGUUCAUAAGGCCUGGGAAACGUUGGCACGGAGUGAAGGGUACUCACUUUUUGGCCCAAAAUGCAUAAGGCAUGUAGAUAUGUUAAUCAAAUUUUGUAAACUAAAGGAUAUAGAAGUUGAUACUUAGAUUAUAAUUUAAGAUAAUACUAAAGAGACUAAAUUUGCAAACUAAAUGAUGUGUCACCAAUAAAAAUAAGCACGUUUAUCAACGCUUAAGUAAUAAAUCAAUCAUCAACUUUCAUGUCCUUUAGUUUCCAAAAUUUAAUAUACAAAUUUAGUCUCCCAAGCAUUACUCUAUUACUUAAGUAUUGAUUAACAGACUUAUUUCUUAUGGUGACAUAUUAUUUAAUUUACAAAUUUAGUCAACCCAACAUUACUCUUUUGAAAUUGUCUUGUCCACUGAUAUAAUUCUAUUUUUCUUGUGAUCAAAACUUCAAAUGUUAGCAAGUCGCACGUAAAGUCACUUCUGAGAGAAUGUGCUCACAUUGUAGUUGAAAGAUUAUGUGGCUAGCAACAUUACAAAUUUAAUUUGGUAUAAUUUAAAAUAUAGAUUGAGGAAAAAAUGAUCACAUUAACUAGAAACUGAAAAGGUUUCAGCACAGUUUGUUCAAGCAAGAAACUCAAUUUUGAUGCUACCGAUCUUAACAGCCUGAGCGCCGUACCUGGGCACUAAAGUCACCACCACACUCUCAUCAUCUUCAGCACCCAAAUCCUCCAACAGGUCCGUUAACCCCAACCUUAAACAACUCUUGCUCUUUUCCUUCUGCUUAUGUGGAACACUCACAAAACUCCCAGCAAACUCGCUCUUGUCGGGUCCACUCGGUGCCGCAUCCUCAUCGUCCACGUCAUUCACAUACACAUCAAACUUCACAGCCACAUCUUUGUCAAGCUCAAUCCCCUGAAUCACCAGUAUCUCCUCCUCAUCCUCUUUCUCCUUCUUGCUCCUCUUCUUCGGCUUCGGCCUUGACACCACCGUACUUAUCUUUGUCUCCAAAUUUAUUGGAAAAUCUUUACCCGCCACCACCUUCCCCGAUGACGUCGUCUCAGCGGCCUUCGCCACUCCAGCCGCCUUUGCCUUUCUCGCAAGCUUUGUCCGACGUGGCGUCGGUCUAGACUUGAGCCAUGGAAUCUCAACAUCUUCAUACGUAUACCCUAGCUUUUUAUUAUCAAGAGUGUCCCUCACCGUGACCCUAACAAGCUCAGCAUUCUCGUCAUAAAACAAAAACCCCGUAUCCAACCAAUCCUUAUCGUUAAUAUCUUUAUUUUUAGUCCCUAUACUUUUCCAAAUAUUCCACAUUCGAUCUAUAUUCGAAUGGUGCGAAAAAAAUAUUGGAUCCCUUGCAGCGGAGUAAAAAUUCCCCAUGUCUUCAAAAUUAGGUUGCGUGUUAUCUCCGGUCCAUGUAUGAACCGGACCAUGUGGGGUCGUUUCGAUUGAACCGGCCCCUGGAUCUGGUUCGGUGCCAGCCCUGUAGGGCGAACCAAAGAACAACAGCGGUUUCUUGGAGUUGGAAACCAUCUGCCUAUACAUGAUUUUGAGGUUGGCGUCGAUUUGAGCAUCCUUGGACAUUGUUUCAUCCGUGCCGUUAAAGUCAAGAUCGAUGAGAGUCGGCGGCUGAUGGCUGGCAGCGCGGAGCUCGUCGUAAAGCGGAGAGUCCGGGUUAGCGAACAAGGCAGGGAGUUGCAUGCCAGCUGGCGCGUCCCAGUUCCAAAACGGCAACGCGAACGUCGGAUCGUCUAUGAGUUUGGCCAAGAUUCUUUCGUGGAAGUAUAGGUAGUAACGAUGGAAGGGGAAGAAAAGCCAGGAUUGAUGGAUUUGGAGCUCGAGGUUGGGGAAGCCGACUUGAUCGUACGCGCCGUCGCAAUAGGCACAGUGGAUAUCGGCUUGCUGGGUGAAGCUACGCGGAUCGUCGUCCGGGAGGGCUUUCAUGAGCUCGAUGGCUUUUGAAUAUUUUUCGAUGUAGGCUUUAUCCACGGUGUGAGCUGCCGGCCUGACGCGGAGUUUGGUAGGGGAGGGGAAUUUGAAGUCUACGAUUUUUUGGGACGUUGGCGGGCAACAGUUGGUCGGGACUGCUCCACUUGGAAAGUCCGCACCUCCGCAUUUGGCUAGGUCAGGCGGCGACACUGGCUUUGCAACAGCGAAGGGGUCGCUGCCAAGACCAGCCACUCCACCGUACAGGCUUCCGAGACCUAUAAGUACAUGUCUUCUGUCUAGGUUUACUGGAGAAAGGUUUUCAUGGUCGUGAUCGUUGGAGCUAGUGGAAGGGUUUUUGUUUUGGUCACUACUAUUAUUCGUGGCUUUGCAUGAGACGGCUUGUAAAUUGGAAUGCCUAGGGUUUUCAAAUAAGGAAAUUCGGUGAUACUUUUGGGAGAAAGGGAAGAGAGAAGUUGUGGGGAUGAUACUUGUGGUGGAGGUGACGAGUGGAGCUGACAUAGAAGCCAUGGUUACUUGACUCUGAAUACUACGUUGUAUAGGCUUUGCUUUUAUAAUGUGUUCUAGGUUUUACUUUUCUUUGCACAGGUGGCAGGCCGUACACAUUGGCGGUCCUUAAGGGUUUGACGAGGAAUACUACGUAGUCAUUUAGUACAGGGCAACCAUGCACUAUAGCACGUGGCAUGUAAUAUUUACGUAGUCUCAGAAGGUGAAGCGGUUUUGGGCUUCUUGUGUACCAAUAAUAUUUACGUACUCAUUAUUCCACUGGAUGGAUUGCGUGCACGUGAUCUUUAUUCAAACAAAUCACUAUUGACCAUAUAUUGCAAUUGGUUAAUGUUAGGCAAAUUAAAUUUUUACAUCAAAUAAUGUGGUUGCUGAUUAUUGAAUUAUUAUUUAAGUUUGAUUAAUGUGCUUAUUUUUUAUCGGUAAUACAUCAUUUGAUUUGCAAAUUUGAUUUACCUAAUAUUACCAGUUAUAAUUUGUAUAAAUGGACUGGUACCUAACAUUACCAAUUGUAAUUUGUAUAAAUGGACUCGUACCUAACAUUACCGGUUGUCCCAAGAGCACACGCUACUGCUCAAGAAGCAAAGUUCUUAUUUGCCCAAAAAAAAUCAUGGUUUUUUAAUUGAUGCUCUCAUUUUAAUUUACUAGCCCCUUACUUGGCCCUUUUUAUUUAUCAUUUUAUACAUAUUAAUAUUUUGUUUGUAAAAUAUAUUAGUGUUAGUUUUAUCAAAAUUAAAAAUAAAUAAAAAACUUAGCUUUAGUAUUUAGUUAUUGAAAUUGUAAAAAAAGUGAUAAAGUAUUGGGUGCUUUGUUUGAAAAUUUUCAAAAUGAUAUUGUUUUUACCACUGAACCCCUGUUAUAUACAGUGAUGGCUAAUUUGUCAAGUUCUACGAAGUUGGGAUACCCAGCGUUUUAGCAUAUAACAUAGCUUAGUAUUUCAAGCAUAAUUAAUUAACGAAAAAUUAGUAUCCGGUCCCUAGUUUUUACUGUUCAUUGACUAAGACCUUAUUAGUUCUCAAAUUUUGAUUCAAGUCCCUAGCAUUAAUGUGAUAAUGAAUUUACAUGUUUAUUAUAUAAUUUUUUAAUAUAAAAAUUAGUAAUUAAUUUAGGGUUUAAUACUCACACCUCUAUUAAACUUCUAAUUAAUUUUCAAUUCAGACAUUUCCAAAAUAAUAAAAAAUUAAAUUAAAUUAAGUUUGUACCUAUUAGUUUUUUUUUAUAUAUAAAAAGAUUCUCAAUUUUUAAUCUUAAAUGUACAUCUUAAAUGUACCCAUUCUCAAAUAUAUCAAUUUGUUAUAUGUAAAAUGUACCCUUUUUUAAUAUAAAAUCCAUUCAAAAUUUUUAAUCCAUGUUUAAACUUAUAUGGGUACAUUCUUUUUCGUUGAUUUGAGAAUGUAUCCAUGUUUUGGUACAAUAAAUUUUUUGUUAAUUUUGGUUAAUGUACCCAUACAUAUAUGUACACACACACACACACACACACACACAAUAUAAUAGAGAGUAUAAUUUAUAUUUUAUUAUUUUUAAUCCCAUAAAUGAUGGGUUUUAUUUAAAAUCUCAUUAAUAUAAACAAUUAUAAAUUUCAAUUUUUAAUUUUUAAUUUAAAAAAUAUAGUAACUUACAUUAUUACAUUAAUGUCAGGGACCUCAAUAAAAAACUAAAAACUAACAAGGUUUCAAUCAAAGAAUAUUGAUAGCUAGGGACCACAUCCAAAGUGUCCCUUAAUUAAAGGGUAAAUUACAUAGUAACCCCUCAGGUUUGAUGUCUAUUACAACCCCAUACAACAUCUUUAAAACAUUUCACUUUCAUACCUCAAGUACUAUUUUAUUUCAAUAUAAUACAUCUGUUAGAUUUUCCAUCCAUUAAUCCGUUAAAUGCUGACAUGGAUACCACAUUUGUGCCACGUGGCUGCCAAAUGCGUGUCAUGUGGCAAAAAUAAUAAUUUUUAAAUUUAAAAAAAAAUGAAUCUUCAACCCAAAAAAAAAAAAAAAAAAAAAACCCCAAACCCAGAUCCCAUCAACCCCCCCCAAACGAUUAUCCCUUCCCCAUAUCCCCCAUCCCACCCCCCAACCCCCCCUCUGCGACCAACCUUACCAUAGCGCCCCCCAACCUCGCGACCCACCUCACUCAAGGCCCUAAUCCACACUACCUACAACCCAGAAACGAAAAAAAAAAACAAAAAACAAAAAACUCAUCUCCCUUUCCCUGCAACCCAAAUCCCAUCUUCCCUAAUGGGUAUGGAUUUAAGAAGUGGGGUGUGUAGAGGAGGGAAGAGGGUGGGUGCGGAGGAUGGGUAUGGUGGGUUGCAAGGAAGGGGGGUCGGGUAAGAUGAAGAUGGGUUUUUUUUUUCUCUCUCUCUUCUUCUUCUUCUGGGUUGCAAGUUGUAGGUUGGGGUUUUUUUUUGGGGGGGGGGGGGAGGGAGGGAGGGAAGACGACGUGGGGUUUGGUUUUUUUUUUUUAAUUUAUUUAGAAGAUUUAGGUUUUUUGAAAAAAAAAAAAAAAUUCCACGUGGCACAAAUGUGGCAGCCACGUCAGCAUUUAACAGAUUAAUAGAUGGAAAAUCUAACGGAUGUAUUAUAUUGAAAUAAAAUAGUACUUGAGGUUAGAAAGUGAAAUGUGUUGAUGCACAAAACCGAAGGUCUUUGAACAACGUAAAUCCGAUCGUGAAUAUGCAAGUAAUGUAAAUAACACAAGAUGUAUCGUGGUUCACUCCAAUGUUUGGGCUACGUCCACACUGAUUAUUGUAUUUCUCUGAGAGGUGAGGGGGAGAGCUUUGAGAAAGCUUAGAGCUUAGGGGAUGUGAGAAGGCUUAAGAAUUGGCCUCCCUUAUUUGUGAGGGUGAUGAGUCCUUUUAUAGAAUAAGGGAUCCUCACUUAUUACAUAUUUGCCCAUUCCUUUAUUACAUAAUUACAUUUAAGUCCCCUGAGUACUUGUACAAGGUCUAAAUACGGAGGCCCUAAGUAUGGUACAAACAGUAGUCCCCCAAGUCUUCAGUCAAGAGAGUCUUUUGGCUAGAGACUUGAAAUUCUGUCCAUGUGUGAGCCGAAAUAACUAGAUGUCGUCUAGAACUGAUAUUUGAUAUGCGGCAGUGCCCAUUUUGAAAUAAUGCUCAACUAGAAGUAGCACAUGCUGCGAGGCUGCUCUGCUUGUGUUGCCUUGGUUGGCUCGACUUGUGGCGUUGAAGGUGAGAGAGUCCCUUUUAUAGAAUAAGGGCUCGCUCCUCAUUACAAAGAUGAUGGGUUAGUUGGUGCUUGCGGUGAGGCGGAUGCUCAGCUGGCGGCGAUGCUCUCUAAUGAUAGUGAGGGAGUCCAUUUUAUAGAAUAAGGGAUCGCUCCUCAAUACAUAAAUAAUAGGUGCUCUCUAAUGAAAGUAAGGGAGUCCCUUUUAUAGAAUAAGGGCUCACUCUUCAAUACAUAAAUAAUGGGCUAAGUCCCCUAAGUAUUUUUUAUGAGGCCUAAUUGAGGCCCAAUAUAUGGUACAUAAUGUAGUCCCCCAAGUCUUCGGUCAAUAGAGUCUGUUGGCUGGAGACUUCAAAUUGAAUCCAUGUAUGGGCCGAAGUGGCGGUUGUUCGGAAGCGGUAUUUGUAUACCCUGCACUGAAGCUUUAUAGGUGAAGCUUUGCAAGUGAAGCUUUGAAGCUGGAGCUCAGUAAAUGAAGCUUUUGAAGCUAGAGCUUUUGUAAAUGAAACUUUUGAAGCUGGAGCUCUAUAAAGGAAGCUUUUGUAAAUGAAGCUUUUGAAGCUGAUUCACAUGAGUGAUGCUCAUGAAUGUUUAUGUUGAUUGAUAUGAGUGAUGCUUAUGGAUGUUGACAUGAGUGAUGCUCAUGGAUGUUGACGUGAUGCUCAUGAAUGUUAACAUGAGUGAUGCUCAUGAAUGUUUAUGUAUGAUUGAUAUGAGUAAUGUUCAUGAAUGUUUAUGUAUGAUUGACAUGAGUAAUGCUCAUGUAUAAUUUGAAGUACUGGGCAUACUUUUGAUUACCUGGUUGGCGAUAAUAGCGGCAGGGUGCCGAAUAAUUUUUUGUAGUACUGGGCGUACUUUUGGUCACCUGGUUGGUGAUAAUAGCAGCAGGGUGCCGAAUAAUUUUUUGUAAUACUGGUCGUCCUUUUGGUCACCUGGUUGGUGCUAUUUUGAGCUUAUGGGCCUUCGCCCUCUACACAACAUUCCAGCCUAUUUAUUUUGGGCUUUACCGUUUUUUUUAAUUACCCUAUGAUGGGGUUUAUACAGAUGUCUCCGAAAGAUAUGAAAAAUAAAUUACAUCAUUCAAAAAUAAAUCCGACCCUCUGCUCAAUGGGUCACGCCAAUAAUUCUUUUUUUUUAUGCAUGCCAUCACCACCGCAAUUAUGUCUGCUUCUUUUUAUCUUCUUUUGCUUUCUGCUUUUGCUUUUACUUUAUCUUUCUCUUUUGGCAUAUGGCAGACAACGCCAAAACGGAAUAAUGAAUUAUUAUGAGAACAUGAAUCUUAUCUUUUGCCUGGUUUUCCACUAGUGCUCGUGGUAUUCUCAGGAGAUUGGAUCUGGGGGUAGGCGACUACCCCAGCACCUUGCCCUGAUACGUAAUAGCCUGAUGUCCCACUGCCAUCUCCAUACUGGAAGGUGUACGAACAAUGGUUAUUCUGUGUGGAACAAAUAGAAUCCGAUUGAGAUUCAAGACUGCACCUUCGAUCUGAGCAAGAAAUGAAUUGUGACGUUGAUGAACUUCUAGGAGGAGAAGCAGAGGAUCUUUGACUAUGAUGAUCUUUGAAUUCCAGAUGAAACUGAAUAAAAUGCAGGUUGUGGAGCUUGAUGUGGGCCCAGAUCUGCUUGACAGCUUUGGGGCGGGAGGAUUCCUUGACACUGAGGAAGAUUCCCAGAGCUGGAGGGAUGAGAAUCGACUUCAUAAUCCCGAUGGUGGGUUUGUGCUUGGUCGAAAGAUCAUUUCUGGCAGGGGAAAACAUGUACCAUACCUAUUGCAAAUCUUGCAAAUUCUCUGCUUCUCCAUGGAAGAUGAAGAGCAUCGAAUCUCUGUUUUCUCUCUCUCUCUCUAAAACGUUUUCGUUAUAGAGUGCCCCAAUAGAAGUGGACGGGCAGUGAGCAUGCCAUUUAGUGCCUCCUCCAAGACAGUAACUGAUACGGUGGUCUUUAUUGGCACUCCAAGUUUACUAAAAAGGGCAGCAAAAAUAGUAUUUACAGCACCCAAACUUGAAAGAUCUAGCUCCAACUAGUGGCUUUCUGUUUCAACAGCCUGAAAGCCGGCAGUGUCAUACCGACGCCGUUUGUCUGGAUCAAAUAAUAUAUUAUAAGAAAACAUGACCUUCUUGAAGAUAUCAGCUGUUUUAGAGUCAUUAGCAUUUUUGUCAGGAUGGUACUUGAGAGCCAUUUUCCGGUAAGCACUUUUGAUUUCCUGGUUGGUGGAAUUCCUAUUGAGGCCGAGGACCGCAUAAGGGUUUUGUCGGAGCUGCUUCUUAGCUUCUUGCUUCUCCGAUUUUGAUCGGCUGCCCUGCAUUUUUGAAAUUGACGGUCAAUUUCUUCACAAAACCCUAGAAAUUGCCUCUCGAUUACCUCCGAAACACAUAAUUCACGACUCUUGGUUGAAAUUUUUUUUUUUCAUUUCAAAGAAGUGGCGGAGGUAAAUCAGUUGUCACAUAGCACCGGAGCAUGAGGAAAACCUAGAAAACCAAGAGGCAGAGAGACUCCAUGCACAUCUAACCUGGAACCUUGCAGGAGAGAGCAGAGAGAAAGAGACAAGAAAGAUUGAGGGAGAAGCGAUCUUGGUGCAUCGUCUGUGAUUCCUUGGUGAUUUGCUCGAUCGGGACUCUGAAUUCGUGCAAGUCAUUGCUGUUAAGCAAGAAUCGCGAGGAGUCGGAGAGCUUGGAAAUCGAGAAGGAGAGAGGGCCUUUAGUCAGGGCUUGGAGGGUGUCGGACUCCGUCGGCCAAGAUUGGUGCACGGUCACGGCGUCUGGGCCCAUGGCGGUUGUGUAAAUGGGGGAGGUUCUAGGAGUCCAAGAAAGAAGAAGAAGCAGCGACCAUAGAUCUGGGAGUCCAUGGCGCUUGAAAGAUACGGCGAACAAGUCGGACUUGCUGCUGGGCAGCUGGCGGUGAUAAUGUUGGUGCAUGGGUUUUGGAGUGGGAGUGUUUGGAAUGGGUUUUUUGUUUAGUUUCUAUGUGUUUUUUCACAGAGAGAGAGAGAGAGAAGUGAUGGUGUUUAAGGGAUGAGUUUUGGAGCUUAGUGAAUGCUUUUUCUGGAAAAGCCCAGUGAGGUUUGUGGGUUUUUGCAGAUUUUGCAGAUUCGCGGUGGAGGUGAAAGAAUGAAAGAGAACCGACACAACUUUUCGUAUUGAUUCCCACAUACGGCGCCAAAUGUUGAUGCACAAAACCGGAGGUCUUGGAACAACGCAAAUCCGACCGUGAAUCUGCAAGUAAUGUAAAUAACACAAGAUGUAUCGUGGUUCACCCCAAUGUUUAGGCUAUGUCCACACUGAUUAUUGUAUUUCUCUGAGAGGUGAGGGAGAGCUUUGAGAGAGCUUAGAGCUUAGGGGAUGUGAGAAGGCUUAGGAAUUGGCCUCCCUUAUUUGUGAGGGUGAGAAGUCCUUUUAUAGAAUAAGGGUUCCUCACUUAUUACAUAUUUGCCCAUUCCUUUAUUACAUAAUUACAUUUAAGUCCCCCGAGUAUUUGUACGAGGUCUAAAUACGGAGGCCCUAAGUAUGGUACAAACAAAAUGUUUUAAAGAUGUUGUAUGGGGUUGUAAUAGACCUCAAACUUGAGGGGUUACUAUGUAAUUUACCCUUAAUUAAAAUAAGGGCAAAUGAAGAGGAUGGUUGAACUUGUUAAGUUUCUUAAGUGUGUCUAAUUUAAGUGUGUUGUUAAUAAACAUUUAUUAUGGAGGCAAAGAGAGGGAAGGUGCGGCAUAGAAAGAGAAGAGAGAGAUAUGUAAUUGUGAGUUGUGUUUUAUUCCAUCCCAUUGUGCAUUUAUUUAUAUUAGUUGGGAAAGUUAAUUCUUUAACCUUUUAGGAUUACAACUCUAAUAGGAAAAUAUAUAAUCUAAAAGAUAUGGUAGAAUCCCAUAAGAAUAUCCUAGAUAUGUUAGGAUUUACACAAUCAUAUUCCUAUUCCAAUAGGACUGCAAAACAUUUGUAUUUUUUUAUAAUUUUUUUGAUAAUUUGUUGGCAUUUUCAAUUUUUGUUAACAUUGAAAAUAUAACGGUUCAGAUGAAAAACCUUUGGAAAUCCAACAUUGAAAAUAUAACAGUUUGACGUUGGGCUGUGGUGAAGGAGGCUGGGCUGUCACGUGGGUGGGGCCCUCCCUCUCCCACUUGGUGAUUCAAAGGGCGCAGGCCCGUGCAACAAUUGAGGCAGCCCAUAGAGAUCCUGCGUUUCACCCAUUUGCCAUUUUUUCCACCGCUGGAGCACCAAAAUUCGGUCCAAAGGCAGGGGUUCCAAUUGCAUGGGCAAUUUGGUUUCCGCUGGAGGUGCUCUUUGUCGACUUUGUUUAUUCUUUCUUUUUAGCUUUGCAGUAAUAUUGAAGUAAUCACUCCAAUUGUAUCCGAACUUUUGUUGUCCAUCAAUUUGUAUCAAAACUAUUGGUUAAUUUACAUAUUCAGACUAACCUUCUCAUUAUUUUUAGUAUUUUUAUCAUAAAUAAUAUCUAAAAUAAUCACAUUUUAUUCAACAACCACUCAAUUAAAAAUUAAUUAAUGUUGUUUCUAAACCAUUACAUCGAGCUUUUGUAAAUACACAUCAAUAUUGCAGCGAUCCGAGGCAUUGUUUUCUACGCCUUGGAUUUGGCGAAUUGGAAAAGAGAAGAGUUACGAGUAAAAGUCCCUCACAUUAAGAGGGCUCCUCCUCGGGGAGAUGAAGAUGAUGAUCUUUUGUUUUUGUUUCUUAAUGAUUAAUCCACGCAGCAACAUAUAAUUAGAUUGUUGGGAUCUACUCAAGUUCCAUAUCACGCACUAAUAUAAAGUUUGACAAACGAAACGAAAUAUGUGCUCUCGAAAGCAAAAUGAGGGCACUGCUCCAAGAACAGGAAGGGCUCCUUGUCGAGGUUGCCAUCCGCCAUGAGGGAAAACCGGAAGAAGUUAGACAACAAUGAUGACAUCGAUUUGCAACACCCAUAUUGGGACAUCAAACUGUGAAAUAAAUACUCAAAACUCCUGGAAAGUCCUCGGGACAACAAACUUUUAUCUCCUUCAAAUAUUUCAUUUUACCAAGUUUUAUGUUUGAAGGGAGGGAAAAAAAGAGAUGAGAGAAUCCUACUCCUUAUUCUUGAAUAUAUUCAGGAAUAACUAUUGAAUAAAGAGAGAAUGGAAGGGGAUCGAAAGAGGAGGGAAGAUAAUUCUAGUCCCAAACAUAAAAAGGACCACAACUUUUAAAUUAUCAGCACGAUCAUCAUCUGAUUGAAGAGACCAUUCAUUGUGAAACAUAUCGUCAAUCAAUAUGUCUAUAUCUAUUUAUAUACCACAUUUUUGGAGUAGGAUUCUCCCCCCUCCUAUUACCAUCCCCUUCCAUCCCCUUCCAUCCCCUCCUUUCAUACUUUUUUUUUUCUUAUUCUCUAUAUAAAAAAUUCAAAACAAGAUGUAGAUGUGUCGUAAUCGCAAUAGUUUAAAUAAAAGGAGAUGGAAGGAGAGAUAAAUUACGAGGGGAGAGAAUCUUACUCCCACAUUUUUCUUCUUCAUAAACAAAAGAGAGGUUCUAGAUUACUUGACUCUAUGCCUCAUUUUUUUCAUCAAGUAUUUGUGCUAAACGGGUUCAGUUUCAAGUAUUUUAGUUUUUUGUCAAAAUUGAGAAAACUGAAAAUCAAACAUUAAUAUGCAAAAUUAAAAAAUCAACACAUAAUUAUUUAGAAAUCGCAAUAGAAAAGAAAAAAUGGAGGUUUGUGAUGAAAAAUCUUUUAUACUAAGUAAUUUAGUAUCCUUAUGCAUGAAGAUAAUCAAUUCGUUCGUUAUGGUCAGACUCUUUUUGAAUUUUUGAACACAUUCUCCAUAGGGCCUUCUUAUUUGUUCCUUCUCCGAGUUGGGGUUAUGGAAGAAGUAAAAGAAGGAACCAAGAAGAAAGUAUUGGCAACAACCGAUUUCGUUACGGGACAACUCUUGAUAUUCAUAUCGAUCUAUUAUGUACCUUUGCAUCUAGCAUUAGACAAUAACUGUCAUAGCUUUACCAUAUUUUUUUGUUUCAUUUCUUCUGAAACAAUAACACACACUUUUUUAUUAUGUGUCUAAUACUAGGAAUUCAAUACAUAAUCUUAGCAUUCAAUAGUUAUUCCUGAAUAAUUUCAUUUUUCAAUUGAUCAACCAUUUCAUUUUUCCAAGUUCAAUCAAUGUUAGUCACAUUAGUCAACAUUUAUAUAUUUUGAUGCAACAACAAUAUGUUAUUUGUAACAAGUGAUUUUGCUAGUUGGUUAAUUGGUCACAAGUUAAUGUUCGGUUCAGUUCAGCUUUUCUCUCGAUUUUUUGCGAUUCGGUUUUUUCGAUUCUCUUUAGAUUCGGUUCGAUUUUGUUUUUUUAUUUAUACUUAAUUUUUUUUAAUCUGAAAACACCAAGAACAACACAAGCAUACUCAAUCAAACAACUAUCCUUCUCCACAAAUCACAGUAAUAAUUACAUUCAUUUAGCUAAAAUGCAAAUAACUAACAAACUCACAAAAAUCGAAUAAAAACUACAAAUUGCUUACUCUUUUUCUUUGGGUUUCACUCGAAAAGUGUCGGUAAAAUUUAGGGUUUGCAAGAACGCAACCGAAAUCCAAAACGGAGGCUCUGUGGCUUGUGGGCUGCUAUUGAGUUCCAGUACGGAAAACCUUGCUUACUCUCUAUCACGGUACAAAGUAUCAGUACCUUUAGCACUGUAUUUGGUAGAACCAAAUUAAAAGCUAACAUCAAUAACAACUACCAGAGACAUAAGCUCUUAUCAAUGCUUUGGAAACAGUCAUGUAUCUCCAAGUGUAAUGAUAUAAUUAGUAAGAAAUUUAAAAGAAAAAUGGUGAUUUCAUAUAAAAUCAAUAAAAAGUUACAAUAUUGACAAUAUAUCAACAAUUUUUAUGGGGUAAAUUACAUAGGACCCCCUCAGGUUUGAGGUCUAUUACAACCCCAUACAACAUCUUUAAAAUAUUUCACUUUCAUACCUCACCUACUAUUUUAUUUCAAUAUAGUACCUCCAUUACAUUUUCCAUCAAUUGAUCCAUUAAGAGCUGAAUUGGUUGCCACAUUUGACACGCCCCGAUCCCGAUAUCCUCGGGAUAUCAGGAUGGUCACGUGCUGGCCGACACCCGAGGGUGACGAAAGCCAUUUAUUGAGUGCAAUUGCUGAAAAUAAAGGAUAGAUAAAACUUAUAAAUGUAAAAGAAUAAGGAAUAUGCAUUUAAGGAACGUGUUCAGAGCAUACAACUAACUAGAACACUAAAAGAAUGAUAUAAAAUGGAAUGAAUAAAAGAAUGAGUCUUACACCAAGAGGACUCGAAGAUGCCGAUGCGGAAGUACCUUGAUUGUCGGGAUUGUACGCCUCGAUCCUAAAUCCUGAAGGGGGCGCAAAACAAACAUGAGUGGACCAAGUUGAUAUAUAUAUAAUAAAACAGUUAUCAAUAUACUAACCCCCAGGUUUAUGAAAACAAAUAUAUAAUGAUGAACAUAGGUUUUCCGAAACCUAGCAUGAUGUGCAGUAUCUCAAAUCAUAACUCAUAUAUAAUAAUCACUAGUGAAUUGUCCGAUAACCUGCAGGCCCCAUGCCGGCUCCCCGUCUCUGAGCAGACAGUCAGAGGAAAAUACACUUCAGGCCCCAUGCCGGCUCCCCGUCCCUGUGCUAAAUAGCCAGAGGAAACACACUCCAGGCCCUAUGCCAACACCAAACCGUCGCCCGGGACGGACCGGAAUCUAUUCCUACGUCCCGUAGCGGAAAUGACCACUAGGUAAGUACAAAACCAUUGAACAUACAUAUAUUGAAAAACAACUUCAUAGUAUAAAGUCAUCCAUCAUCUAUACUAUAAAGAGGUGUUCGAAACAUGUUCUAAAUAUCAUAUCGUCAUCCAUCAGAUAUUCUAUAAGAACACGGGUUAUAGGAAAAAUAGUAAUAAUUCAAGGUAGCCUCAGUAAGCAUGUUAUCUCAAAACGUUUCAUAAAACGUAAUCAUUAAAUCAUGCAUUUCAUGUAUGCAUUUCUACUAUUAAAACAUGCUUUUGAAGGGGUCCACUCACAGUACUUAGCCGCCGAAGAGCCACGCAAACUAACGUCACCAAUAUUGCCCCUAAGCACAUAAAUGGUCCAAUUAAUAAAACUAUAUAAUAGCAAUUGGAUUUGGGAAAACGGACGUUGGAAACGGAUUCAGAACGUCGAAUUACCCUAAGAAGGGUCCCGGACGAAAACCCGAAAAGUCAACUCUAAAGUCAAUGUUGACCGGAGGUCAACGGUCAAAUUAGGUCUAACGGGUUUUAGGCUUGAAAUCCGGAUUAGGGUUUAGGUUAAAUAGGAUUAGGAUUUAUUGGGUUUUGGAAUUCUAAGGUUUUUGGGUUAAAAGGGUUUAGGGUGAAAAUGGGUGGUUUGGGCUUAAUCCCAAACUCACACACAACACACACACACACUACACAAACCCUAAAACACACACACACACACGGGCUGCACUAGGGCAGCCCUCACAACACUUCACAAAGGCCCUAAGGCCUUAUUAAAGGACAGGGCUUUAAGCCCUUUAAAGGAUACUGGCCCAAGGCCCGUCAAAAUAAGGCCCGAGGCCUUUGGGUUUUAAAAAGAACAAGAACAAAUUUAAAAGAAAAGGGGCUGGGGUCUACUGGGCUAAGAUAUAACGGGCUUAAGGCCCGUGGGGUUUUCUAAAGGGCCUGAGAGGCCUGGGUUUGUCGAAGGAGAAGGCCGGAAUUUCGGCCGGAAAACCACCCAACUUUAAAUGGCCAUAACUUUGUCAAUACUCAACGAAAUCAAGCAAGACAAAAAUGAAAGUUGUAGCCCUUGAAGCGACGAAGAGAAUGGUUCCUCACACGACGUCUAACUCGCCGUGGUUUGGCCGGAAAAUGCCUCGAAAUCCGUCGGACUCGCCGGAAACUGGGUAAGAUUCAAAUGAGUAUAACUUCUUCAAUACUCAACGAAAUUAAGUGAAACAAAAAGGAAAGUUGUAUUACUCGACGAGACGAAGAGAUUGAUACCUUACACGCCGGCCAACUCGCUGUGGUUUGGCCGGAAAUGGCCUCGAAAGGGGCGGUGCUCGCCGGAGCUUACUCCGUGCCGUCGAACUCGCAGGGUAGGGUCCGGGGUUCGUUGCAAGCCUCUCUUCGAUGGUGACUCGGUCCUAGUGAGUCCAGGGGAAGAGAGAGAUGCGAAAGGUUGAGGGAGAGAGAGACGGGAGAGCUGAGAAAGAGAGAGCUACGGGAGGGAGAAACGAAGAAGAAGAAGAGAGAGAUCAGAAAACAUAAAAAAAAUAAACAAGGUGGGCCCCACGGGCUCACCAAUUAAGGCUUUAAAACAAUUUUAAAAUAUAAAAGAGGGUUGGGGUGUUUCAACAUUUGUACCACGUGGCAAAAAAAAAACCUAAAUCUUCUAUACAAAAAAACUAAAAAAACCAAAAAAAGCAAAAUCGAACACUCCACCCCGCAAAAAUCCUAGCAUCUUCCUUUUAUUCCCCACAACCCCAAAUUCCCCCCCAAAACCCCUAAAACCCAAACCCUAAUUCCUCCCCCACAUGAAGAAAAUCCCAGUCCAAUUCAAUCCCAAUUACCUCAAAUCCCACCAUAGAAACCCUAAAUUUUGGUUCCUCAAUCCCUAGAUUUCCCACGCCUCUGUUGCCUACACCUUAUCAAUCUUUAGCUUUCUCCCUCAUCCCCUCCAUGAACGACACUUUCUCUCAUCCGCUGUUCCCCAGCAACGGCACCGAUACCUACGAGGCCUGGUACGGCAACAUCCAGUACCUUCUCAACAUCUCCGCCAUCGGCUCAUUCUUAUGUGUCUUCUUUUUCACCUUGGUCAAGCUUUGAAGCGAUCGCCGCCGCAUGCCCGGCUCGUCCUCCCUCGUUGCUAAGCUCUUCGCAGUGUGGUAUGCUACCUGUCGAGAGAUUAUGCUCCCAUGUGGCGCUGAGGCCAUAAUACUCACGCACCCAUCUACACACCCACACCACCACUACCGUGGACUCUCUCUCACUCUCCCUCGUCUUUGUAGAGCUAGGUGAAGCCUAGAAACCGAGAACUAGCUCCAGCAAACCCCGUGAGUUUCGAGCCAGAUCCCUGCCGACUCCGACCAUCCCAUGACCAAUCUAAGGUACAAAACAUUUCCCCUUGACUCUAUGCUCUUUUUCGUAUGUAGAUCGUAGGGAAAAGCCCACAGAAUGAGAGAGAAUAGUGACCUGAGAGAGUCCACGGUGAUGGUGGUGUGUAGAUGAGUGCGUGCGUGGGUGUACUGUCGGGGAUAGAGUCUGAGAGAGAUAGAGAGUGAAAGAGUCUGAGAGAAGAGUGACUUGCGAGAGUGAGAGAUUCGAGAGAGACUCGGGAAAAGAUUUAUGGGUUUGGGUUUUUCUGGUUUUUUAUUUUUAUAAUAAUAGGGUUAAUAUUAUAAUAUUUUUAAUGUAUAAAAAUUUCUUUUUUGCCACGUGGCAGCCACAUCAGCACAAAUGUGGUAGUUGUAGAUGCAAAUUUCUUCCUCUUGAUCUUGGACAAUUUUGCACCUACAAAACAAUUAACACCUUAGGUUAAGGCCAAAAGCCUCACACACCCACAAUGAAUGGGGGGCUUUGGCCGAAGAACCUCUGUUGCCAAAGUUAGAAUUUAGAGAGAAAGAGUCUUUACAGAAUUUUGGGAUUUUUGCCAAAGUGUUGGAAUGGCUUUCUGGUGAGAACGGGAUCACUUUUAUAAGGAUAGGAAGUGGUCGGCCUAGCUAGGGUUUUUGGGUUUAAUUUAGGUUUAAUUCUUCAAUUUAUUUGGCUAAUUAAACCCUAAAGAAUAAAUUGGUGGUUACAAAAUUGAUUAUUUGUAUAAAUGGGGUAAUAAAAUGGAGAAAAGUGAAAAAGGUUAGGAAAAGGGAGGUAGCUAGCUUCUUAGUAGUUUUAGGUGUGAGUGGGUGUUUUAAUUGAUAAUUAAGGGAUUGAUUAGGUAAUUAAUCCCUUAAUUAAACAAUUUUUAGGGAAUAUGAAAGGAAAUUAUUAUUUAGCUAAUUGAUUAGCUAAAUAAUGGAAUACAAAAUAUAUAGAAUAAAUUAGGCUUUAGGUAUUACCUUAUAGAAAUGAUUUGAUGAAAUAGGCUUUAAAUUGUUAACUAUUUUGGGCACUUUUGACUUGGUUGAGGAUGAUUGUCUGCCGCUCGCACGUAGGAAUCUCGAUAUGCCUUAAGGGUAUUUUUGUCCUCUUUUACCCAAAAAUCCACGUGUCGCCUUGUGAUUAUUUUUGGCUCCACAAAUGCCCCCACACCUGUUGGGCUGCUCGCAGAAAAUGGCAGCAGGUGUAGAGAUCAUCUUGCUUUAGGAAACGUAGGACUACUUCCUCUUUAGAUGUAGAUUCUCUCUUUAAUAGGAAAUUAGGUUCUUCUAGGAAAGGGAAAUAAAUUUCUGUUAAAGCCUAUUUAAGUCUACCUUAAGUGGGUUAUUAAAUCAACUUUGGAGAGCGAUUUCUUAUACCCUACAAGAGAGAGGGAGCUUAGAGAAUAUUUGUUCCCCCUCUUCUAGCAAUCUUCUACAUCUUUCCCGUGCAAAGGAUCGUCUUUCGUUGAUUUCUUCGUCUUCUCCGUGCCGCACCGAUGUAAGAAAAAUUUAAUUUUUUGCUUAUCUUCUUCUUGGAUAGUACUAUUACAGGGCAACCGUUAAGGUAGUGCGGCACGUCUACUGGCAGGGGCUAGGAGUUGGCUCGGCAUCGGUCGAUGAGGCAUUAUGGCAGGGGCCACUGCUUAGGCUGUUUGGCUUGGCUAGAGCCAAUGGCAGCUUGUGCGGCUGGGGUCGCGGAUUGUGGCGUUGGGGCGCAAUGCUAGGCGAGCCACAUGGUUAAUGUCCUUUAGGCUCUUAGACCUUACUCGGGCCAGGCUAGCGACUGAAAGAAAUGAGGAGGUCGUGGGCCUCAUGGGUUGUUGGAAUGUUGGGCAUGCAGGCCUCCUGUCUGCUAGAAUGCUAGGUUGAGCUCCUCUGCUGAGUACCGUGAAUGGCGUUGGCUGCUUAGUUCUUUUUACAGAGAGAAAGGUGGGCUGCUCCCGAAAGAGGAAGUAAAGAGGAUCAAGGUGGAUGCAUUGGCUCGUCUAAUCGCUGUCGUGGAACCUCCUAUGAAUGAAGAUGGAAAUAAGAGAUCUUCCCUGCCUACUCAAGAGAUGCCGAUCGAGAAAAAUUGAAGACUUUCUCCACUGCUGCUCAUGAUGAUUUGUCUGCUGUCGAUAGGCCUGUGAUUGGCAUGACUUCUUCCAAUGGGAAGAAAAAUGAGGCUGCUAGAUCUGAUCAUGUGGUGCCUUCCAUGUUGAGAAUUGCUAGUACAAUUGUUGAUAAGAUUGCUUAGCGCAAAGGUUUUAUCAUGCCCCCAGUACCGAAGUCUGUACCAGGACUUUCGUUUGGAGCAAAGUCUGGUUCACCUUUGGAGAUACUUGCUAUUAUGAAAAGUGGUAAGGUGGACUCUGCUGCUAAAGUGGCGUCAAGGCCCACUCCCUUUGUUGCUGAGACUGAUUCGCCUGCUAGGAAGGAAGAUACUACUUGUAUGGGCAGCUGUGAGAAAUCCACUAAACUUGCUUCUGGGGAGGCUGCUGAGAUCAUUGUGCUUUUGAAACUAUAUCUGCUUGAAGACAUGGACGCUUGUGCCAAGUUUGUUGAUGGCGGUAGAAAGGUUGUUUACCUAAGUUCCUUUGCGAAACAUACGACCCAAUAUAAAAUGACUGCUCUGCUUACUAGGAUGCAUAAAUAGCAAGGUUGUCAAGGAGGUGGCGAAGAUUAUGGCAGCUAAAGCUUAUUCCUCAGUCGAGGAGAUCAAAAGGUUGAAUUAUGAGCUUGUUGCUUUGAAAGAAAUGGAAGAACUGCAACACGUUCGUGUUAGUCUGUUUGAGAAGAAUGAGCAGCUAAACGGUAAGAAUGAUGGGCUUGAGGUUUCUCUAUUUUUCCGGAAGACUUGCUUACUUUUACUUUUGAGGCUUCCAUUGGUGAAGUAGUUGGAGACGUUAGUGCCCAGGCUUAGGCAACCGGGGGUGAAGCACCGGAUGAUGCCGCUGCUAAGAACGUUACGGCUGCUGAAGGUGUGGAGACCAAGUAGUCGUGGGAUGUCCAAGCUGCUGUAGUGUAGUAUUUUAGGUAGCUUUUAUGAUUUUCUUUGUUUUUCCUUGUAGCUCUUGUUUUGCUUGAACUUCUUCGGCCUUUGCUAGUUGUAUAAACAUGUUUUCCUUCGCUUUUCUUCAUCUUCGCUUCUUUUGUUCAUGCCCUAACCUUUAGACUUGAUAGACCAAUGGCAGGCAUGCUACUUUUUUAUAAGCAGACAAGCUCGCGUAGCCUAUGCAGCCGUAAAUGUUGGUGUAGAACUUUGCAAAGUUGUUAGCCAUUAGGUUGGUAACCAGAUACCUUACUUACAGAAGUAGACAAGUCCGCAUAACCACUAGGCUAUUAACCUUGACUUUCUCCAAUUCUGUAGGUUGCGUAGCAAGUAUCACAACACUUUAGGAAUUGGUAUAGGUUGCUCCGCACUUGGCAGAGGUGAAGCCUAUCGACUACGUAGCAUGUCGGCAGUGGAUAAAACUUCCAUAUAUGCGCGCUAGCUUGUUUAACCUUUCACAAGAAUGUGCGGUUGUAUAAGUCUAGCACGGUUUUACUGCUUGAAGGGCAAGCCGUAGGCAGUCUUCCGGAAUCCGUAGGCUACCUUAAUGUACUCGGUAGCAGCUUUAGGGUUCCAGGGCAGCCGUCUAUAGAGCGUACUGCGUAAUGUGCCCCAUCCGUCUCUAGCUCCCGGUUCCCCACAGAUUAGACCAAGAGACCCAAAAUCCUUCAGUUAGUUAAGCCUUGAAAAAGACCAUUGUGGCUACUUCUAGGAAUCCCGGCUCAAGCCAUCGUACAUCUAGUUAUACUAGGGUAGCCAGGCUCAUCAGCGUCUGGAUAUUCGGAGUGUAAAGUUUAUCCUCCCGUCUUAGAGAGCUGACCCAUAUGAGUGUCGGGGAAUUGGUUUACCCUCUCACACUAGAGAGUAAUUAAUUUACCCUCUCGCACUGGAGAGCAAUUAGUUUACCCUCUCGCACUGGAGAGCAUGGUUGGUCCAUCGGGGGGCGCAAUUCCUGCGAUGAGUCCCUAAGAAGGGCGCAGUCUUCUUUUGAAGUGCAGGAAUGAUUAGUUGUUAUAAGCAUGUGAUCGAGUCAAGUUGUGAUUACUUCUAAAUUCCUCAUUGAAAAACGAGUGAAACGAACGAGAACUUAGCCGUAAGGUAGGAACUGCAUAACAACUGGAUAGUCCUCAACUUGUGUGGUGGUACCCAUCGAGCUUCUUGAGUCUUCGGGCUUUGAUGUAGUGGGAGGUUACACAUGGCACCUUUUCAGAUUGUAGGCGCUCUACUGCUUUUCGAACUUUUUUUUUGUUGUGUAAUUGCUCUUGCUGCCUACUCGGCUAAUCUUAUACAGACUUUCUCGGAUGAGAUUCAUCUUUUUGGAGCUUCUCUGCUGGCAGUGAUGAAGGCUUUUCUUAGGACUAGAUCUCUGGGCUGGAACUGCCAGAUUUUGGCCUUUUUGUUGUGGCUGGAAAAGAACCACUGCUGGUAAGUUGUAAUGCAGAUGAUAGUCUGCUCGCACUUCUCCUCUGCCAAAUUUAAGCUUGUGGCCAUCUCCUUUCGGUUGCUCGUCUUUUGGUGUUGCGAUGUGCCCAUAGACAUCCAGGGAGUUUGUCUGGCCAUUUUCUUUUCUUAUUGGUAGGGGAUUUCUUGUGGCAGUCGAGGAUCAUCUUAGUGGAUGUUUUGGCCAGCCUAUUGCCUUGAGGAUAUCUUGGCGUAGACAUGUGCUGCUUGAUGCCAUAUUUUUAGAAGAAUUUCGCCAAAUCUUUGCCCACGAAUUACGGGCCGUUGUUGGUGACGAUGGAUUAAGGUAUGCCAAAUCGGCAAAUGAUGCUCUUUCAUAUGAAGCGCUCUAUGUCCGUUUGAAUUGUGAUCGUCAUGGGCUCUGCUUCUACCUAUUUGGUGAAAUAGUUGGUUGCCACGAUCAUCAUGCAUUUGCCCUUAGUAGUCUGGCUGGUGAUUAGCUGGGAAUCAGAAUGAAUUGAAAGCUUUUUCACCACCAAGUCUUUUGUCACUCGAAGGCCUGCUAGUGGGGCUUUGUACUCUGCUUCGUUGUUAGGUGCUUUGACGCUUAGAGUGAUCGCUUACUCGAGCAUUGAACCGUCUGGGGUGGCAAGAACCACGGUUACUUAUAAGCCUUUGUAGUUGGAUGCGCCGUCGACAUGCAAAUGCCAGAAAUUUCCAUUGAGGGAGUAGGUAUGGCUAAAGUGUGCUCGGCUACCUUCGAAGCGUCGUUGGGCCGCUUUGUUACAUUGUCAAGGCUAGGUUUGAAGGCGCGGUAGAGAGUCGUGGAGCUGGGGCCAUGUUACAUGUAGCAGGAGAUGCUCAACUUCCGGUAUUAGGCCACUCUAGAGCUGAAUAAUGGAGCAAAGGUCGGCUAGGGUCGUAUGACGCGCAGCAGAAGGUAGUGCUCGACUGCUAGUACAUGUUGCUCUUACGUAGAAUCUUCUGAGGCGACGAGGACAAAACUUGCUUUUAAGUGUUCCUUCUAGUGUUCGUCUGCCCUUGGCGUGUCUUUUGGGCUGAGUUGUUGCGUUCGUCAGAAAACUUUGCAUCUGCCAGGGUUUACGUCUUUAUCAUCACGGGUUUGGAUUAGGCGGAAUAGUGCGUCAUGAUGAUGACUGCGUACAUUUGAAGGUAAAACUUAAGCUUUUGGGUUACAACAACUAUCACCAAAGUUAGCUUUUGAAUUUUUAAUAGCAUCGAGGAGAGCUUUUGAACUAUAAAAUACAUGUAGUUGGGCCCCCAACUCUUCUCGCAUGACGGUACAGCUUAUUUCUACUUUAGAUACCGUCAAACAUGCGAAUAAGUCCUCUGCUGCUUCUAGGGAGGUGAUGUUGGGUACUUCUUCAAGCCCUUGAAUGUGCAUUGGCGAGCCUCAUCCCAAAGUGCAUGCUUCUCUGCCAAAGAAAAAGAGUCUACCAGAGUUAGAUAUUCUUUCAUGAUCAAUUUUCUAAAUAGCGGUGGUCUGCUGGAAGGCCUUUUUGGAAGGCUGCUCUAGCUAUUGAGUCGCUGCAUCCGACUAUCAUUGCCUUCUCUGUUUUGAAUCUCUUCACAUAGUCACGAAGUGACUCCUUUGGGUUCUUUUUUACGUCAAACAAAUGGUCGGACUUCUUUUUGAUCGAGCAAUAAGAUGAAUAUUCUUUGGUGAAAACCAAAGAAAGUUCGUAGAAAUUCUAGAUAGAUUGUGGCGGCAGGGUGUAGAACCAAUCUUGUGCCUCGCCUUCAUAGUGGUGGCGAAUAUCUUGCACAUGAGAUCAUCGUUGUUUCGAUAAAGGAUCAUUGUGCUUCGGUAGCGCUUUAAGUGUCUCUUCGGGUCUUCAUCCCCUUUGAAAGAUAUGAAAUGUUGCAUACUGAACUCGCAUGGAGGCUCUGCCAGCUCGAUCUCAUCCGUGAAGGGUGACCUGCUUAUGUUGGUCAUGUUCCGUCGUAGUGCCUCGUCGGUGACCUUGUUGCGUUAGAAAUCAUGCAAUCGCUUGAUUAAAAGUCUCUCUACUUCUUCCUGAAUUUUCAUUUGUUAGGGUAGCAGAGCUCUCGGCUGCCCCUAGCCAUAACUUACUGGUCUAGGAUGCUCUUCCAUGUGUUUGGCUCGUAUACCGUGGAUGCAGUGUAUGUGGUGCGGUCCUAGUAGGUGAGCGAGUUCUUCGCAGGCUGCUAGUUGAACUUGAGCUGGAUUGAGUGACUACUUCUCUCCGUCCGUCGUGCUGCCUACUCCAAUGUGAGGUGAAAGAUGCUCCUUGCAGGCUUAGCCACGAAUGAACACUUUACCUGGAAGGUUGCUCAUGUUGACUAUCAGAGUAUGACCCUAACCGUGAAUGUAUAUUCACCCGUGGGCUUAGUCGAGAGUGCACGCUCCUCCGCGCGCUAAGACGAGAGUAUACGUUAUCUCGGGAGCCCAAUUGGGAGUGUACACUGCCCGAACGCUCGGCUCGUGGCUGGUCGAGUGGCUGCUUGCCGAAACGCUGCGGGAAAGGUUCGUCUGCCCUUGUCCUACUUCGGGAUACCUUGUUUGGGGCACGUUGGAUUCUGGUGCAUUGCAAAAGUUGAUUCACCAAGGUUGUCUGUUGUGCAAGGGUGCUCGUAAACGCUACGACUUGUCGAGACAAGUGUUGUUCGUCAUUUGGAUUGGAAUAGCUUGGAAGGAAUGUGCCUUCUUGGGCAGUGGAAGGGUGGUAGACUCCGGGCUCGAGAUUUGAGUUGGGAAAUGUCAAAUCUACGAAAAAAUGUGGUGAGAAUGCCCCCGGCUCGAUGGUAGGUCCGGAUGGUUGAGAUAGUCUUGGGCCGACUUGGGCUGCUUGGAAAGCCACGGGAGCAGGCUGGGCCACGAGAGUGAGCUGCUCGGCAGGAGUAGGCUGGGCUACGAGAGUGGGCUGCUCGGCAGGAGCAAACUGCUUGGAGUGUGAUGCACAUGGGUGCGAGGCUUGGGCUCGGCUUGGUAACACAUUGAGUUCGGGUUUGGCUUGGAGUGACAUGACUUGGGCCGUGGCCUUGGUGUCGUGAGCCUUGGAUGGCACGGCUCGGGCAGUGGUAGCUGUGCCAUGGACCUCGCCGCGGGUAGUGGUGACCGUGAUGGCCACCGCGGUGGUUGCCAUGGUGGAGCCCCGUAGUGAUGGUGCCGCUCCUAUGAUCACAUUUAGCCUCGUGGAUCGUCGUGGUCCCAUUUCUUGAAUAUUAGAAUUUUCACUUAUGGAAUUUUCUAAAUUUCUAGCCAUUAUAUUUUUCUUAUACGUUUUAUCAAAGAACCUUUGCAAAUAAAAAAUUCUAAUAAUAAGAACGUAUGAAAAAAUAUUCAAAUGGACUAGAAAAUAGAGAAAAACCUUUUUAUGCGAGAGUCUUCUACGAGUAUAGAUCUCAACUCUCAAUGAAAGCACCAAUUUGUGGAUGCAAAUUUCUUCCUCCUUGAUCCUAGACAAUUUUGCACCUACAAAACAAUUAACACCUUAGGUUAAGGCCAAGAGCCUCACACGCCCACGAUGAAUGGGGGGGCUUUGGCCGAAGAACCUCUGAUGCCAAAGUUAGAAUUUAGAGAGAUAGAGUGUUCAGAGAAUUUUGAGAUUUUUGCCAAAGUGUUGGAAUGGAUUUUUGGUGAGAAUGGGAUCACUUUUAUAGGGAUAGGAAGUGGCCGGCCUAGCUAGGGUUUUUGGGUUUAAUUUAGGUUUAAUUAGUCAAUUUAUUUGGCUAAUUAAACCCUAAAGAAUAAAUUGGUGGUUACAAAAUUGAUUAUUUGUAUAAAUGGGGUAAUAAAAUGGAGAAAGGUGAAAAAGGUUAGGAAAAGGGAGGUGGCCGGCUUCUUAGUGGUUUUAGGUGUGAGUGGGUGUUUUAAUUGAUAAUUAAGGGAUUCAUUAGGUAAUUAAUCAAUUUUUAGGGAAUAUGAAAGGAAAAUAUUAUUUAGCUAAUUGAUUAGCUAAAUAAUGGAAUACAAAAUAUAUAGAACAAAUUAGGUAUUAGGAAUUACCUUAUAGAAAGGAUUUGAUGAAAUAAGCUUUAAAUUGUUACCUAUUUUGGGCACUUUUGACUUGGUUGAGGAUGAUUGUCUGCCGCUCACGCGUAGGAAUCUCGAUAUGCCUCAAGGGUAUUUUUGUUCUCUUUUACCCAAAAAUCCACGUGUCGCCUUGUGAUUAUUUUGGCUCCACAACAACCACGUCAGCAUUUAACAGACCAAUGGAUGGAAAAUCUAACGGAGGUAUUAUUUUGAAAUAAAAUAACAAGUGAGGUAUGAAAGUGAAAUGUUUUAAAGAUGUUGUAUGGGGUUGUAAUAGACCUCAAACUUGAGGGUCCUAUGUAAUUUACCUAUUUUUAUGUUAAUUAUGAAUAGGUCAAUCAUGUAGAACCAAAUUAAAAGCUAACAUCAAUAACAACUACCAGAGACAAAAGCUCUAAUCAAUGCUUCGGAAACAUAGUCUUGUAUCUCUAGGUGUAAUGAUAUAAUUUGUUGGAAACUUAAAAGAAAAUUGGUGAUUUUGUAUAUAAUCGAUAAAAAGUUAUAAUAGUGACAAUAUAUCAGUAAUAUUUAUGUUAAUUAGGAAUAGGUCAAUCAUGUAUUUAAUACUUACAUGCAUUUAAAAUAAACACCUUAUCAAUGUUUUUUUAACUGUGCUCAGUUUUUCUCCUUCGCUUUGGUUUUGUUCUAUUGGAUUUUUCAACUAUCAUUAAUUGUGAACAUAACUGAUCAUUGAGACACAAACAUCCAAGGGAGAGUACCGUGGAACAAAAUGUGGAUAUCUUUAUACAUUGUAUGGUAGUAAACCAUCAUAAACACCAUAAUAAUGUAGAAACGCUCUUGGGGUACCUUUGGAUGAUAACUCAUGUAUUUGUUGCCCUACGUAAAGAUGGCUAAUGAUAAUGGAAGUCUAAUUUUCUCAUCCCAAUCUCUCCUGUCUCUCUUGUUCUCUUUUCUCUAUAGUUUAUUUCCAACAAGUUGUGUUAUUUUUUUUUUUUAGUAUUGUUAAGCAACCAAUAGAUUUUAAUUAGCAGUCUUUGUUUUUUUCUUUUAUAUUUUUAAUCAAUUUCAGUUGCUUAUCCGUUCUAGCAAAUUGAGCUCUUUUACAGCAAUUUUUUUCUUUAAAUGAAAUUAUUAUUAUUAAAAGAGUGAGAAAAUUCGAAAUUAUUACAACAAUUUAAAAAAAAGAAGUUUCGAAUCAUAAACACAGAGGGAGUUUACAACAUUUUAAUUAAGAAAUUAGGCUUCAGCUCAACUCAUCUUUGCAACGUCGGUUCCACUUCACAUCAACAUGCAAUGUUUCAGAAGGUCACGCGGUUUUGGGGUUGUUGUGUACCAAUAAUAUUAUAUAUAUAUAAAUUAGGAUUGAAGGAUACACGCAUUUUGUAGAGCUUAUUUUGUUAUGUAUUUUAAUGAUUUAAAUGCUUACGUUUUUCUUCACUACAAAUGAGUGAAUUAAUGAUUUUAGAAUUUGUCUAAUUUUUUACAUUGAUUAUUUAUGAAUAUUGAAUUGAAAUAUAGACGAUUCAAAAAUCGUUGAUAUACAUUACAAAAUGAACUCCACAAAAUAAGCGUCAAAAUAUGUAUAUAAAAUGGACAGCGUGAAAGGCUUGGAAAUUGGAAUAGGUUUGAAAAUUGUGCUUUUUGUAGCAAAUUGUAGCAAAGUUUGCUUGGACUUUCACAACCGUAUAAAUUAUGCCGCAGCACUCUCUAUUUUCUCUCUCGCUCUAUAUCGUGGUCCCUCUCUCUCGCCGUCCUCGAUUGCUCGAACUCACUAUCCUUUAUUGCUCGAACUCACCGUCCUCAAUUGCUCGAACCCACUGUCCUUUAUUGCUCGAACUCACUGUCUCCAACUUCCUCUGUUUGGUUCCCGAUGAAGAUGGUAAAACAGUAGGGGCAAGAAAUUAUGACAAUGUUAGAUUUGCAUAUUAAUCUGGUAGGGCUACAAUUCUCCAAUCCACACCCCUUCCAUCUAUGCUAGUGUUUGUACCCAAUAUUAGAUAUCCGGUCUGUGCAAUCGAGAUCGUUGAAUGAGAAAAAUUCUAAGCCGUGGGAUCAAAUAUAAUGAUGUGGAUUAAAUAAGAAAAAUUUAAAUGUUUAUCUUGGUUGAAUUACCAUGAUAAUAUUGUGGAAUUAUCUUCUGCAUAACGGGAUAGCGAGAAAAGUCCAAGGGUGUAGGGAAGUUGUGUGGCUGACUACCGCUUUUUUUUAUGGUGUCAUUAGUAGAGUAAUAUCACACUUAACAUUUAUUUGUACCAUCUCUCUAAUAAAGAUAAAGACCAUCAAUGCAUAAAUAAUGAUACAAAUAUAUAAUAAGAGUAUCAUAUUUGUAACUAGAAUAGGAGAAGAAAGACUUCAAGAUGGGGUCAGCCAAAUAAUUAGCGUCAGGAUAAAAAUAUGAGUAAUGAUAUUUGUAAACAUCGAAAUUUCGGUAAAUAAAUGUUGACCGAUAAAUCAAAGUUUCAACGCUCAUGUAUUACAUAAAUUUUACACGUAGCGUAUGUCUAAACAAAAAAUCGAAAUAAGUUGGAAAAGUCAUCAAACAGGACACAUGUCAACACCUGGCAGAAACGACUUAUUUCAUCUGGAAUAUUAUAUUCAAAAUUAGGCAUUGGAAAAUUCUAUAAAUAGAAGCCAAUUUCAUUCAUUUGAAGGAACCAAAAUCAUUAGGCAAAAUUCUUGAAGCUCUGAAGCUCUGAAACUCCGAAACUCUCAAGCAUCCAGGUUCCCGAAGAAUCAAGAAAGCUCUCUUCGUUCUUCGUUCUUCGUUCAUCGUUCAUCCUAAGAUCAAGCUCCAACGGCCCUUUAGAUCAACAAUCAUCCACUAAUUCAAGAUCAAGCCCCGACGGCCCUUGAAGAAAGUGUUCUUCAUUCUUCGUUCAUCGUUCUUCCAAGAUCAAGCCCCAACGGCCCUUUGGAUUAACAAUCAUCCACCAAUUCAAGAUCAAGCCCCAACGGCCCUUGAAGAAAGUGUUCUUCGUUCUUCGUUCAUCGUUCUUCCAAGAUCAAGCCCCAACGGCCCUUUGGAUUAACAAUCAUCCACCAAUUCAAGAUCAAGCCCCAACGGCCCUUGAAGAAAGUGUUCUUCGUUCUUCGUUCAUCGUUCUUCCAAGAUCAAGCCCCGACGGCCCUUGGAUCAACAAUCCACCAAUUCAAGAUCAAGCCCCAAAGACCCUUGAAGAACUUCUACCAAUUCAAGAUCAAGCCCUGACGGCCCUUGAAGAAAGUGUUCAUUGUUCAUCAUCCGUUCAUCCCGAAGAAUCAAGAAAGCCUUAUUCGUUCUUCGUUCAUCGUUCUUCCAAGAUCAAGCCCCGACGGCCCUUGGGUCAACAUCAUCAACAAAUCCACACAUCCAACCGUUCUUCAAGAUCAAGCCCAAAAGCCCUUGAAGAUCCGUUCAUCACCGUUAUUCAAGAUCAAGCCUUAACGGCCCUUGAAGAAACACUCAUCCUCAAGAUCAAGCCCCAACGGCUCCUUGAAGAUCCGCUCAAAUCCACCUUCAAAGAUCAAGCCCACGGCCCCUUGAAGAAACAUCCAACAGUUCAUCCAAGAUCAAGCCUCGACGGCCCUUGGAUCAACGAAACAUCUACAAAUCAACACCUUACGGAGAUCGAAUCAGAUGAUCAAAUUAGAGAGAGAUUGUAACCCUAAAUCAUCAAAAUACAAAUAUUAUUUUGUGCACGUUGUUCUUAUCUCUUUCGUUUCAGGAAAUUUUCGUGUUCACAAUAUUCUUACCAUCUAAAUAUACUAUAAUUUUAUACCAUCUUAUGUGGCAAUUGAGAUGGACUUCCACAUAAGUUUUAAAAAAAUCUCAUGUCAGCUAAGGUGGAUAUUUACGAUUUUACGAUUUUACUCAAUGAUUUUUAUUAAUAAAAUAAUUAAAAAAUAAUAAUGAAACCUACUUGCUCCCGUUUUCAAGCCUCAUCGCUGGGCCUCCUCCCUCUUCGCUCUCCAAUUUCACCUUCCUUCACCAACGAUCGAUGGUGCUCGACCCCCUUCAUCAUUGCCAACUGGCCGAAUAUCUUGAUGGUGCUCCCAGUGAUUGUUUUGCUCUGCCACCAAAUCAAGUUUGCAAUUUUAAUGGUUUAUGCCUUCUGGCCAAGUGUUGGAUUUGAUAGGUUUUUAAUUCCAGCAACAUUGAACAAAAAUAUGAAAAGGAUUGGAUACGAUAUUUUCCUCUGUUCUACUGCUGAGGAUUUUCCGAAUAGAAGAAGAUUUGGAAGACAACCUCUUUUCUUUUUUCUUCAUGGACUUUUGGUUAGCACCAAAAUCUUUUCCUAAUCCUCUAUAGGAAUGAAAAUUUCAUUCCAUGUUAUAUCCCGAUGUUGUCCAAGGUUUUGGCUUGAAUUUUCAUUGGAAUUAUCAUAUGUUGGAUCAGAUCAGGUGGAGAGAUGAAACGUAUCUAACAAGGAAGUUGAACGGGUAGGGUUUGAGCAAAAAUAAACAGAAAUUCCACCUAGGUUGACACCUAAGCUUCCACAUCAUGUGGUAUACUAAAUGUGGUAUAAUAAGAUGGUAAGAAUAGCAUUAUUGAAUGGGUAAUGUUAAGAGAAAUUUUUAGUUGUGACGGGAACACGGAUGGUACACCAUGCGUUUUUAUGUAAAUGGUGGAAAAUUUUAAUUUUUAAAUUAUUAACCUUUUAGCACACAUAUCCCACCAUUUAUAUGAAAACACGUGAUGUAUCACCUCGUGUGAUAGUCACAUUGAAAAAUCUCUCGUAAUGUUAGGAAAACUAAAUUUAUAAACAAAAGUUACAAAUUAAAUGAUGGGUUACCAAUAAGAAUGAUUACGUUUAUCAAUGCUUAAAUAAUAAAUCAUUCAUCAACUUCCAGUCCUUUAGUUUUUAAAAUUUUGUCUAACAUUACCCUUUCAAAACUCAUGAAAAUAAUUUUCAAUUUUUUUAACUGAAAAGUGAAAGUUACUAAACAAGAUUUCAGUUUUUAGCUUUCAAAAAAAUAAAAACAAAAGCUAAAAAUAAAAUGGUUAUCAAACAUCCCUAGAAGUCAUUCUUAGUGAUAGUAAGGUCAUCUCCAACCGAAAGAUCCAGGGGGCUAGAGGGCCGAAAAUAGUCUGAAAACCAUUUCCAAUCAAAGGCCAUGCCAAAGGGGUCGUGGACCCCAUUAGACAAAAAAGGGCCAAAGGGCCAACUGGCUGGCCCCAGUUCCAACAAUAACUAGAUGACGUCAGUUAACCGUUAUUUUUGAAUUUUUUUUUUAACAAAUUUUAACUUUCUAAGCCAUUAAACAACAUUAAAUUAAGUAAAAAAGAAAAUUCCUAUAACUUCCUAAGUCAUUAAACAAUAUUAAAUUAAGUAACAUGAAACAACAUUAAACAAUAUUAAACAAAAUUAAACAAUAUUAAACAACAUUAAAUAACAUUUAACAACAUAAAAAUUAUACAACAUAAAAAAAAACAUUUAAGAACAUAAAAUUUAAAUGCCUACUUCAUGCUUCUUUUGGCCCAAAGAUGUGCAACAAGAUCCUAAUGUAGGUACUUGUUUGUGGCACGAGAGCGUAUCAUCCUAACCGUUAGAUUUGAUUUUUUUUUGUUUUCGGCCAAAUUUUUUUAAAUUUAAAAAUAAAUUAUGUUUGACCUUUUGGCCCUCGAUUGGAGAUAGUUUUUUUUGUGACAUGACUAUGUUUAGCCCUAUGACCCUUUGGCCCUCAGUUAGAGAUGGUAAGAAAUAUGACCCAACAAUGUUCAUUAAAAUAUUAAUUUCUUGAAGAGCCAGAGGGCUAAAACGAGCCAUCCUUCGGUUGGAGAUGGCCUAAGAAGAGACUAGAGAUAGAGAGAUUCCUAUACUUAGCUGUGAGAGUUUCCUAUAUAUGAUUUUCAUUAACAAGAUUGAACUGAUUACAUAGAGAAGAAGAUCAAGUAUGGUUAUUUUUAUUUGGGAGACUUUGGAUGUGGUCCUUAGUUAUGAAUAUUAUUUGAUUGAAAUCUUGUUGGUUUUUAAUUUUUUAUCAAGAUCCCUGAAAUUAAUGUGAUAAUUUAUUUCUAUGUAAGUUACUAUAUUUUUUUAAUUAGAAAUUAGAAAUUUUAGUUGUUUAUAUAAAUGAGAUUUUAAAUUAAAAAAACCAUAAUUUGUGGGAUUAAAAAUAUUAAAAUAUAAAUAUACUAUUGUGUGUGUGUGUGUGUGUGUGUGUGUAUAAAUAUGGGUACAUUCAUCAAAAUUAACCAAAAAAUUUAUUGUAUCAAAACAUGGGUACAUUCUUCAAAAUCACAAAAAAAGAAAGAUAUUAGGCUUAAUAACAUUAGUAAAUUUCUUCGAUUAAACUUGACAUGGAUACAUUUUAAAAUCAAAGAAAAAAAAUGUACCCAUAUAAGUUUAAAAAUGGAUUAGAAAAAAAAAUUGAAUAGAUUUUAUACAAAAAAAGGGUACGUUUUACAUAUAACAAAUUGGUAUAUUUAAGAAUGAGUACAUUUUAAGAUUAAAAAGUUUUACAUGAAUGGGUUCAUAUAAUUAGCAUGGGUACAUUUAGCAAAAUAAAAAGUACAAAUACAAAAAAAUAUAUGUGUACAAAUACAAAUAAACUUUAAAAAAUAUGGGCACAAAAAGAAAUUAAUAUAUGGGUACAAAUUAAAACCGAAAAGAAAAUUGGUACAAGUUAAAAAAGAAUUACAAAUUAAAAAUGGGUACAAACUAAAACUAAAAAUAUAUGAUAAAAAAUUUAGUCAUAAAUAUAAAUAUACUAAUUGUAACAUUUUUAACAUUAAAUGAAUAUAUUUAGACAUAAAAAAUAUAUUUUAUUAUUGAAAUAAUUAAUGAUGUUAUUAAUACCCAAGGACCUUGAUAAAAAAUUGAAAAGAAAUAGAAUUUUAAUCAAUGGAGUAGCAAAAGAAAAGAUGAGAACCUAAUUUCUCCUUUGUAUUGUGUAGACAUUAUAACUAUACAUUCAUAAUAACAUGAGUAAUGUUAUAUUUAUCACAUUUGUACUCUUUCUCCAAUAAAGAUAGGGUCCAUCAACACAUGUGGGUUCUAUUUGCCCAUCAACACAUGCGAAUCUCAUUUUUAUUAGAAAAAUAGUACAAAUAUGAUAUGGAAAUUAUGAUAAGAUCGCAAUUUUGUAAUAACAUAUAUACUCAACUAUUUAUAUACCAACUCAUCUCCCUUUAGUGUAGUUAAUAUUGUUUGUUCAACCAAAAAAAAAAAAACUGAACUUGUCAUAAUCAUUGAAUCCAUUUACCAUGAACAAACGGCAGUUUACUAAACUUGCCCUCAGAGUAUAUAUAAAAGGUGAAUCACAAUCUAUUGCAUUAAUAUAAGGAAACAAUUUAUAGGGUUUGACGGGUGACUUAAUAUGCUAUAUGGCACAAUGAAAAUUAAGUUCACACUUUAUCCCAAAUAAGGUGUUGCACCUUUAAUUUAUGGAUGCUGGUUUGACGUGUGACCGAAAUAAUCAAAUUGUAGCCAUUAAUCAUUUUACAAGUAAUAAUAUGUGGUUUUAUUGUUUACGAUUCACACAACAAUCUGCUAGGAAGUAGAAAAUGCAGUACUUGUCCCUCUCACAGAAGUCAUGAAUAAUUAUCAAAUUCAAAGAUAAAGAAAAACCACACAAUUUACAAGAGGAAAGAAAAUGAAGGGAUAAAGAAAGUAAGAAAGGAAUACCUCUAUGGGAGGACUCUUAUUUGCUUCAGAUGCCUACAAUAUUCAUCAUAUAAACACUGAUUAAGUAGUCAUCGAAAACCAAAACAAAUGUCGAACAUAGGGUGAAAAACAGAAAGAAUAACCGCAGCUCAUCAUACCAAUAGAGAUAGAACUGCCCGAUGCCCAAGUAUGACUGAAAAAUGGCAAUCCAAACAUGGCGCCUUCUAGCUCAUCAAACUGUCAAAACCUAGGUUCCACCAAAAAGAUACAAGUCACCUAGUUACUUGUAAAAUAAAAAUCUGUUUCAAAAUAGUGGAAAAUAUUAUUAACAUUGUUCAAAGUCCACAUUGUUGUACCUACCAAGAAACAAGAAGGAUUGUAUCUUAUCAUGAAAAAGAACAUAGGUACCUUUUCAAUUGUAAUUGUACAAAAAUGAGAGACCACUUCCGAACUUCUCUUGGAACUUCAAUCAAUUUCUGCCCACUUUUAAAUGCCUUGACAUACUUAAGCCUAUUUCUUUGAGCUUCAGUUUUGGCUUCUGAUGCCUUUAAAUUUCUUAAAGAUUCUUACCAAGUUUUACAAACUCACUUCUAUACAACCAUUUGUCAGUAUACAUACCAUUUUCUUUGAGCUUCAGUCUUUGCAACACCAAAACCCCCCAAAUAGACCCGGAAUUUUGCAAUGUGCAGGGAAUAUACAAAAAAAACCCUCCUAUCCAUCUAAAACGAAAUCAGAACGCAAACCACAAUCAAAAUCCGUAAAAUUAAUUUAGCCAACCCCUAAAUCUAAUAAUUCUAACAAAUAUUAUAGUAUCAAUUGAGAGAGAAUUUGAGAAGAUACCUAGAGAUGAAAGGAAGAGCGUUUCCUCUGAUAGGGGUUCCGUGAAAGCAUCUGUUGACCAGAAAAGAAAAGGCAAAAAACCCCAAAUUACAUAUCAAGCAAUUAUAGAUAGAUCGAACCUUGAAAAUUGAAAUUUCAAACAAGAGAAAGGUUAUAAACUUACAACGAUCUGGGUGUUGGUAACUGGGUUUGGAUUUGGGUUUCUGAUAAGAGAGAGAAUCGUAUGAGGAACCGAUAGAGGAACUGCACCGGCAACAGAGAGCAAUUGAUAUGGUGGAGAACAGACGAGAAUAGCUGCUUGGAUGGUCAAUCCAAGAAGAGAAAAUCUUGCCACAAUCGCGGUACUUGAAAAAAAAAAAAACAAGUUUAAAGGAGGGAAACAAUCGCGCCUUUUUCUAAUAGACUCUGUCGACGAUAUUCUUGACAAAUAGAUGCUUCGUCGGGUGAGCUUAUUUUUCACAACAUUUUAUUUAGGAUUGGGUUCGGUUGGUAAACCGUGUCAAAUUUCUUGUGCCACUUGCCAGCCACAUAUACAUAAUUACCGAAAAUCAGUUACCGUUAGCCAACCGUCUUCUUGCGGUUGCCAAAAAUCGGUUCAGCCAAAAUGAUUGGCUGGUUCGGUUGGUAAAUGGCACAACCGGUGGUUUCCACUUCUUCCUCGCUAUCUUCCAGUUCCAAGGGCUCAAUUUGAUUUUCAGAUUGGGAUGCUUGUUCGGUUGCAUUGUGUGGUUCAUUUUGGGUUAAUCCAUGUUGUGCACUAGUAGUUGAUUGGCUAGACUCCAUUAUCCUAAACAUAAGCAACAAAUAUACAUUCAAAAUAAUAUAUAUGUACGUGUAUAUAUAGUAUCAGUAAUCAUCAUGCUAUCAAUUUUGUUAACAAUAUUUUCUAUAUAUUGAUUUUGGCAUGAAUCAUAUACACAUACAUAUAUUUUUAAAACCCUAAAACUAAGGAGUCAUUUAUUUUCUAAACUCUAAAAUUGAGGAGUCAAGCAUGUAAAAAAAUACUUAAAAUAUCUAAAUAGAAAAAGAAAAAGAAAAAAAAAUAAAUAUAUAUAUAUAUCGGUAGGUAUGGCAUACCGCCGGCAUACAAAAUCAAUUACCAAAGCCAUGCCAUUAAUUGUCGGUUCGGUAAAAUGCCAACCGAUUAUGAAAAAAUGUCAAAACUAUACCAUACCAUUUUGAGCCAACCAGUAUGGUUUGGUCAGUAAAUCGGUUUAUGGCAAAAUUUCUCACCCCUAAUUUUAUUUGUCACCUUAAACCUAUUGGUUUCUAGCCUACAAUUCGGAUAUUUUGUUGGGGAAAGAUUUUUGUACCAAUAAAAUUUUGCUUUGUCGGCAAAAUGACAUUUUCUAGUAGUUAUAAUAUUAGGUAGAUCAAAUUUGUAAACUAUGUGAUGUGUCACUAAUAGGAAAAAAUUUCAGUGUGCUGAAAAUACGGUCUAGAACACCAAGUGUCAUAAUAUAUACUUGGUUGGAAAUCUUUUAUUUUCAAGUUUCCAACUAGUUGUAUUGUAACAGUUGGUGUUCCAAGCUAUUUUCUCCAUGCGCUGGAAAAUCUCUUCACUAAUUAAAAAUAAACAUAUUAAUUAACACUUAAGUAAUAAUCAAAGCAUCAACAACUACGUCAUAGAAUUUACGAAAUAUGAUCUUAAUUAAUGAUCUCCAUUACCCUUUAUCUUAGCGUAUACGUACGCCUUCACAUGUUUAUUUGCUGAUAUGCAGCUUGAGUAAAAAUUUCUUUUUAAGAACAUAUAUGUGAAUAUAAACAUAUAUAUCUAGUGAUCCAUGUUGCGUUAUUUAAAAAUAAACAAAUUAAUUAAUUAAUGAACUGUGUACCUGUCUGUGUAGAGUAAUCCAUAUGCAUGCUUGAAUCCUGAUCACCACGAAACCAUAAUAUAAGCUACUCAAGGCCCGGAAGCUAGGAUUGAAGAGAAAAACACCCAGUCAGAUUAAGCCAAUACAUCAAAGUUAAUACUUCCAAAUGUAAGCUUUAAGAUAGAAAAAUCACUUACUUCCUUGAGCAGUCGAGCUUCUUCAAUGGCAUGAAGCUUUUAGCAUGAGAUUGACUGCAUCACAACUAAAAUUUUCUCUUGGAAACUACAUAAGGAAUAGCAUGUAUACCUAUAACGUUGAGAAAGUACGCCAAUUUUUUCCUUCUGCACAUUCAUGUUUAAAAGUAAUCCUCAAAUGAACUUGCCCACAAUGAAAUGCAAUUUGAGGUAGUCGAGUGUGUUCCAUUUCCAUCCCAUCGGAAUUACUACUAAACUUUGAGAUGGUAGAGGAUUCAUGAAAUUUUUUACUUUUGAAAUAGUCUCCUUAGCAUUUCUCGACUAUAACAAUGAGGAAAUACUUCACCUUGUAUCAAACAAGGGAGACCGAAAAUCAACUACUAAUAGCAUCACAGAGCCAGCAGAAGAUUGAGGAGGCCAUGAAAAGGAAAGAGAAAAUACACUCUUUUUUUGUAAGGACAGAGAUAAUACAUUCAAUAAAGGGUACUGAUGUUUAUAUGCAAAGCUGAUUAGGUUUAAAUAGUCGUAUUUAUUCUGUACAGUGCCAAUAUUACCACCCGUUAGUACACUUUCAAGACACUGUAAUCCAGUGUAUGCACUAUGCAGUACGUAGUACUCCUCAUUUUUUUGGGGAAAUUCAUUAUUGGUCUUCAUAUCUUCUUUAUUUUCCUUGUCCUCAUUGUGCCACGUGUUUAAAUCACUAAUUAUAGGUAAUCUUUCAAUUUAAUUAAAUCUUAUGUAAAAAAAGAUAAUUAAAUAUCAUUUAGUAUUACAAUAUAGUGAUAUUCCUCUUUAGUAUAAAAUUUUUAUAAUUAAAAGCGUUCAGCUUUUUAAUCUUCAUUGGAAUAUUAUCUAUAAAGAAAAAUUAUUCGAAUCAGAGAUCAUUUAUGCAUUCAAAUGUAUAAAAUACAUCGACAGUGUGAGAACCAACUAAUAUAUUUUUGAUGAAGUACAAUUAUUGAAUACAUUUGAACGAUCAAAUGAUAUAUGAUUCAAAAUACAUAUUAAGAUAAUAAAUAUAAAAGAAUUGUUAUUUGCACUUCAAGAAUCUCAUUCUACACUCUAAAUUUUCUAUAUAUUAAAAGAAAAAUAAAUUUGUGAAAAGUGUAGAAUGAGGUUUUUUUAAAUGCUAAUAACACUUCUCUAAAUACAAUUAUGAAAUUAAUUAAGUAAAGAUACAUGACCUCGUGAAUGAUGAAUGUAUUAUUCAAAAAAAUAUUAAAAACAAAUUGAAAAAGGACGCUGUUGUUGCCACCACUUAUGCAAUGAUCGUCGCUGCCAUCACCAACCCCCAACACCCCAUUACAGCUCAUAAAAGCACAUCAUAAGCAAUUUAUGAAAUAAAUUUACUGGAAUACUAAUUUCCCCCUUAGUUUAGGUCACCAAUGUUUAAAUUUAGGGAUCGUGAUAUCCACACACAUUUUUUACUUCUUUCACACUUUUUUUUUCGGUUGUCGGAUCAGAUGAAUUGAAGAAAAUCAAUGAACAGAAAUUAACAAGGGGUGUGUGAGAAGUAAAAAUGAAUGUGUGGAUAACACACCCCUAAAUUUAUCACAACUUUCAUUCCAAAUUUAAUUUUUAUCCGUAGUUUUGUUUGUUCAAAUUUACUUUGACAUUUCCAUUAGUAUUAAAAUCUAAUUUAAAUUUUAGUGUUCAAGCUAGAAAAAGUGUUCCAUUUAAUAUUUAAUCUCAGUUUUUCUCUUUAUUCUUUUAUUGGGAUUUGGUUGCAUCGUAUCUCCAUUUUUCUCGGUGUUGUAUGUUCAUAAGGCCUGUGAAACGUUGGCACGGAGUGAAGGGUACUCACUUUUUGGCCCAAAAUGCAUAAGGCAUGUAGAUAUGUUAAUCAAAUUUUGUAAACUAAAGGAUAUAGAAGUUGAUAAUUAGAUUAUAAUUUAAGAUAAUACUAAGGAGACUAAAUUUGCAAACUAAAUGAUGUGUCACCAAUAAAAAUAAGCACGUUUAUCAACAAUUAAGUAAUAAAUCAAUCAUCAACUUUCAUGUCCUUUAGUUUCCAAGAUUUAAUAUACAAAUUUAGUCUCCCAAGCAUUACUCUAUUACUUAAGUAUUGAUUAACAGACUUAUUUCUUAUGGUGACACAUUAUUUAGUUUACAAUUUUAGUCUACCCAACAUUACUCUUUUGAAAUUGUCUUGUCCACUGAUAUAAUUCUAUUUUUCUUGUGAUCAAAACUUCAAAUGUUAGCAAGUCGCACGUAAAGUCGCUUAUGAGAGAAUGUGCUCACAUUGUAGUUGAAAGAUUAUGUGGCUAGCAACAUUACAAAUUUAAUUUGGUAUAAUUCUAAAAUAUAGAUUGAGGAAAAAAUGAUCACAUUAACUAGAAACUGAAAAGGUUUCAGCACAGUUUGUUCAAGCAAGAAAUUCAAUUUUGAUGCUACCGAUCUUAACAGCCUGAGCGCCGUACCUGGGCACCAAAGUCACCACCACACUCUCAUCAUCUUCAGCACCCAAAUCCUCCAACAGGUCCGUUAACCCCAACCUUAAACAACUCUUGCUCUUUUCCUUCUGCUUAUGUGGCACACUCACAAAACUCCCAGCAAACUCGCUCUUGUCGGGUCCACUCGGUGCCGCAUCCUCAUCGUCCACGUCAUUCACAUACACACAUCAAACUUCACAGCCACAUCUUUGUCAAGCUCAAUCCCCUGAAUCACCAAUAUCUCCUCCUCAUCCUCUUUCUCCUUCUUGCUCCUCUUCUUCGGCUUCGGCCUUGACACCACCGUACUUAUCUUCGUCUCCAAAUUUAUUGGAAAAUCUUUACCCGCCACCACCUUCCCUGAUGACGUCGUCUCAGUGGCCUUCGCCACUCCAGCCGCCUUUGCCUUUCUCGCAAGCUUUGUCCGACGUGGCGUCGGUCUAGACUUGAGCCAUGGAAUCUCAACAUCUUCAUACGUAUACCCUAGCUUUUUAUUAUCAAGAGUGUCCCUCACCGUGACCCUAACAAGCUCAGCAUUCUCGUCAUAAAACAAAAACCCCGUAUCCAACCAAUCCUUAUCGUUAAUAUCGUUAUUUUUAGUCCCUAUACUUUUCCAAAUAUUCCACAUUCGAUCUAUAUUCGAAUGGUGCGAAAAAAAUAUUGGAUCCCUUGCAGCGGAGUAAAAAUUCCCCAUGUCUUCAAAAUUAGGCUGCGUGUUAUCUCCGGUCCAUAAAUGAACCGGACCAUGUGGGGUCGUUUCGAUUGAACCGCCCCCUGGAUCUGGUUCAGUGUCAGCCCUGUAGGGCGAACCAAAGAACAACAGCGGUUUCUUGGAGUUGGAAACCAUCUGCCUAUACAUGAUUUUGAGGUUGGCGUCGAUUUGAGCAUCCUUGGACAUUGUUUCAUCCGUGCCGUUGAAGUCAAGAUCGAUGAGAGUCGGCGGCUGAUGGCUGGCAGCGCGGAGCUCGUCGUAAAGCGGAGAGUCCGGGUUAGCGAACAAGGCAGGGAGUUGCAUGCCAGCUGGCGCGUCCCAGUUCCAAAACGGCAACGCGAACGUCGGAUCGUCUAUGAGUUUGGCCAAGAUUCUUUCGUAGAAGUAUACGUAGUAACGAUGGAAGGGGAAGAAAAGCCAGCAUUGAUGGAUUUGGAGCUCGAGGUUGGGGAAGCCGACUUGGUCGUACGCGCCGUCGCAAUAGGCACAGUGGAGAUCGGCUUGCUGGGUGAAGCUACGCGGAUCGUCGUCCGGGAGGGCUUUCAUGAGCUCGAUGGCUUUUGAAUAUUUUUCGAUGUAGGCUUUAUCCACGGUGUGAGCUGCCGGCCUGACGCGGAGUUUGGUAGGGGAGGGGAAUUUGAAGUCUACGAUUUUUUGGGACGUUGGCGGGCAACAGUUGAUCGGGACUGCUCCACUUGGAAAGUCCGCAGCUCCGCAUUUGGCUAGGUCAGGCGGCAACACUGGCUUUGCAACAGCGAAGGGGUCGCUGCCAAGACCAGCCACUCCGGCUUUGCAACAGCGAAGGGGUCGCUGCCAAGACCAGCCACUCCACCGUAGAGGCUUCCGAGACCUAUAAGAAGAUAGAAUUCAGUUCUUGGCAGUAGAGGACUCUAUUGCAGGGAAAAACUGAUUUGAAUUAGGAAGGCUUAAGUAGUUUUCCAUAAGGAUUUUAAUAGGGAAUCCAUAUUCUAAUAUGAGAAGGAUAUGUGUGUACAUAUAUAUAUAUAUAUAUGGCAAUCUCUUCUCUCACAGGUGUGUGCUCUUUUGGAACUAAGCCCUAUUCUUAGUUUGAGUGAUAAAUACCCUGACAGAGAGAAGAAGAAUUGAUGUGCUUUUCAGGUUGAUCGAGAUCCACCAUGACUGCAUCAAACGGGAGUUCUACAGGUUAGUAUAAUUAGGUUUUAUUUGGAUUGAUGUUUUGUGUCUACUUGGUUGUAGUUUAAGUAACUGAAUCUUGCAGCUAGAUUUUGGUUUACAUGUGGUAUCAGAGCCAUAGAUUCAUGUUCUUAAAUUCAAUCGAUAAAAUUGAUUGAAUCCAAAAUAAAAUUCCGAUCUUCAGACUUCGAAACAGGUUCUGGUAGUUAAAAUUAGGAAAAGAAGAAACGGUGCGUUUUGAUUAAAAUAUGAUGAUUAAUACUUGACCGUUAAGAGCUAAUAAACUAUCUUCUCUUCCGAAUUGGGAAUACAAAUCGACAUCUAUCGAUUUCGAUUUCGGGGUUUGAAAAACUGGGUUAUAUGACAUCUAUCGAUUUCGAUUUCGAGGUUUGAAAAACUGGGUUAUAUGAAUUGUUAUUGAGUAUCCACAAUUUAUAUUAAUUGCUUCCGCUGCUGGGUGUUGAUGCUCAUAGAACAAACGGGUAUGUCUCCUGAACAUUGAAUUGAAAUUUGUUUUUUAAUCAAUCUUAUCUUGAAUUUCAUUAUGUUCUACAGCAUGAUUCGAAUAGUGAGCAUAAAAAUAUGCUUAUUUAUGCUGAUUAGUCCUAUGUUUAUGCGUUUUUCUCUAACCAUCUAUGGAAGGGAGUUCUUCGAUAAGAACCUCUGCAGAUUUCACUUGUUUUAUGCAGAAAGUUUUAUGAAGAACUGUUCAUUUGAUAAAGAUCUGCUAAAACUGUGUUCUUAAAUGGAAAAAUCUUUUAUUCUAUAUGUGCUUAUCAAUUCUUCAUUGUUAAGAUUAUAUAUAUGGAUAAAAGGUUUUGAUGAUAUGAUGUACAAAGGAUUGUGAGAUGAAAUCUGGAACUCUAAACGUUCUUCUGUGAUUCAUUGUGAUUUCAUUGUGCUACAGUGUCUGCAAUAUCAAUGAAGACUCUGAAUUUGGCUAACAUCCCAAUUCUUACUGGUGGGGGAAAUUACAAGAAGUGGAGAAGGGAAAUCAGUUUGCUGUUGACUCUAAACGAGUUUGAUAUAGCAAUCGAGAAUCCCAAACCCGUGGUCAAUGAUCAGAGCAGCACAAGGGCUGAAAAGGCAGAUUUUGAGAGAUGGACAAGGGCUAAUAAGGUAGCAUUGUCCAUCCUUGAGAGUGGCAUGACUGAUACAAUCAGAUGAGGAAUUAAGAAGCACGAUUUGGCUGCUGAUUACCUAAAAGCUAUUGAAAAGAAAUUUCAAGAAUCUGAAAAAGCUGAAGUGAGUCAGUAUAUGUCUUUAUUAACUACUUACAAGAUGGAGGGUACAAGCUCUAUAAGGGAUCACAUAAUGAAGAUGACAUAUGCUGCAGAAAGACUCAAUGCAAUGGAUAUAAACAUAGGUGAAAAGCAGUUAGUAUUCAUGAUUCUUCAAGCACUUCCCAGUAAAUAUAGUCAGUUGAAGAUCUCCUACAAUACUCAAGACAAAAACUGGGAUAUUGAUCAGUUGAUUGCACAGUGUGUGCAAGAAGAAACUCGUCAAAAACAAGAAAGAGGCAAAGAAGUUGAGGACAUCAACUUUGUGCAAACUAUAAAUGACAAAAAGCAGUUCAACAACAGAAGCUUUUCUGGUUCUGGUAAGAGUUCUAAGCCUUUUAAAACUUCUAAUAAGUUCAGUAAUUCUGCUAAAGUAGUUGACUCCCCUAGAAAAUCUAUCAAGUUUAAAGCUAAACCUAAAGAUGUGUCUAAAUUAAAAAUGUUUUUGGUGCAAAACUAAGGGCCAUUUAAAAGUUAACUGUGAAAUUUUCAAAGAUUAUGUAAAGAGCAAAGAAAAGGAACAAGUACUUGUCUGUAUUGAAUCAAAUUUGUGAAGUAUACCUGUUGAUUCUUGGUGGUUUUGAUAUACCGGAUGCUCAGUGCAUAUAACUAAUUCUUUAAAUGGUUUUCAAAAACAAAAGGAAUUUGGAAAUGCUACAUAUAAUGUUUUUGUUGGGGAAGGAACUAAAGUUGCAGUAGAGUCAAUUGGGAUAGUCAAAUUAGUCUUAUGUUCUGGUUAUGUUUUAGAGUUGAAAGAUGUGUGCUAUAUGUGCCUAAGAUGAGAAGAAACUUAAUUUCUGCCCUCUAAAAUUGUAAAAGAUGGUUUUUCUUUUCUUGGUGAUGAUGAGUGCCUCAAAAAUUUUCAAGAAAAACUGUCCUUGUCCUAACACUAUUUUAGGGACUGCUUUUUUGUCUGAUAAUUUAUGGAAUCUAAAUUGCACUGUUAAGGCACUCAAUCACACGAUUUUCAGCAUUAGUACUAAGAGAAUGAUAGGUCAGGAUACUUCAUACAUUUUAUGGCACAAAAGACUAGGACACAUCUCUAAAGAAAGGAUAAUUAAGCUGUAAAAAACUGACUUGAUUCCAAAAUUAGAUCUUUCUACUGCAACUGAAUGUGUUGACUGCCUAAAGGGUAAAAUGACCAAUUUUAGAAAAACAGAUGCCAAAAUGAGCCAGGGGUUACUUGAAAUCAUACACACUGAUAUCUGUGGUCCUUUUCCAGUUAAGACAAUAUGUGGAAACAAGUAUUUCAUUAAUUUCAUAGAUGAUUUUUCAAGGCUGGGAUAUACCUUUCUGAUUAAUGAAAAAGCUGAUGCCCUUAAGUGUUUUAUAAUUUACAAAACUGAGGUUGAAAAACAGUUAGGCAAGGUUAUUAAAAUUGUUAGAUCGGAUAGGGGAGGUGAAUACUUUGGCAGGUACACUGAAUCCGGGCAGCAAAAGGGACCAUUUGCUCUCUAUCUCGAGAAGAAUGGUAUUGUGGCGCAGUACACCACACCUGGAACGCCUCAACAGAAUGGUGUUUUUGAAAGAAGAAACAGGACUCUUAUUGGUAUGGUUAGAAGCAUGAUGUCCAGAUCAAAAUUGCCAGGAUUCUUGUGGGGAGAAGCUUUGAAAACAGCUAAUCAUAUAUUGAAUCGAGUUCCAAGCAAGGCAGUAUCUACCACACCCUAUGAGUUAUGGCAUGGGAGAGUUCCUAGUUUUACUUAUUUCCAUGUUUGGGGUUGUAAAGCAGAAGCUAAGUUAUAUAAUCCUAAUGAAAGAAAGCUGGAUUCAAGGACUCAGUCAUGUUAUUUUAUUGGCUAUCCUGAGAAAUCAAAAGGAUACAGGUUCUAUAUCCCUCAAGGUCACACUCGGAUCCAAGAGACACACAAUGCAGUUUUCCUAGAAGAUGAAGAUGUCUCUCAUUUGUCAAGGGAAAAUUUCAUAUUUGAAGAGAUGCAUUCAGAUGGUGGGGACCAUGUGACAAUGGAUUAUAAUAUCGGUCUCAUUGUUUCCCAAUCAAUCAUCAAUUGCCAUUGAAGAUAUGAGUGAAGAUUUAGGAGUUCCUGAUGACAACUCUGUAGGAGUUGAUUCCACAACAUAAGCUGCAACAAUUCCUUUUGCAGAAGCAUGUGAACCAGUUGCUGUUCCACCUCCAGUUGAAAUCAGAAGGUCACAAAGAGCUCGGAAAACCACUGCAAGCAAUGACUAUGUGUACUUAUAAGAGACUGAGUUCGAUAUUGGUGACAUUUGAUGAUCCUCUUACAUAUACUCAGGCAACUGAAAGUCCUCAAGCAGUUCUUUGGAACAAUGCAAUGAAGGAUGAGUUAGAUUCAAUGUCCAAAAACCAGGUUUGGACAUUGGUGGAAUCCAACUCUGAAAUUAGGCCAAUAGGCUGCAAGUGGGUAUAUAAAACCAAAAGGGAUGCUGCUGGAAGAAUUGAAAGAUAUAAAGCAAGGUUGGUUGCUAAGGGGUUUACUCAAACGGAGGGGAUCGACUAUAAUGAUACUUUCUCUCCAGUUUCCUCCAAAGACUCCAUGCGAGUUAUCAUGUCUUUAGCUGCCUACUUCGAUCUUGAAUUACAUCAAAUGGAUGUAAAAACCGCUUUUCUUAACGGAGACUUACAAGAGGCUAUAUACAUGAAACAACCUGUUGGAUUUGUUGAAAAGGGGAAAGAGAAUUUAGUAUGCAAGCUCAAUAAGUCCAUAUACGGCUUGAAACAAGCAUCAAGGCAAUGGUACCUAAAGUUUGAUCAAAUUGUCUCUGCAUAAGGUUUUGUAGAAAACAAACUGGAUGAUUGUAUAUACAUUAAGUUCUCAGGUUCCGAGUUCAUCUUCUUAGUACUUUAUGUUGAUGCCAUUCUCCUAGCUAGUUCAUGUCCCCAAUUGCUUCAUAGCAUUAAGAGAAUGCUAAGUGAUAACUUUGAGAUGAAAGAUCUUGGAGAAGCACAUUAUGUACUAGGAAUAGAGAUUGUUCGAGAUAGGAAAAUGAGGCUCCUUGGUUUAUCUCAAAAGGGGUACAUUGACAGAGUGUUGGAGAAAUUUCAUAUGGCAAAUUGCAAUUGUGGUCAGGUUCCAGUCAAUAAAGGUGACAAGUUUUCGAAGAUUCAAUGUCCAAGAUCUGAUUUGGAGGUGAAGAAAAUGCAAGCUAAGCCUUAUGCCUCGUUGAUUGGAAGUCUUAUGUAUGCAACUAUCUGUACAAGGCCUGAUAUUGCCUUCAUAGUUGGUAUGCUAAGACGAUUUCAAGCAAAUCCUGAGAAGCACAUUGGGGGUGGCAGCCAAGAAGGUUCUUCGAUACUUGCAGAGAACCAAAACUCACAUGUUAGUAUAAUGGCCGAACUGAUUCUUUGGAGCUCAGGGGGUAUAUACUCGGAUUUAGCUGGAGAUGUGGAUGACAGGAAGUCCACAGGGGUUAUAUCUUCAUACUCAAUGGAGGGGCAGUUUCGUGGAAAAAUGCAAAGCAAACUAUUAUAGCCACAUCAACUAUGGAAGCUGAGUUUGUAGCCUGUUUUGAAGGCAUGAAACAGGCAGCAUGGUUGAAGAAUUUUUUGACAGAUUUAAAGAUUGUGAAUUCGGUUCAGAAACCAGUAACAAUGUUCUGUGAUAAACAACUCGGCUGUGUUUUUUGCUAAGAAUAAUAAAAGGACUUCAGCAUCUAGAUUUGGAUGGACGAAGUUUCUUAAGGUCAGAGAACAAGUCAAGAAAGGAGUUAUUGAAGUACAGCACAUUAGCACUACUAUGAUGAUUGCUGAUCCCUUGACUAAGGCACUGCCAAUUGGAGAAUUCAAGAAACAUGUUUCUUCAAUAGGAGUACUAGAAGGUUUUGAUCAGUGGGAGUAAUCACGUGUGUGUUAAAGGCUUGGGAUUGCAGAAGCAGAAGUAUAUAUGUGUUUCAAGAACUGUAUGUGCAAUUCUGACAAGCUGAACUAAGGAUGCUUUAUGUUUUAACUUGCUUUAGUUAGUUUGUUAAGGUUGUUUGUGUUUUAAUAAGUGUCCUUGUCUGCUACUCAAUACUUUGGCUUUCAGGUGUUGAGGUACGGAUACUGGACUGAGUUAGAAUUUAGUUUCAUUAGUAACUUUGAAAGAACAGUUUGUCUGUUUUUUAAGUUUGUGGUUAAUGAUGUUAUAUAGUCAAUUACUAUGUUGCUUUUCUGUGAAGAUUAAUGUGUGUUGUGAUCUUUUGAAAAGUGGGAGCAUAAUGUUUGACGGUUUAUGUUAGUCAUGAGUCAUAUUUACAAAUUGAAUAUAUGUGAGCCUUGAAUUAAUACUACAAUUUGGUUGUGGUCUGAGAUUCUUGGUUUCUAUAUUUUGAGAUGUAAUGGGACAGUGGUCAUGAUGGUUAAAUCUUAGAUGAGGUUAUGUGAUCACUUCUUAUGAUUGGUGACGGCAAGGUUUGAUCUUUGUCUCAUGUUCAAGUGGGAGAAUGUAAGAAUGUGAACAUGAGAUAAGAUGAUCGGAUAUUAGUUGUUUGAGUCCAAUCCGAAUAAGAAAGCCUCUAAGAAGAUGGAAUUCAGUUCUUGGCAGUAGAGGACUCUAUUGCAGGGAAAAACUGAUUUGAAUUAGGAAGGCUUAAGUAGUUUUCCAUAAGGAUUUUAAUAGGGAAUCCAUAUUCUAAUAUGAGAAGGAUAUGUGUGUACAUAUAUAUAUAUAUAUGGCAAUCUCUUCUCUCACAGGUGUGUGCUCUUUUGGAACUAAGCCCUAUUCUUAGUUUGAGUGAUAAAUACCCUGACAGAGAGAAGAAGAAUUGUUGUGCUUUUCAGGUUGAUCGAGAUCCACCAUGACUGCAUCAAACGGGAGUUCUACAGGUUAGUAUAAUUAGGUUUAUUUGGAUUGAUGUUUUGUGUCUACUUGGUUGUAGUUUAAGUAACUGAAUCUUGCAGCUAGAUUUUGGUUUACAUAUUUUUCGAUGUAGGCUUUAUCCACGGUGUGAGCUGCCGGCCUGACGCGGAGUUUGGUAGGGGAGGGGAAUUUGAAGUCUACGAUUUUUUGGGACGUUGGCGGGCAACAGUUGGUCGGGACUGCUCCACUUGGAAAGUCCGCAGCUCCGCAUUUGGCUAGGUCAGGCGGCAACACUGGCUUUGCAACAGCGAAGGGGUCGCUGCCAAGACCAACCACUCCGGCUUUGCAACAGCGAAGGGGUCGCUGCCAAGACCAGCCACUCCACCGUAGAGGCUUCCGAGACCUAUAAGUACAUUUCUUCUGUCUAGGUUUACUAGAGAAGGGUUUUCAUGGUCGUGAUCGUUGGAGCUAGUGGAAGGGUUUUUGUUUUGGUCACUACUAUUAUUUGUGGCUUUGCACGAGACAGCUUGUAAAUUGGAAUGCCUAGGGUUUCCAAAUGAGGAUAUUCGGUGAUACUUUUGGGAGAAAGGGGAGAGAGAAGUUGUGGGGAUGAUACUUGUGGCGGAGGUGACGAGUGGAGCUGACAUAGAAGCCAUGGUACUUGACUCUGAAUAAUACGUUGUAUUGGCUUUGCUUUUAUAAUGUGUUCUAGGUUUUACGUUUCUUUGCACGGGUGGCAGGCCGUACACACGUGGUCGGUCCUUAAGGGUUUGACGAGGAAUACUACGCAGUCAUUUAGUACAUGACAACCAUACACUAUAGCACGUGGCAUGUAUUUAGAGAUCGAGAGAGAAUUGGGUAAGGUUCACGAGGGAUUGUAGUUUCAGAAGGUGAAUUGGUUUUGGUCUUCUUGUGUACCAAUAAUUUUUACUUAGUCAUUUAGUGCAGGACAACCAUGCACUAUAGCACGUGGCAUGUAUUCAGAGAUCGAGAGAGAAUUGGUUGGGUAAGGUUCACGAGGGAUUGUAGUUUCAGAAGUUCAAGCGGUUUUGGGCUUGUUGUGUACGGCUGUGGGUCUGCUGUCACGGACUCUCUGUCUCAUUUGUGUCUUAUUUUUUAUUUUUUGACACGUUUUAACGUCAAAUCAUUAUAGCAAUGUUAUGCAAUUGGGAGCUAAAUGACCGAUGCUCUUAUUUUUUAGUUUGCUUUUUUUCCAGAUCUGAUCAAAUCAUGAUAGCAAUGUUAUGCAAUUUUCAAGAGGGAGAGAUGCACCUGGGAGAGAAACGGUACGGUGACUUCUAAAUCACCGUCCAACAGAACAAUUCUCAGUAGAGACUACUAGAGAGAGAUGCACCUCACCAAUGAAAAAUUUAACUGCAAAAAUUCUGGGUAUCGGGAGUUGUGGGGUGGGUCUUGGCAGUUUUCUUAUUUCUUUGAAUUUUUUAUAAUUUAUUUUAUAAAAGUAACAGUGUUUUGUGGGGGUUAAAUUGUAAAACACGUGUCAUCAAACUAAAUAAAGAGACACCAAAGAGACAUGGAAUUCGGGACAACAGACCCACAGCCGUUGUGUACGGAGGCAGACUCUCUGCUCUCCUACUUUCUGUGUCCUCCUGUUUUGUGUAGUCACGAUUAAAUCACGUCAAUAUUUUAUAUUAUUAUUUUAUAGAUAUAAUAAGACAAAAAAGAAUAGUAAUUUAAAAUAUUAACGUGACUUAACUGUGACCACACGAAUAGGAAGGCAUGAGAAGUGGGAAGGCAAAGAAUAUGCCUCCGUUGUGUACCAAUAAUAUUAUAUAUAUAUAUAUAUAUAUAUAUAUAAUUAGGAUUGAAGGAUGUAGAGCUUAUUUUGUUAUGUAUUCUAACAAUUUAAGUGCUUAUCUUUUAGGUUUUCUCUUAAACAGCAUGCCUAUAAAAAAUCACCAAAAUUCAAACCAUAUGACCAUUAGAUCCAUAGUCAUUUUAGUGUUAAAUGAACUUCACAAAAUAAGUCUCAAAAUAUGUAUAAAAAAUGGACAGCGUGAAUGGUUUGGAAAUUGGAAUAGGUUUGGAAAUUGUGCUUUUUGUAGCAAAUUGCAGCAAAGUUUGCUUGGACUUUCACAACCGUAUAAAUUAAACUGUUCGCUUUGUUGGGAAAAACAAGUUUGCCGCUGGUCUUGGGUUCCAAGAUCGGCCAAUUUGACGGCACACUUUUUGGCGUUGAGAAGCAGUACGGAGAUGUGCAGAUUAACUUGGAUUGAUACUCCUCCAUCUUCGUUGGUUCGUGUAUUGAACAAAGAUGGCCUUCCUUGCCCUCCUUAAUAUUUUUUGUUCUUCCUGCAGUGGAGGCGGUGACGCCUUGCUCUUGGUGCAGCGUCUAGUGUUCUGUACCCUCCUCUUCUGCAUAUGUUUGUAUUUCCCCUCGUUGCCCCUUCUAAGUGGGCUUCCUAUUGUUUUGGCUUCGGCCCUGGUUAUGAAAUAUUUCCAAUCUUACCCAAAAAAAAAAAAAAAAAGAAGAAGAAGAAGAAGUCAAGCACGGUGGGAGACUGGUCAUAGUUUCUAGAUUGAUGCUCUAAUUCUAAUGUUAUACAACGCGUACGCUAAAAUAUUUUUAUCAAAAUAUUAGUUUUAGUGUUAUCAAAACAAUAAUGUUAUUCUUACCAUGUUUUUGUAUCACAAUUAUAUACCACCUUAGAUGGCAUAUGAUGUAGAUAGCCACAUCAUUUAAAUUAAUAAGCAUUUAAUUUCAAAUGUUAAUCAAUAAUUAAUAAAAUGAUUGUUAAUUAAAUGAUGAUUAUGGUAUACAAGGAGUCUCCUUCUUCCUUCCCCUUUCCAUUCUGCUUUUUCUUCCUACCACUUUCUGUUUUUUUUUUCAUGCCAGUUUUUGUAUUGAUUUCUAUUGAUUUCCAUGAUUAUGGUCAAUCUUUAUAGAAUUUACUCGUAUACCACAACCACCAUUGAUUUCUAUCUCUAGACUCAUGCCCCGUAGCCCUAAUCCUCAUUCCCCUUCAAGUAUUUCUGUCUCCAAUCUUCUUUGGUACUCCAUGGUUGUUCAUCUCGUGAUUUUUUUUUAUUAUUUCAUUAAGUAACGCCUAUUAGCUUUCAUGCGAAUUAGGAGUCAAAAUCAAAUUUGUCUAUCGGAUUAGGGUUCAUGCCCAAUUAAGUUACUAACGCAAGAGAGAUUUUGAAGUCUACAAUUUUCCUUAUUUAAGUGUUUUAAUUAAUAAGAAAAUUGAAAUUAAACGAUUUAGCUUGUCCAACUCAUCUGCCACCUAAGAUGGUAAAUAAAUGUGGUAAGAAUAGCAUUACUCUUAUCGAAAUUACAAAAAAAAAAAAAAAAAAAAAAAAAAGCUGAUUCAAUAUUUAGUUAUUAAAAAAAAUAUAAAAAAAGUGAUCAAGUAACUAUCCAAUACCCAUGUAUUGGGUGCUUUGUUUGAAAAUUUUCAAAAUGAUAUUGGGCUCGUUUGGAUAUGUUUUUAAAAUGACUGAAAGCGUUUUUAGAGAAAAUAUUUUUUUGAUUCCAAAAGCACUUAAAGUGUUUUCUGCAAAAAGCACUUAAAGUGCUUUCUGCAAAAAGCACCAGUUAUGUGCUUCUUCCUAGAAGCACUUUAAGUGUUUUUCAAGCAUUUACUUGCUUUUUUACUAAGGAUUGGUUCCAAAAACAUUUUCACAAAAAGUGUUUUCAGUCAUUUUAAAAGUACAUUCAAACGAGCUCAUUGUUUUUCCUAUUUUAAUCAAGUGCGUCGUCCCCUGUUGAGAAUGAAUCUCAUAUUAUGGGGAGAGGGGUCUUGCAUGGAUGAGAGGAGGGACCUUGCAUGAGCUUAUAAGUAAGUUGGGUUACUCUCUAUAUUGCCAAGAGAAAUUUUAUUUGGACCUACUUUUCCUCUCUCUAAACCCAACUUUAAUAUUUUGUUACCUAAACUCUCUAGUUUACCCUCAUAAAUUAUAAACAUAAAUAAACUGGAAAAAGAAAAACUCAUCAAACCUAUUUCCCAACUGUUCUGGCGUCUCUUCCCUGUAUUUGUUGGGUCUAUCUCCCUCCCGACUGUUUUUUUUCCCUGAUAUUCUCUGUGUGUUCCCCCACCUCUCCCACACCCACCGAUUCUUUGUGGUGGCUAUUCCACCCAACGUCCAGUGAAUCUUUCCAUUUUUCUUCUAUUGCGCGUGAUAGGGCCUUGCUGUUAAUAGGCAAAACUAAGCGGCAUCGUCGACUCUGUAAGCGACUUGUUGCAGAAGUCCAAAAUGGAGUCAAAAGGAUUUUGUAUUGGGUCGGGUUGUUGAAGGCGAUGGCUGAUUUAGCAAUCUCGCCUAACUACUUCUAUAUGCAGGAGAAGGAAGAGGGAGGAAGGUCUAAAGUGGUGGUUGAGUGGUGGCGAUGUAUGUGGGUUCUAUCUCGGUUGAAUGGGUGUAGAAAGAUAUUUAAUUUUCAGUUUCUUAUUUUAUUUUGUAUAAGGGAUAAUAUCGGAAUUACAUAAAAAGUUUUUUUUAUAGCUGGGUGUAGAAAUAGUAUUGUUGGGUCUAAAUAAAAUUACCCUAUUGCCAAACAUAGUAUUGUUGGGUCUAAAUAAAAUUACCCUAUUGCCAAUUAGCUUUGUUUGAAAAUUUUCAAAAUGAUAUUGUUUUUACCAUUGAACCCUUGUUAUAUACAGUGAUGGCUAAUUUGUCAAGUUCUACGAAGUUGGGAUACCCAGCGUUUUAGCAUAUAACAUAACUUAGUAUUACAAGCAUAAUUAAUUAAAAUAAAGGAAAAUGAAGAGGAUAGCUUAGUAUUACAAGCAUAAUUAAUUAAAAUAAAGGCAAAAGUAACAGCCUGUCCCUAAAAAUGACGAUUUUAUAAUCUUAACACGUGAGUUUAUGAAGAUGCCCUUCGAGGCAAAGUGUUGACUUGUGUUGACUACCGCAUCGUGUCAUGUGAGACUCAUCUUCUUGGCGUAUUCUCGUUUUACUUGUCACUACGGACGCAUGGGCGCAAACGGGACAUGAUUUGGAGCUAUAACGAAUGAGUUAUUAACAUUUAAAGUUAAGGACAUUUUAGUAAAUUAAUUAAUUUCAGAUUAUGUUGAGGGGAAAAUCUGGAGUGCCGGUGGGUGGCCCAGAUUAAAGGAAAUGAAGAAUGGAUGGUGGAGGUGUAAAGGAAAGAAGAUAAAAGAAAAAUGAGAGGAAGUGUGUGACUAAUAGGGAGAUGAGAGAGUUAGGAUGGCCCAAUCAGAAACAAACGAAAGGAGGAAAAAGGAGAGAAGAGGGGAGCGGGGGAUCCCUUCGACCCGGUUCCAUUUUCCGACCCGACCCGAUCCUUUUCAUCUUCUUUGAUGGUUUUUCGUCGGUUUUUUCCGACGAACCACGUUAUCUAACCCCUUGGAAAAUGUUCCACAACCUUCCCUCAACUAUUACAAUCCAAAAUUGUAGAAAUUUAGCCAUGAAAGUAUGAAAACCACACCGGUGGGUGCGGGAAACCCUUGUCGUCGAUUCUCCCAUUAUUGCAACGAUUUUCACCAAUUACCACCACCUACAACAUCCUCUUGAGGUCUGGAAUAAAGCCCAAACAAGUUUUGCACUACUACAAUAUUAGCUUUAGAUGGCAGAUGAUGGUGGCGGAUUUAGAAAAAUAUUGUCGGAUAAAUUAUAUCUGACACAUUAUUUAAUUAGUGGUGAAUAUAAGAAAAAUCAUGUCGGUUAUAACCGACAUAAAUUCGUGGCAGAUACUAGCAGAUAUUAAAAAACUCAUGUCGGUUAUAACCGACAUAAAUUCCUAGCGAAUAAUUACUGACAGAUAUUAUAAAACUUCUGUCGGUUAUAACCGACAAUAUUUUUGAAUUGGGGGAAUUUAAAAUUUUGGGAGGGAAUUUAAAAUUUUGGGAGGGAAUUUAAAAUUUUGGAGGAAAUUUUGGGGGGAUUUUUACCCAUAUUAAUUCAUGGCGGAUAAUUACUGACGAAUAUUAUAAAGCUCAUGUCGGUUAUAACCAACAAUAAUGAAAAUGUUUAUGUCGAUUUUUAUUAAAAAAAUGUUUCUGUCAGUUUUAACCGACAUUAAUGAAAAUAUUCCACAGUAAAACCCCUACUUCUUCUCCUUGUGCUGGUGCCUUCUCCCUUCCCCCUUCUUUCCCCCUUUUCUCUUCUCCUCAUUUCCUUUUCCUUUGUAUUUUUGAUUUUGACAAGGUCUCUCCUUUAUUUGAUUCUUUGUUGUUCAUCUCUCACAAAUGUAGAGAGAGUAAAGGAGAUGCUUAGAGCGCUUUCUUUGUUCCUUUUUUUUUUCUUUUCAUUUUUUCCCUUUUCAAACUCCGACUAUGUCUUACAUGGCCGGUCCCAAGCCCGGAUAAAGGAGGAGGGGGAGGGCGUCAGGUAGUCGACAGCCGGCACUCCAUGAUCACGUCGAAUCCUUAUGAAAAUGAAUCCAGAACAAAAUCGCGCUAAAGCUAGGGCGCCACCCGUAAGUGGCGCGCUGUGUGGCCCGAGCACAGUGAUAAGUGAGCAAGGGUCGCUGUAUCUCCAUCGGCACUCGGAUGCAGUGUUAAAUGAGCAAGGGGGCCAUAGAAACUUCUUUUCGAACGACUCCACUCAAAGUUGUUUGGGAGCAUAUGCUCCUAUCAACUUUACCCGGGACACACAAAAGAAGUACUUUGAUCCUAUUAGACGGGGGAGGGUGAAGAAGCUAGGACAGAAGGGUAGAGUUCAAGAGAGCAAAAUGCGUUUAGGAACGUGGAAUAUAGGAACCUUAACGGGAAAAUCUAUGGAAGUAGUGGAAGUUAUGGUGAGGAGAAGGAUAAAUAUUAUGUGCCUACAAGAAACUAAGUGGGUUGGUAGUAAGGCAAAGGAUCUAGAAAACUCAGGGUUUAAACUUUGGUAUUCGGGCACAAAUAGAACGAGAAACGGUGUUGGCAUCAUCGUGGACAAGACCUUGGUACAAGAUGUUGUAGAUGUCAAGAGUGUAGGAGAUAGAAUCAUGGCAAUCAAGAUUGUAAUAGGACAAGAACUUAUCAAUGUGAUUAAUGCGUACGCACCUCAAGUAGGGUUGGAUACGAGUUCGAAGGAGAAAUUUUGGGAAGAUCUUGGAGACUUGGUGCAAGGAAUUGCUCAGACGGAGAAGUUAUUUAUAGGAGGAGAUUUAAAUGGACACGUGGGCAGGGAGACAGGCAACUAUGGAGGUUUUCAUGGUGGCCAUGGUUUUGGGGAGAGAAACGAGGAUGGGGAAGCUAUCUUGGAUUUUACAAUGGCAUAUGAUCUCUUCUUAGCCAACACCUUCUUUAAGAAGAGAGAAGAACAUGUGAUCACCUACAAGAGUGGGUCGUCAAAAACACAAAUAGAUUUUCUUCUAAUGAGGAAAGGGGAUCGUAUAACUUGUAAGGAUUGCAAAGUUAUACCAGGAGAGAGCGUGGCUAAUCAACAUCGCUUGUUGGUGAUGGAUGUACAUAUCAAAAGAGUAAGACAAAAGAACAAGACUUGGAAGUGCCCAAGGACUAGAUGGUGGAAUCUAAAAGAAGAAAAACAAGUCAUUUUCAAAGAGAAGGUAAUCACCCAAUGUGUGUGGGAUAGAGAGGGGGAAGCUAGCCAAAUGUGGGAUUUCAUGGCUAGUUGUAUCCGAAAAGUAGCAAAAGAGGUAUUAGGAGAGUCUAAGGGCUUUGCCCCACACUAAAAGGAAUCUUGGUGGUGGAAUGAGGAGGUACAAACAAAGGUGAAGGCUAAGAAGGAAUGUUGUAAAGCCUUAUACAAGGAGAGGACCGAUGAAAAUGGUGAAAGGUAUAGAAAAAAAGCGAAGCAAGAGGCGAAGAAAGCUGUCAGAGAAGCUAAGUUAGCGGCUUACGACGAUAUGUAUAAACGACUAGAUACCAAAGAAGGAGAGUUGGAUAUCUAUAAACUAUCUAGAGCAAAGGAAAAGAAGACAAGGGACCUAAACCAAGUGAGGUGCAUCAAGGAUGAGGAUGGAAAGGUUCUUGCUACAGAGAACGCGGUUAAAGACAGAUGGAGAGGUUAUUUUCAUAAUCUUUUCAAUGAAGGACAUGAAAUGAGUGCUUCUUUAGGGGAGUUGAGUAACUCAGAAGAGUGUAGAAACUACUCUUUUUAUCGUCGAAUCCGGAAGGAAGAAGUGGUUGUAGCUUUGAAGAAGAUGAAGCAUAAAAAAGCAAUAGGCCCAGACAAUAUACCAAUCGAAGUGUGGAAACUUUUGGGAGAGACAGGUAUAACAUGGCUCACUGACCUUUUCAAUAGGAUUUUGAAAACGAAAAAGAUGCCAAAUGAGUGGCGAACGAGCACUUUGGUGCCUAUCUACAAGAAUAAGGGCGACGUACAAAAUUGCAUGAACUAUAGGGGUAUUAAGCUAAUGAGUCAUACAAUGAAGCUCUGGGAGAGAGUCAUUGAGCAUAGAUUGAGGCAAGAGACACGGGUUUCGGACAACCAAUUCGGGUUCAUGCCAGGGCGCUCAACCAUGGAGGCAAUCUAUCUCUUACGAAGAUUGAUGGAAAGAUAUAGAGAUGGGAAAAAUGAUUUACACAUGGUCUUUAUAGAUUUGGAAAAAGCGUAUGAUAGGGUCCCAAGAGACAUUCUUUGGAGGAUUUUAAAGAAGAAAGGAGUACGAGUAGCAUAUAUCCAAGCUAUAAAGGACAUGUAUGAAGAAGCAAAGACUGCCGUAAGAACUCAUGAAGGACAAACCGAAAGCUUUCCCAUAACUGUAGGAUUACAUCAAGGCUCAUCCUUAAGUCCUUACCUUUUUGCGUUGGUAAUGGAUGAGUUAACAGGACAUAUUCAAGAUGAUAUUCCUUGGUGUAUGCUUUUCGCAGACGAUAUAGUGUUGAUAGAUGAAACUCAGGAAGGGGUAAAUGCAAAGCUUAACCUUUGGAGAGAAGUGUUGGAAUCUAAAGGUCUUCGCCUAAGCCGAUCAAAGACAGAAUAUAUGGAGUGCAAGUUCAGUGCAAAUGGAGGCCAAAACGAGUUAGGGGUGAGGAUCGGAGAUCAAGAAAUACCAAAGAGUGACCGUUUUCGUUACCUAGGAUCUAUCUUGCAAAAGAACGGAGAAUUAGAUGGAGAUCUCAACCAUAGAAUACAAGCUGGAUGGAUGAAGUGGAAGAGUGCAUCUGACGUGUUGUGUGACCGUCGUAUGCCACUGAAGCUCAAAGGAAAAUUUUAUAGGACGGCAAUAAGGUCGGCGAUGAUUCAACUUGGCGGGUUCGAGCAAAUAGGCGUUGGGCCAUAUUAGACACAGAACCUGCACACUGAACACUGAGAGCUAGCGAAUCCUUAACAGCUAACUCAUCAGACCGUUUGGAAAGUAGUCUGUUAUCUUUGGGAGUGAGAAGGUUCCUGGCCACCACCGCAGCGGUCAUAUCAUUCUUCAUCACGGAAUCCCCAACGGUAAGAGGACCAGUAGGGGAGACAAAGGAUGGGCGCCAUAUGUUGUCUGGAGAAGGCGGGGCUGCCUCUUCAACAAGGUUCAAGUCAAAAAACGACGGUCGGAGGGCCAGACAUUUUCAAAGGUGUUGAAGAGAGAAGAGGUCGGACACAAAUCAAGAUCUUAGAAGUGCAAGAAUGAAGCUUCUACUGGUGGAGAUUCAAGUGUGCUUUGGAACUUAAUGCCAGCCCCUAUAAAAAUCUGCACUCGACGGAGCUUCAGAAAUCGAAGAGGCGUUUGCUUUCUCAAAAGCUGGGCUGCUUAGAGAUCACGAGGGUUGAUCUCAGGAAUCGAAGAGGCGUUUGCUUUCUCAAAAGUUGGGCUGCUCAAAGACCACGAAGGCCGAUCUCAGAAAUCGAAGAGGCGCUCACUUUCUCAAAAACUGGGCUCCCCAGAGACCACGAGGGCCGAUCUCAAAAAUCGAAGAGGCACCUACUUUUCCAGCCUUGUCAGCACCUGUCACACGCACACUCAGCUUUGCGGAAAUUAUGGGCAUUCUGUCGAAGACUUCUGGGGAAGUAGAAAACACAUGAAUCUUACUGUUCAAUCACCCACUUCCCACACGCAAUAAUAGCUCAUGGGUACCACAGAUAACUUUGCCAAAGUUCUCUGCCAAAGUUGAGCACGUGAAGCUUGCAGCUCCCACUACAUCGCUCUGACCAAGAAGGGUAAAAAGAAUAGCAAAGAAACAGCACUAACAAAGUUUAGACCCAUAAAUUUUGAAGGUCUAGCUACCAUAUUAUUACCCACAAGGGUAAAGGAACAGUACCACUGCUGGAUAAUUGGAAAGUCCCUAUGUGUCAACCUCUGUGCUUCGUGGCAAGGUAGACUAGCAAACAUGCCCAACCUUUACUCACAUUCGAGAAAACACUCCCAAUAAGAUUGCUUGCUCCAAAAUCGAAGAGGCACCGUCCUCCGAAUCUCGAGAGCCAGACUCCCAACAUGACUACUUUCUUAAAAAUCGAAGAGAGGGUAAAGGAACAGUACCAUUGCUGGAUAAUUGGAAAGUCCAUGUGUGUCAACCUCUGUGCUUCGUGGCAAGGUAGACUAGCAAACAUGCCCAACCUUUACUCACAUUCGAGAAAACACUCCCAACAAGAUUGCUUGCUCCAAAAUCGAAGAGGCACCGCCCUCCGAAUCUCGAGAGCCAGACUCCCAACAUGAUUACUUUCUCAAAAAUCGAAAGAGACACUGCUCCCCGAAUCUUCGAGAGCCAGACCCCCAGCAUGAUUGCUUUCUCAAAAAUCGAUGAGGCAUCGUUCUCCGAAUCAAUCGAAGAGGCGCUCGCUUUCUCAAAAGCUGGGCUGCUCAGAGACCACGAGGGCCGAUCUCAGAAAUCGAAGAGGCACUUACUUUUCUAGCCUUGUCAGCACCUGUCACACGCACACUCAGCUUUGCAGAAAUUAUGGGCAUUCUGUCGAAGACUUCUGGUGAAGUAGAAAGCACAUUAAUCCUACUGUUCAAUCACCCACUUCCCACACGCAACAAUAGCUCAUGGGUACCACAGAUAACUUUGCCAAAGUUCUCUGCCAAAGUUGAGCACGUGAAGCUUGCAGCUCCCACUACAUCGCUCUGACCAAGAAAGGUAAAAGAAUAGCAAAGAAACAGCACUAACAAAGUUUAGACACAUAAAUUUUGAAGGUCUAGCUACCAUAUUAUUACCCACAAGGGUAAAGGAACAGUACCACUGCUGGAUAAUUGGAAAGUCCCUGUGUGUCAACCUAUGUGCUUCGUGGCAAGGUAGACUAGCAAACAUGCCCAACCUUUACUCACAUUCGAGAAAACACUCCCAACAAGAUUGCUUGCUCCAAAAUCGAAGAGGCACUGUCCUCCGAAUCUCGAGAGCCAGACUCCCAACAUGACUACUUUCUCAAAAGCGAAGAGAGGGUAAAGGAACAGUACCAUUGCUGGAUAAUUGGAAAGUCCCUGUGUGUCAACCUUUGUGCUUCAUGGCAAGGUAGACUAGCAAACAUGCCCAACCUUUACUCACAUUCGAGACAACACUCCCAACAGGAUUGCUUGCUCCAAAAUCAAGAGGCACCGCCCUCCGAAUCUCGAGAGCCAAACUCCCAACAUGAUUACUUCCUCAAAAAUCGAAGAGACACUGCUCUCCGAAUCUCGAGAGCCAGACCCCCAGCAUGAUUGCUUUCUCAAAAAUCGAAAAGGCAUCGUUCUCCGAAUCUCGAGAGCCAGAUACCACAGACCACUUUUUCAAAGUGCUCUGACAGAGUUAAAACAUGUGAAACUGGCAGCUCCCACUACCGUGCUAUGACCAAGCAGGGUAAAGGAAUAGCAUUACUACUUGUUGUUAGGGAGACUCCUAUAUAUGUCGACCUCCAUCCCCAACGGACAGGCAGACCUGCAAAAAUGCUCAACCCUUCAUCAUAUCUGAGUGGGCACUCCCAACGAAGCCUUUCGAAAUAUUCAGCUUUCUUUCCCCCCGAUAAUACCUCUGCAAACAAGCUAUACUAGAGCAAGAAUAUCUCAUAUCAUCAGGGUUAAAAGCAAGAGUAUCCCAUAUCAUGCUUUUUCCCUGUCUUUUCCUUUGGCCUUGUUUUUACCUGCAAGACAAGGAGAAAGAGAGCAAUCAGUCAGCACUUGGAAUCAAGCUUCCAACCAGGAAAUGACUGCCUGGAACCCCUUACUUGGCAUUGCUCUCGAGUACUCAUCUUCAACAUCUUAUGUUUCCAGGGAAGAUUCUGCAUCUGCUUGAGGAACAGAUAGGGCAAGUGCGAAGGAUACAAGGAAGCAUGCGGAGACAAGCGUAACAGCACACGUGCCGAUACAUCCAUUACUCUGUCAAAAGCAAAAGUAUCCCAUAUCAGCAGGGUGGAACGUACUCUAGAUUUGAUGGACUUGUUUUGACCCUCAAAUUCUUCAGUCGGCCUUAUAUUCUGGAGGAAACCAGAAAACCCUCCAGCUCAGUUCAAGAAUAAGCCUGUGGAAAGUUACUUCUUCAAAAGCAAAAGUAUCUCAUAUCAUCUCUUCUCAUUUUUCUUCUCUCUUUAUCCUUCAUGCUGCUGCAAGAUGGGGAGAAGGUGAACAAUCAGUCGGAGCUCUGAUUGCUUACCUUGUCUGUCACCUCUUUCAGCAGACCCCCUAGCUCGGCGACUUGGGGGACUCCUACUAAAUGGUUUGUAUCGCGCUUGACCAAGCCUGAAACUACAAGUAAGCUUCAAGUGAAAUUGAUACAUUACCUUGUGCAUCUCCACCAGUUAAAGAUACCACCCCUGGAUGGAGGAAGAGUACUUCCAGAGAAGAUGCCACAUCUACCUAUGAGACAGAUAAGGCAAGUCAAGACGACACCACACUCCGAUACUUAGAAGUUUCGUGAUUAUGAGAUCAUUCUCCCACAAUAUUUCCUAAUGUCAUUUGUACUAAAUCAUUCACUUGUACUCACUAAAGGAGAGCUUGAACCUAUGUACUUGUGUAAACCCUUCACAAUUAAUGAGAACUCUUCUAUUCCGUGGACGUAGCCAAUCUGGGUGAACCACGUACAUCUUGUGUUUGCUUUCCUAUCUCUAUCCAUUUAUAUACUUAUCCACACUAAUGACCGGAGCAAUCUAGCGAAGAUCACAAAAAGCGACCGUUUUCGCUACCUAGGAUCUAUCUUGCAAGAGAACGGAGAAUUAGAUGGAGAUCUCAACCAUAGAAUACGAGCUGGAUGGAUGAAGUGUAAGAGUGCAUCCGGCGUGUUGUGUGACUAUCGUAGGCCACUGAAGCUCAAAGGAAAAUUUUAUAGGACGGCAAUAAGGCCAGCGAUGUUGUAUGGCACAGAAUGUUGGGCGGUGAAGCAUCAACACGUACACAAAAUGGGUGUAGCGGAGAUGAGGAUGCUUCGUGGGAUGUGUGGGCACACGAGAAAGGAUAAGAUUGGGAAUGAGGAUAUCCGAGGUAAAGUAGGAGUAGCCGAAAUUGUAGGAAAGAUGAGAGAAAAUCGGCUCCGGUGAUUUGGACAUGUGCAAAGAAGGCCGACUGACGCUCCGAUUCGAAGAUGUGACUACGGGACAGAGGUUCAGGGCCGAAGGGGUAGAGGAAGACCUAGGAAAACUUUGGAAGAGACUCUAAGAAAAGACUUAGAGUACUUGGAUCUAACGGAGGACAUGACACAAAACCGAGCGCAAUGGCGUUCUAGGAUUCAUAUAGCCGACCCCACUUAGUGGGAAAAGGCUUUGUUGUUGUUGUUGUUGUUGUAUUUUUUCCCUUUUCAAAAUCGAAAUGUUCUAAAUUAUUUCACUAAUCCUUGCUAGUUUGAACUGCAGGAGUCUGUCUCUGGAUUUGAAAGAUUAUCUGGACUUACAGUUUUGAAGAAUUGGGAUUCUAGUGUUACACAUAUUAUUGCAUCGACAGAUGAAAAUGAAGCAUGCAGAAGAACCCUUAAAAUUUUGAUGGGUAUCUUGGAGGGGAAGUGGAUUCUGAGUGUGGAGUGAGUUUUACUGUUUUCGUUUUAAUUGUUCUUCCUCAAGUGCUUGGACUUUACAAUUGUAAUGAGUACAGAAGCCGAAAUGAGAUAUUGAUAUACAUGUUCACAUUGCUGAUAAUUCGUUAUCCGUCUGUUUGUGUAGGAAUUAAUGCUUGCACAUAAGUAAUGAAACUAGUUAAUGAGGAGCCUUAUGAAAUCAACGUUGACAUUUAUGGAAUCAGGGAUGGUCCUCGACUUGGUAGACUAAGGCUGCAGAACAAGGUUAGCUUUUCCUCGAGUUUAACUAUCAUCACGAAAACUUUAGAUUUUCAUGGAUUCACCAUAGGCAUUGUUAAUCUUGUUCAGUCCAUAAAUAGGUUACACACUUAUCUUAACAAAGGUGAGACCUUCUCAAUUCCUCAUCGAGAUGAAUCAAGAGCAUAAUUGUAGCAGUGAUCAAGAGCAAUUUUUUUAUGUUUCUUCCAAAUUGUUGAGAUGAAUCAUCUGUGUUUUGUUCUAAUAAUCUUACAAAUUUGUUGAGCAAUUUUUGUAAAGUCAGAAUCUUUGGUUUCGGUUGUGAGGUAUCUGAUUUGGGUAUAUGUGUUUUGCAGGGCACGGUGGUUGUGGCGGAGGAAGAUUAGGAUUGACGACAGAGCUCUGGCCAUGAACUAUCAGCUCUGUCUUUCUCUCUCUAACUAUGAAUUGAAUACAAAAGUCUGUGUUGAUAUGGAAAAUGUAGCUCAAAAUUAUUACACAAAUGGCAAAAAAAAAAAGUUCGAGUGUGGAGUUUCACUUACUGAUACAGGGCUUUUGAAACAGGGUUGUCUAGACUGUAGAAGAAAUCCAUGGCUUUUGGAAGAGGGGAUGUUCCAAAUCUAUCUUUUCUCCCUCUCUAAUGUUCUUCGAGGGGUUCUUGUGAUGCAAAAAGUGGUUUAUAUAUAUUUUUUAUUAUUAAUAAAUUUUCUGUCGGUUUUAUCAGACAAUAAUUCUUUUAUUUAUUCUUAUUAAUAAUUUCUCUGUCGGUUAUAUCUGACACAAUUUCUGUCGAUUUUAGAGUAUUUUCUAUCGAAAAUUUCAUUUCCUGACGCAUCAAUUAUGUCGCUUAUUAUAUCCGCCACUGCACUCAUUUCAUGUCGGAUUUUGCUUAAUUUCCAACAGUAUUAUACAUUUCUUGUCGGUUUUUAAACCGACACUAAUGGGUACUUUUGUAGUAAUGUUGGGGCGUCGGAGUUCGUUUAAGGUCGAAUUGAGCACACCCAAAUUCAAGGGUUCCGUACGGUUCAUGGUAAUUUGAGGUAUUUCUCAGCCAAAUUGUCCUUAGUCACAGAUAUGAAAGUUGCUCCACUCGUUGAGAUCUUCAUUUAUGUCAAAUUUGAGAAUUUUUAGAAAUAAUUGGAUUUUCCAGCGAAUCGGGGCGGCGGACCACCACCGGACAGCGCAUGGCUAGUGGGCCCCCAAUGUCAUUUUACGUUAAAUUGGUAUCUUGAUUUUAGGUUUGAUGUCUAUAUGUUAUGACUUGAUAUGUGAACCUAGUUUAAUUAAGGUGCGUUAAUUGGUAAAAAUAUGAAACGACGAUCCGACCGUGGGAUCGUCACCAAUCUUUAUUAUGUUAUAGUACAUUAUAUUUGAGAAUCAUAGGGACUGACGGAUAGGAAAUCCGAUAUACGGAUCUUCCUGAAAUGGAAUUGUAAGUUCGAAGAAUAAACGUUAACCGCCACUUUGUUUUGACUAUUGGUGAAGAUCCAACCGUUGGAUCAUAAUGAAAUUUUAGGAUGAUGUUUUAGAAGCAUAAUGUGGAUCUUUGGAAGUUAUUGAUUGGAAAUCCGAGGAGCGAAUCUUCCGGAUUGAAUUACGUAAGGUUGUGGACCCUACCGUCGAUCGUUGACUGACGAUCGACUUUUGGUCAAUGGGGCUUAAAUCACUCUAAAAUGUUUUUAGGGAUGUGUUUUACGUAAAUUACAUUAUCUAUGGAUAAGAAUUCUGAGAUGUGGUUUGAUAAUUGUCCUGGGCGCCGAUCGUUAGGAACGCUUCGAUGGUUGUGCUAGGAAAUUGUAGCAUAGACUCCAGGUGAGUGAAUCUUUUCCUUCUUAUAUAUAUAUAUAUAUAUAUAUGAUUGACAAUUCCACAAACGUUUAUAAAUUGAUUAUUGCAUAUAACUACUGUAAAUACUUUGAAGUACUUAUGCGAACUACGAAUGGCUUGAUCCCUAUUUAGGGUACGUAUGCAGUCUAACAAGACAUUAAAUGCAGUCAUACAAUAAUUGAGAUUAAACAAUUGAGACAAAGCCUUGUAUGGGGAACUGGGCAAGGUGAACGAAUUUGGUAAAAAUGUGAGAUUUAACCUUCUGAAUUGGUGAUUAAAUGUUGGUCAUAAAUCAAUGUGUAAAGAAUCAAGAAUUUGAAGUAAGGAAACGUAAGUAAUGAUAAUUAAUUAAACUAGUGUCUAGUUGGGCUUGUCACCUAUAAUUAUCCCCAAAAAUGAAUAAUUCGGGAGUAGGGCGUUAUAGCUUCUGCAUUUUUAUGCCACAUUAUAUAUAUAUAUAUAUGUGUGUGUGUGUGUGUGUGUGUGUGUGUGUGUAUAAUUGGAAAUGCUAUAACGUGGUUGAGUAUCAGAUUUCAUCAUGGUUUAUCUAUAUGUAUAUUACCUGCACACAAUUAUUAUGAACACUUUGAAGUGCAAAGGUGAACGCAAGACACCCAGGAAAGUUCAGGUGAGUUUAUGGUAUUAGUUGAAAUGAUGGGGUUAUGGUAACUACAUGUAUGUUUAGGUUGCAAUGAUAGGCAACUCCGACACUGUCGUACAAGUUGCCCAUGAAUUGUAUAUGUUACAAUAGAUAGAGUUAGAGGUCAUAAACCUGCACCCCGGUGUUAGUGCUCCCACCCGUGGCUAGGGCACAGUCUUUCACGAGAUGUUCACCUCUCGCAUCUUACGCUCACCUUGGAUCCAAGGUAGGUGCACAGUCAUGUCAUAAAGACCACUAUAGGUGGUUCCGACUAGUAGAUGACCCGUGAUUAUUCGCACAGUCUUCACGUGAUUGUAGCACUUGAGCGUAUUUAUUUACACCCAGUCCUGUCGUACAGACCACUUUAGGUGGUUCCGACUCGUAUGCAGGUAUACUUAUUGAGCUAUGGAUAAGUCGUACAGGUCACUAAAGGUGACUCCAACUUAUGAGCUAGCAUAUGUGAUGAAAUAUGUGAUGAGCUAGCAUAUGUAAUGAGAUAAGUGAUGAGCUAGCAUAUGUGAUGAGAUAUGUGAUGAGUUAGCAUACGUUAUGAGAUAUGUGAUGAGUGAUAUAAUCAUAAUUGCAUACAUUUUCAUGCCCUUUUAGUUUAGAUUUUUGUUAUCCUUUUGAGUGAAUUUAGUUUGUUUCACUUAGUUUUAUGUUUUUCUUAGAUUUGAAGUGUGAAGAUGAAGAAAGAAGAAAAAAGAGCAUUUUUAGCGAUUGAAAUGAGUUUGGCAUGCUGGAAGCAGAGGCUAUUUGUGCGGAUCAGCCAACUUUACGGAUUAAACUGUACUUCCUUAGAAUGCCAGCUGUUGAGUCUUAUACCAUUGGAAAGAUAUGAAAGUUAGCUUUCAGAGGAAUUUUACGAUUCGUGAUUCCGAGUUUCCUAGAAGACGUUAUAGUGGUUUUUCUACCAGAUGUCUGCCAGCAAGGUUUUACGCGGGAUUUGCAAAGAGAUUCCAGAUUUACAAAGUUUAAUUAAAGGAAACAAGCAGAGAAAAAAGAAGAGGAAGCUUUUAGAAAAGUUCAGGACUAUUCUAAACGGUGCAUAGUUAAUAUAUUUAAUAGUUUAGUGUGCCACAUCAUCAAUAAACUAAUCUAAGUCAGAAGAGAAAUUCAAGAGUCCCAUUCAAGUAAGUAUUCCAGCAGUUUUAUUCAGGAAUAAAGGAGGGCAGACCGUCGGACUUUAGGAGCGGACAGAGAGAGUUUUUGGGUUUUCGAAGGUGCAGAGAAGAGGUCGCAGCAAGGAGUGAAACAGAGUCGCCGAUCAUCUGGGCAAUCCAUCACCAUCGUGUGGAAGUAUUUUAUGUUUUUCAGAUUUUUAAUUAUGUUUUCAGAUUUUAUGAGUAACUAAACUCUUUUUCUAAGGUUAGGAUGAUGCCCUAGCAUGGAUGUUUAUGGUUUGUAAUGUUAUUCAUUGGAUUUCCAGUUUCUUUUAGAUGAAUGCUUAAUCACUGUUUGAAUUGUUACUGUUUGUUUGAGUUCUUUGAUUGAUCACCUUAGGACUUUGCAUCUAGUAAGAUUGGAAGAUGAAUUUGAGACUGAACUAACAAUAUAAUUCAAUUAGCUUCUUGUGGUUAAGUGUGGUAAAUUACAUUAUUGCUUGAAAAAGAAUAAUGGUUUGUUUGGGUCCCUUGUUUUCUAGAGGGUAAAGAGUCCUACUUGUUAAAUUUAUGCCUUAACUAGGAUAGACUGCUUGUUAGGAUAUACGACCUCUGCCUAAACUAGGAGAGAAUCAUUCACAUAAGGAAAACUAUGGUCUAAUAUGCCUGACAAGGACUUAGAUACGGGAAUUAUCAUCUAAAGAAUUGAAAGAUCCAUUGAAUGCAUUGAAACCUAAACUAGAUUGCUUGUGGUUGAUUCCGAAUCCCUAGAUUUUCAUCACUUGCCUUAAAACACAACCGUUUCUUUUCUUUAAUUUCAGUUUUUACUUAAGGUUCUGUUUUUGUUCAUUUAUAAAAUCAUCACAACAAAUUUUUUACAUCUUUGAUUGACUUAUUAAUUAAGAUCGAGUCUAGUUCGUUGUUUGGGUUUGUGUGUCUUUAAUAUAAUUAGAUUUGGUUUAGUUUAUCAAAUUGGAGAUUGAAUUAGAAUCCUCGUGGGAACGAUACUUGGACUUGCAAAACGUUAUAUUACGACUAUCUUGUGCACUUGUAAGUUUACACCAAGUUUUUGGCGCCGUUGCCGGGGACUCUAAUUGAGUCCCCCAAUUUGAUAUCAUAUUCCAUAUCUAAUAAGUAGUUUAUUGUAGAUUAUUCAAUUUGAUUUUGUUUUGUUCUCUAGUUUCGAGUAAGAGUCAUAACUAUUAAGAUAAGUAAAAGUAAUUUUCGUCACUGUUUUAUUUCAGUUUUGUAUCACUGUUUCGACACAGUUUUGGACUAAACUAUUCGAUUUUUUACCAGGAAUAUUGUGUAUCGUUGGAAAGCCCCAGAAGUCUAGUUUUCAACCCAAAAAACAGAUCAAUGAUUGGAUUUUUGAGCUGCAAGAAAUGUACAAAAUACUGAGCAGUGGUCAAACAAGGAGCACAGUCUGGUCGUAUAUGCAAGGUAGACGUUCGUUGCAAUUUGAGUUGAUUCAUAUAGACCAAGAACUUGUGCGUACUUUAAGAGAACAGUGGAGGCAGCGAGUGUGUCAAGAACCAGCCAUGGAGGAAGUAGUUAAUAAUGGUGGAAAUAAUCCUCCACCAUUGCUACCACCACAACCAAGGCUCAUGCGUGAUUAUACAAAGCCAACGGAGUACAACGCACCGUCAUGCAUUGUUUUGGCUCCAAUUGCGCAGCGAUUUGAGAUUCGUCCACAAAUCUUUCAGUUGCUGCCUAUAUUUCUUGGGAAGGAGGAAGAAAAUCCAUACCAUCAUAUCAAGGCGUUUUUCAAGCUAUGUUCCACAUUCACAUUCACCAAUGUUACUGAAGAGCAAAUUCGACUUCGGUUAUUCCCAUUCUCUUUGAGGGAUAAAGCAAGCAGUUGGUUGGAUUCUCUUCCCGAAGCAUCUAUCGACACAUGGACAAAAUUAUCGAAGAAGUUUUUGUCCAAGUUCUUCCCCGCUCGAAGAACCAAUGCUCUGAUCAAUGAAAUCAUGAGCUUUCGACAACAAGAAGGUGAACAGUUUCAUGAAAGUUGGGAGCGCUAUAAGGACUUGUUUCUUCAAUGUCCUCAUCAUGGUUUCAACACUUGGCAAAAGGUUCAUUAUUUUUACAAAGGUUUGAACUCUCAAUGUAGGAGUUUGGUUGAUUCAACGGUUGGUGGAACCUUGAUAGACAAAACUCCAGAAGAUGCCAUACAUGCCUUUGAAACUAUAUGUGAAAAUUCUGAGCAUUGGGAUUUUCCUACAAAAGAUUUGAGAGUUCCAACUGCAUCGUCAACAAAAAAAGGAGGCAUUUAUGAAGUUAAUACAAGGACGGGCUUAGAGGCACAAGUGGCAGCCCUCACCAAGCUUCUCACACCACUUGUAAGCAAGAUAGCCACGCAGCCAUGUACUUUAUGUGCGAGCAUCGCCCAUGACAUGGAAAAUUGUCCAACAAAUGCUAAUCUAGAAGGCAUCCAAGAGGUCAAUGCAUUUAGUGGGAGGCCCCGGAAUGAUCCAUAUUCUAAUAAUUAUAACCCGGGAUGGAGAGAACAUCCAAAUUUUUCUUAGAGAGAUUCACAAAAUAGCAUGGGAUCAUUCACUUCAACAAAGCAAUAUCAGCAACCUUAUCAAGCUCCUCCAAUUCAACAAAAAGACUCGUCUAUCAAGGAUAUGUUAUCUCAACUCUUAAAGAAAACUGAUCGGUAUGAACAUGAAGUUGUGUCGCUUAGACAAAGUCAGACGGUGUUGGAAAAGGCUCGAUCUAAUUUUGAGACUCAGUUGGGACAGAUAGCUACUACUUUGAACAAGCUGGAGUGAGCACAAGGGCAAUUUCCAAGCCAAACUGAAACAAAUCCUAGGAAUCAAAAGCAUGUUCAAGCUGUCACCACUUUGAGGAGUGGAAAGACGAUUGGUAAUAAUGUGGAAAGUUCAAAAAUUAAUAAGGAAGAAGAUGAAGGGGUCAGCACAUAUCGGGCAGCAGCUUGACAAGACAAGCUAAAAAAGAGAAGUAUAUGGGAGAUAUUUUAGAGCAAUUUAGAAAGGUGCAGAUUAAUAUUCCUUUUCUCGAUGCCAUCAAACAAAUUCAAUCAUAUGCGAAGUUUUUGAAGGAACUUUGUACUAACAAGAGACGGUAUGAAGAACAUGAGGAGGUGAAGUUAUCAGACACGGUUAGUGCGGUUCUUCAAAGAAAAUUGCCACCAAAACUUCAAGAUCCUGGUAGCUUUACAGUCCCAUGUGUCAUUGGAGAAAGAAAAUUCGAAAAAGCUUUGCUUGACUUGGGAGCCAGUGUGAAUUUGAUGCCCUAUUCUGCUUAUAAACACCUCAAAUUAGGCGAACUAAAGCACAUAUCCAUUUCUCUACAAUGCACUGAUCGUUCUGUGAAAUAUCCAAGAGGGAUUGUUGAAAAUGUACUUGUGUGUGUUGAUCAAUUUAUUCUUCCUGCUGACUUCAUCAUUUUGGACAUGGAAGAAGCCGAAAUUCCUGGUCGUGACUUGCCUCUCAUUCUUGGCAGACCUUUCAUGGCUACUGCAGGUACGAAGAUUGAUGUUAAAUCGGGAUUAUUAACUAUGACUGUGCAAGGUAUUACUGUAGAAUUUCAGGUCUUCGAAGCAUUGAAGAAGCCCAUGGAUCUUUAUGACUGCUUUCGUGUUGAGGUAGUGGAUCCAAUUAUAAAAAAAAACAUUCAUUGAAUCAAGCAUCUCAGAUCCUCUGGAAGUUUGUAUCUCUCAACAUGGGAUGAGUUUUGAAAAGGCUACCAUCAUUGAAGCAGAACGAGAUCUCAAUGCCGUAACGUCCUACUCUCUUAGAUGCCAGCCCAAAUUUGAAGCGUUGCCACUCACAAGCCAAAAUUGUACCAUCCAUUAUACAACCUCCAAAGCUUGAAUUGAAGCCUCUUCCAGAGACUUUAAAGUAUGCAUAUUUGGUGAUUCAGAGACUCUUCCUGUGAUUAUAGCUGCUGAUCUUAACCAAACAGAAGAGGAAAAGUUGAUGCAAAUGUUGAGGGAGCAUAAAACAGCAUUGGGAUGGAGUAUUGCAGACAUAAAAGGAAUUAGUCCUCAAUUUGCAUGCAUCGGAUAUAUCUUGAGGACAAGUCAAAGCCUUCUAGAGAGGCACAGCGACGUCUAAAUCCACAUAUGCAAGAAGUGGUUCGGGCAGAAGUUCUUAAAUUACUGAAUGUCGGCAUUAUUUAUCCUAUAUCUAACAGCAAAUGGGUAAGUCCACUGCAGGUUGUACCACAGAGAUCUGGAAUUACAGUUGUCAAGAAUGAAAAUAAUGAGCUUAUACCCCAGAGGACUGUCACGGGUUGGAGAAUGUGUACAGAUUACAGAAAGAUCAAUAAUUCAACUCGAAAAUAUCAUUUUCCACUCCCUUUCCUUGAUCUCAUGCUUGAGAGACUUGCAGGCCAUAGUUAUUAUUGUUUUCUUGAUGGCUAUUCCAGAUAUAAUCAAAUUCCCAUAGCUCCGGAAGAUCAAGAAAAGACUACUUUCACAUGUCCAUUUGGAACUUUUGCCUAUCGACGAAUGCCUUUUGGGUUAUGUAAUGCUCCCGCAACAUUCCAAAGAUGCAUGAUGAGCAUUUUCUCAAACUUGGUGGAAAGGUGUAUCGAAGUGUUCGUGGAUGAUUUUUCCGUGUUUGGGUCAUCGUUUGAUCAAUGUCUUCAUCAUCUUUCAUUGGUGCUCUAACGGUGUCAAGAAACCAACUUGAUUUUAAAUUGGGAAAAAUGUCAGUUUAUGGUGAAAAGUGGUAUUGUUCUUGGUCAUGUAAUUUUAGCUGACGGAAUUGAAGUUGAUAAAGCUAAGGUGGAGCUGAUUUCGAAGCUUCCUCCUCCCACUUCUGUAAAAGAAGUUCGAUCCUUUCUCGAGCAUCCAAGUUUUUAUCGCCGAUUUAUUAAAGAUUUCUCGAAAAUCACCAAGCCACUUUGUGAUCUGCUUGCUAAAGAUUCUGUGUUUAAUUUAAAUGGUGAGUGCUUACAAGCUUUUGAGACCCUCAAGAAAGAAUUAACACAAGCCCCAAUCAUAAAAGCUCCAGAGUGGUCUCUUCCUUUUGAAAUCAUGUGUGACGCCUCUGAGUAUGCAAUAGGUGUUGUGUUAGGGCAGCGAGUUAACAAACUUCCUCAUGUUAUAUUUUAUGCUAGCCGAAUUCUCACUUAACAACUUUCAUAUCCCUUAGUUUCCAAAAUUUAAUAUACAAAUUUAGUCUCCCAAGCAUUGCUAUAUUACUUAAGUAUUGAUUAAUAGACUUAUUUCUUAUGGUGACACAUUAUUUAGUUUACAAAUUUAGUCUAUCUAACAUUACUCUUUUGACAUUGUCUUGUCCACUGAUAUAAUUCUAUUUUUCUUGUGAUCAAAACUUCAAAUGUUAGCAAGUCGCACGUAAAGUCGCUUCUGAGAGAAUGUGCUCACAUUGUAGUUGAAAGAUUAUGUGGCUAGCAACAUUACAAAUUUAAUUUGGUAUAAUUUUAAAAUAUAGAUUGAGGAAAAAAAGGAUCACAUUAACUAGAAACUGAAAAGGUUUCGGCGCAAUAUGUUCAAGCAAGAAACUCAAUUUUGAUGCUACCGAUCUUAACAGCCUGAGCGCCGUACCUGGGCACUAAAGUCACCACCACACUCUCAUCAUCUUCAGCACCCAAAUCCUCCAACAGGUCCGUUAACCCCAACCUUAAACAACUCUUGCUCUUUUCCUUCUGCUUAUGUGGCACACUCACAAAACUCCCAGCAAACUCGCUCUUGUCGGGUCCACUCGGUGCCGCAUCCUCAUCAUCCACGUCAUUCACAUACACAUCAAACUUCACAGCCACAUCUUUGUCAAGCUCAAUCCCCCGAAUCACCAAUAUCUCCUCCUCAUCCUCUUUCUCCUUCUUGCUCCUCUUCUUCGGCUUCGGCCUUGACACCACCGUAGUUAUCUUCGUCUCCAAAUUUAUUGGAAAAUCUUUACCCGCCACCACCU